rnacentral:lncRNA from 1 species
CAAACUCGGGCAGUCGUCGUACUCCUAAUCGGGUGCCGCCGCCUCCACCACCAACACAGUCAGGCUCCAAGUACUUUUAGGUGGCUUACAGAUUUUGGUUGACAAUUCAUAUUUUCUCUGCAUAUUUUUAGUGAGUGAAGGCCUGCUUAAGCACUCAUGAUUCCAGUAGUUGGUUAAUCACUUCUUUAGAAUCUUCAAAAGAGGGUGCUUUGUGUAAAUAGGACUCUAUAGUUCCUGAGCUGAAAGUCAGGAUUUUACGGCUUGCCACUUGUCAAAACUAUGAAUUCAAAGUGUAUUUGAAUUCCAUUUAUCAUAUUCUUCUAUUCACUAUUUUGUUUUUGUUUUUGCCCACGUGCUUAUUAAAAAAGUAUUUCUGAAAUAUUUAGUCGCUCAAGUAAUUCAUCAUUAAAAAAAAAAGUUUAUUAUUUUAUUUAUUUAUUAUUAUUUUUAAAAAAAAAUUAAAAAAAUAAAAAUAAAAACAAAAAAAGGUUUUUUUCUUUCUUUUAUUUUUUUAUUUAUUUGAAAAAAAUAAAAAUAAAAAACGAAAAAAAAUUCAUUGUUCACAAAAUCCCUAAUUCACCAGAAUUUUGUUUUCUUCUCUAGCCACUUGCAGCACACCAGCAGCAAACCAGCCCGCGUGAACUAGCAAGCAUCUCCCGCAGCAACCGGCCGCGCGUGCGCGCAACACCAGCAUCGAGCACCAUCCGCGCAACGUCAGCACGCAUCUCAGCAUCCCGCGCGCACAACCAGCUCCAUCUCGAGUCUCGCAGCACCAGCAUCACCAGCGCAGGCGCCAGCAUCCCGCGCGCAGCUCUGUGCCGCAAUCAACCGCGCAGUAUCCCGCGUGCAAGCAGCCCGCGCGUAGUUUCAUCCGCAACCAUCCCACGACCAUCAAGCACCGGCGCGUGCGUGCAAGCAUCUCAUGAGCAGCAGCCCGCACAAGCAACCAACGUCAGCCCAGCAGCGCAAUUUCAUCCGCAACCAGUCCGUGCAAUUCCAGCCGCGUGAAUCGAAACCCAUGAGUGAAAUUACUGUAACAAUGCCGAAGAGGAAAGCAUCAACUUCCAAGCCAUCAACGUCUAAAAAGAAACCCGUCGCAAAGAAAUCUAAGAUUGCCGCUCCCACUACGGUCCCAUGGAAUACAGUUUCAAAUUCACGCUAAGCCGUGAGACAAAGAUCGAAACAUGGAAAGGGCAUGAGUGUUUUGCCACUUGCGGAAUCCAAUCUCGGAGGAUGCCUUACAUUUACGACUCAACAAGAGAAAGAAAUGUACAAAGAUAUUUCCAAAUGAAAAAUACUUCCAGCUAAGUAUAUUCAUUACCCAACUCUUGAAAAAUUGAAUGUUAAGGAUAAUUUUGAUUAUUUGAUAGAUAAGAUUGGUUUGCGUAAGUUUGUUGAUAUUGAUUGUUUGGGUUAUGUUGAGUUGAUUAGGGAGUUCUAUGCUACUUUUCAAUUUAAUAUACCGAAUGAUUUUACUUUGCAUACUCCAGAUGUUAUAAAGUUUAAGUUAAUGGGAUGAAAUUUUUCACAAUCUAUCACAGAUUUUAACCUAGCUUUAGGAUUCAUUAAUGAUGAUUAUUCUUCUAGUGAUGCAUAUUUAGGAACAACUUGUGAUUUUAGCAAAAAUUUUGAGCCUUAUGGUCUUUAGCGUAAUUUAUUGGUUGAUCACAAUGCCUAUGACCCCGAGUAAAUCAAAGAGUUCUUUCUUACGUGAUUUUGUUUUGAAAUGUGUGUAUCGGUUCUUAGCAUAUAUUUUUUUAGGAAAGAAAGAUCACUCGGGAGUUUUCUCUAAAACUGAGUUUUAUUUUAUCUGGUGCAUGUUAAAUGAUGUGAGGCCUAAUUUGGGUUUUUGGUUAGUAGAUCAAUUUCAAAGUGUGCUUAAACGGUAUAGGACUUUAUUUUAUGGUCCAUACAUUACUCUGUUAGCUAUAAACUUAUGUGUGCUUGAUCCUGACAAUAAUGAUUUGCAUCCUGCUUACAAAAAGGAAUUUUUGGUUAUGUAUGUGUUUGAAAGAAUAGGUGUGGUCGAAUUUAAGGAGGGGAGAUUUCAGUUUACUGAACUAGGACCCACUCAACCACCAAAGAAGCUUUAUGCUAGGAGUGGUGCUACCUCUGAUGACGAGUUUGACGACGAAACUGCUGCCCCAUCAACUAUUCCUUCUACAUCCGCACCACCUUUGAGCAUUCAGUUAGAGAAAAUGGAGCGCAAGCUGAACAAGAUGGAGCAGAAUUUGGCCACAUACUUCGAGAGUGUGGGAUUUAUCCCACCAUUGCCGCCAAGCCCAUAGACGUUAUGUGGAUCAAAGCUCACAAUUCAGAGAAGGUUUUGCCUUUAAUCUUUUAUCUUUACGCUUUAAUUUUUAUGUGAGCUUUGAUUAUCUUACAUUGGAGACAAUGUAAGUACUUGAUGUGGGGGAAGGAUAUUUGCAAUAAUGAUGUCUGAAAGUAUUAUUUUCACUCUGCUCAUCCUUAAAUUAUUUUAGAGUUAGUAUGCUUCAUAUAUUAUUUUUUUUAUUUUCUUUUCUUUUUCACUACUUUUUUUCUCAUCUAUCUCAAAUUAUUUACAUCUAUUUUUAUUCUAUCAUACUCUUUCAUCACUCACAUUUUAUCUUUCACUUUUUAUAUUACUACAUACAUCUUUCUCGCUUCUUAUCCUUUUUACCUUUCCUUUCAUAUAUCACUUCUACCUUCUUCUCAAUCUAUACCACUAUUGAUGGUUGAUUCAUUUGAAGAGUGUACAUGAUUUGAUGGCAAAUUUACCAACUUUGUGAGGAUUUGAGCCUAUGAGCAACCGCUUUGCUCUAAUUAUUUUUGUUAUGUUAAUAUCAAUCUUAGUUUGUUUAUUCUAAAACUUGCUUUGUUAUGCAUGUUGAAGCCACAUUAAAAGAUUUUAUGCAUUAAAAUGAUAAGGGCAAACCAUUUUCCAUUUUUCUAUUCUUGCAUUUUUCUUUUUUUUUUUCCUCUACCCGAAGACCUUUCUUUGCUUCUCUCCAUCUAUUUACCCAUUUUCCUUCUUUUUGAGCCUCAAUUUAAGGAGAUUUUUGGACUCAUUGUUUGAAUAUAUUUUGUAUAUAUUUUGUUGCUCUUGCUACCUUGAAUUAAAGUUUCUCAAUUAGAUCAACAAGCAUUAUGCUUGAAUUAAAUUGUGAAAGGUUCAUUUCUUUUGUUUGAUUAAAAAAAAACAAAACAAAAAAACCAAAAAAAAGAAAUCGAAAAAAAAGAAAAAAAUGUGUUUACAUUCUUCGUGACUUGAGUAGAAAUAAGCAUUUCGAUAUCAUAAAGUUCAUUCAAUGAGUUCAUUCUUCUCAUUUUGAUCUCUUUUUCUUUCAUAAACCUUUCUUUUUCAUUUAAUCCAUUUAACCUCGUUACAACCUUUUUAAGACCCUUAGAUUUUUGCAUUUAAUUCAUGUUUUGUGGAUUGAGAUGUGAUAUAUGAGCAAGCUUAUUGUAAUAGCAUUCUUUGAUUUGAUUUGAGUGCAUAAAUGAUACCCUAAACACUUUGAGUACAUGGAGUGAAGUCAUUGAGAGAGCUAUUAAAUCUUGUUGCACUUGAAUUUUGAAUGGAUCUUCUUAGUGGUUGAAUGUUUUUCUUUUAUUUUAGUUUAUGAGAUCCUAUGCUUUAAAAUCCUUGUCUCACGAAUGUUGAUCGACUUAAAUUCUUGAGGUAUGCUUGCUUAAGAUUGUUUUUGGAUGAGUUGAGAUGAGAAUUGAGUGGAGAUUGGGAUUAGUCUUGAGUUAUAUGCUUGAGGUCAAGCAUCAUCUUGGUGUGGGGGAAUUUGUUAGAGUGCAAUUUAUGCACUAGUUUUGCAUUGUUUACUUCUCUUAAUAUCAAUGUUUUGCACUUAACAAUAGUGAUUUACUUGUGUUUUACUUUUGUAGGUGCAAUUCCAUUUAUUGGUGAUAAAAUUGAGCUACAAGAUAAUGUUUAAGGAUGAUUGUUCUCUUAGAGAAAUUAUUAGCGUUAGAAGAACUUUUUUGAUAAGACGUGGGUGCGUGCUGUCAAUUACGGACUUGCAGUUUUUAGUUUAACGUGUUUUGUAUUUUUGGUUAUUUUUAUAAUUACGAAUUUAAUAUUUCAGAUAUUAGUAUUUAUUUUAAAUAGAACUCUAGAGGAGAAGAGAUGGAGAGUAUUUAAGGGAAGAAUCUAUUGUGAAAAAGGGAUAUUGGAGAAAAGAAAGAAACCCUAUAUCUAAAUUUUUCUCUUCUCUCUAUGAAGAACUAAACCUAUUAUUCUCGUUGAAGGUUAAUGAAGCUUUGAUUCAUUACUGCUGUGAGAUCUUUCUUAUGCUUUAAUUGUUUUAUUACUUUUUGGAUAUUUGUUUAUUCUCUGAAUUAUUGUCAUGAUUAUGUUUGUUAAUUAGAUAAUUGACCACUAAUUAACUAUCAACUUAAUCUAUUGUCAAUUAAAGGAUUCAUCGUAUGAAGAUUUUAAUGUUUGUGACAAAUAACAUAGCAGUGAGUUGUGUUAUGAGAAUAAACAAUCUAAUUUAAAUGAACUAUCAUAUGCAUUUGUUGAUUAGGAUUUGGGUCUCUCUGGUUUUUCAGGCUGUCAAUUGAUUAAAUUCUAUGAUCGUAUCUAGGGUUGUCUAUUGAUUAGGGAAAUAACCAAAUGUCGUACCUUGGUUAUCGACUAGUUAAGGAGAGAUUGGCUAUUAGAGGGUCUCAGUAGCUAUAACCGGUCUAUUCAUAAGUAGUAAUCAUUUAUAUUUGAAUCAAUGAUCAGUAGUCGAAUCAAGCUGAGUUAAUUCCUUCAACCAGAGCUUUCCCCAAUUUGAAUUAUAAUUUUAAUUUGUGCCCUUGUUAUUUUAAUUUGAUUUUUAUUAUUGUCAACAAUUCCCCCAUUUUGCAUUUUAUAUUUUAAAAGGAUUUAAAUAAUUACCGAUCUUUGUAGACACGACCCUUCUCAAUCACUAUACACAAUUUAUUUAGAGUAGGUAUUUAUUUUUGUUGGCUUCAACAACCAUCACAAAUUAACUACAUUAGGGUGCGUUUUAGAGCCAUCAAAUCCACAGUAAUGUGGCAACUAAAACAUGUGAAUAAAUUUCUUCGGUCAAUGGUAACAAAGUCCAAGAGUGAUUUAUGAUGCCUAAUUACCACGAGCACACGUAAUUUGCAUGCAACAUGCCUAGCUCAUUUGAAAAUUUGGAUCAAUGAGUGUUUCACAAAACACCAUUCAAGUUUUCACAUCAUGAAAAUAGGAAUUAAUUUGAACCAAUUGUCAACACUAUACAGCAUGUUUAUUGCUCAAAUUGAAGAAAAUUAAGAAGACAAACAGAUCGAAGAUUACAGAAAAGUCAAUUCAAGGAAAAGGCUCUUAUAUGUGACGUCAUACUUUGCCGUCUCACAUAGCUACAAUCAAAUUUUCUAUUUUCUUAAUGCUAGCUAAUAAAAGAAAAAUGUAGAAAUAUAUGACAGAAUCCAUCGCUUUCAUCAGUGGAAUAAGCAAGAGAGCAACAUGAAACAUGUAAAAAAGGAAAAUAAUAUUUGCCUUUUAAAUAAUUUUAUUGAAUCAGGAGACGUAACUUUAUACAAGAGAUUUCCUAUAAUCAUGCUAAUCUAUUCUAGGUAGUCUAAAUAUAAAAGGCAACUGAACAAAUAUACAACUAAUACAAUAUAUUUGUCAAUGAAUGGUCAGAUAUCAUUGACCUUUCCUUCUCAAUACUCCCCCUCAAGUUGGAAAGUGAAUGUUAAGAACUCCCAACUUGCAUAUCGUAGUUGAGAAAGCUUCCUUUCCCAAUGGCUUGGUGAACACAUCUGCAAGUUGAUCUGUUGAGGCAACAUGUUUGGUUACAACUGAACCAUCUUGUAUUUUGUCAUGAAUAAAAUGGCAUCCAUCUCUAUAUGUCUGGUUCUUUCGUGGAAAACGGGAUUGGCAGCUAUAUGUAAGGCUGCUGUGUUAUUAUAAUAUAAUAAUGCUGGCUUUGGAUGCAAUAUUCUCAAAUCCUUCAAUAAUGAGCGUAGCCAGGAUAAUUCACAACAUGUACCUGUCAUGGCUCUAUAUUCAGCUUCUGCUGAGGAGAGAGAUACGGUUUUCUGCCUCUUUGUCUGCCAAGAAAUAAGAGAAGAUCCCAGAAAACACAAUAACCCGUAGUGGAUCUACGAGAUAUUGGACAACUAGCCUAAUCCGAAUCAGAAAAAGCUUGCAAAGAUAAAUCAUUCUGAGAAGGGAAAGACAAACCUUGCCCUGGACUAUUUUUCAAACAACGCAAUACACGUAAGGCAGCUUCCAUGUGUGGUCCACGUGGUGCAUGCAUGAAUCUACUUAACACAUGGACCGAAUAGGUGAUAUCCGGCCGGGUAAUAGUCAAAUAAAUUAAGUGUCCAACAAGUCGCUUAUACUGAGACUGAUCUUUAAGCAAUUCACCUGAAUCCGAGAGCUUUAUGUUUUGUUCCAUGGGAAAGUUCACAGGUUUAGCACCCAAAAAUCCACCAUCUUUUAAAAUUUUCAAAGUAUAUUUUCGUUGCGAGAUGGAAAUGCCUUUUUCAACCGAGAAACUUCGAUGCCCAAAAAAUACUUCAAAUCACCCAAAUCUUUAAUUCGAAAAUGACUAUGUAGAAAUUGCUUGAGGGCUACUAUGGCAUUGACAUCAUUACCCGUAAUAAGAAUGUCAUCGACAUAUAUCAACAAAGUUGUAAAACAUUUGCCUUUCCAACAUGUGAAUAACGAGUAAUCGACUUUGGAUUGAACAAAGCCAGCAGCUUGGAUAGCUGUAGAGAACUUGGCAAACCAUUGUCGGGAAGCUUGCUUUAAGCCAUAUAACGACUUGUGAAGGCGACACACUAGAUUCUCCCCCUGUCGUCGAAGACCAGGAGGUGGAGACAUAUAAAUUUCUUCAUGGAGAUCGCCAUGAAGAAAAACAUUGUUGACAUCAAGUUGGUGAAGAGACCAAUUAUGGGCAGCUGCUAAAGCCAAUAAACAACGAACAGUAAUCAUUUUAGCAGUGAGAGAAAAAGUGUCAUGGUAAUCUAUACCUUCCAGCUGUGUGAAACCUUUUGCAACCAAACGAGUUUUAAAAUGCUCAAUAGUACCAUCCGAGUGCUGUUUGAUUUUAUAAACCCAACGACAACCAAUAGGCUUCUUACCAGGAGGAAGAGAAGUGAGGGACCAAGUGUGGUUGGCUUCUAAAGUAGCCAAUUCAGAUUGUAUUGCUUCUUGCCAAUGGGAAUGGGAAGCUGCUUUAGCAUAAGAUGUAGGCUCAAUAUCUUGACUGACAGCAGCAGUAAAAGAGUGAUGUUGUGGUGAGUAACGAUGAUAAGAGACAAAAUUACAAAGGGGAUAUCGUGUACCUUUUUGUGGACCUGAUGACAAAGGCGGCAAGUGAUUGUUAGAUGUUACUUGGUUAUAGACAUAAUCACGUAAAGCCAUGGGAGGGUGAUGAGGUUUUUGGGAACGGCGUAAAAUGGGUUCGGGAAGAGGACUAGUAGGUGAUAGCUGAGUAGAAACUGGAUUCAGUGGUAAGGGUUGUUGGAUAGUAGAAAUUGGUUUUGGUGGUAAGGGUUGUUGAACUGGUAAGGAAGGAUCGGAUAUAGAAAGAGGAAUCACAAGGUCUGAAUUUAAGGAAGGGGAUGGAAUGGACUCAUAAGGGAAAAUAGUUUCAUGAAAAACAACAUCACGGCUAGUGAACAUAUAGUGGGUGUCAAGGUCAUAGAGCUUGUAAGCUUUUUGACCAAUUGGAUAGCCAAGAAAAAUACAUCGUUUGGCUCGAUGAGCAAAUUUAUGGGGGACGUGCACAUCAGUAGCAUAGGCAAGACACCCAAAAACUCGGAUAUGAGAAUAAGAAGGAAGUUUUCCAUAAAGUCGUUCAAAAUGAGUUUGGCGAGAAAGGAGUGGUGUGGGCAAACGAUUAAUUAUAUGAACAGCACUAGAAACACAUUCUGCUAAAAAAUGUAAAGGAAUGUGGGCUUGAAAAUGAAAAGCUCUAGCGGACUCAAGAAUAUGGCGGUGCUUGCGCUCUACAACCCCAUUUUGUUGAGGGGUAUAGACACAAGAAUGUUGGUAAGUGGUCCCUUUUUGUUUAAAAAAUUCCCGCAGAGAGAAGAAUUCUCCACCAUUAUCAACCCGAAUGUUGGCUAUAGAUACAUGGAAUUGUGUUUGGACAAAUGAAAAAAAAAAUUGACUAGUAAAUGUUGUGUUUCACUUUUGUGAUGCAUAAAAAAUACCCAUAUGAAUCUAGAAUAAUCAUCCAUAAUAGUCAAAAAAUAUUUCGCACCAAAAAGAGAGGCAAUUUUAUAGGGGCCCCAAAUGUCACAAUGAAUUAAUUCAAAAGGUCUAAUAGACGAAAUUGAACUAACAGAAAAUGGAAGUCAACUUUGUUUCGCAAGUGCACAAACAUCACAAGCAUUAUUAGACUGGAAAGGGAAAUUUAACAAAGGUUUUGCCAUAAAAUCUAAUCUAGAAGAAGACAAAUGCCCUAAACGGUGAUUCCACAAAAUGGUGGAGGAGGUGACCUGAGAACUGGGUGAACAGCAAAAAGUGGCUGCUGCGGAUGGAGUUUGAGGUUUUGGCUUCUCUGAUGCUAACGCAACCAAGUAAUAAAGUCUGUCUCGUUGUUCAUCCAAACCAAUCGUCGUCCUCGUCAUCAAGUCCUGCAAAAUACACCGAUGAGGGAAAAAGGUUACUGAACAAUUGAGAUCUCUGGUAACUCGACUCAUAGACAUUAAAUCCACCUUAAAAGAUGGCACACCAAGCACAUUUUGUAAAGUAACAGCAGAAUUCAAAGGUAAAUUCCCAAUGGAUGUAAUCGGAGCCUGUUCUCCACUUGGCAUAGCAACUAGUGGCAAAAAGGUGUUCUUAUUGAUGUUGACAAGCAAAGUUGGAGAUGAAGUAAUGUGGUCUGUUGCACCACUAUCGAUAAUUAAUUGAUGGAGGCGCAACAAUAUUUGUAACAAACCUGAGGUAGCAGUAUUAGCUUUAGGAUUGGUGGAUUGUGUUGUCCCUUUACCCUGCAUGAUAGACAAGAUUUGCUGGAUUUGCAAAUCAGAGAGCCCAUUUGUCACCGAUGGCACUUCCUGCAUUACUGGACUUUCCUUGACAUUGUUGGCUAAAGAUUGAUGGCUAUUGUUGCGCUUGAAAUGAAUGCUUCCUUGAUUAUACCUGUUUGAUGCAUGUUUAGGGUGUUCUGGUGGGUACCCAUUCAGCUUCCAGCAUUUUUCUCAUACAUGAUGGUCACGGUCACAAUAAGAGCAAUGCAAAGGUUUUCGAUUAGAUGGGUUGGAACGAGAAGAAGAACCUUGUUCAUGUCGAACAGCUAGAGCCACCGGUUCAGCCCUUCGAACAACCAUGGCUGAGUGCUCCGUCGUCUCACGUAUAGCCCCCAGGCUUCGCUGCUUCUCUUCUUUUACAAUGGAAGACUAAGCCUUGGCAACAUCAGGUAGCGGAUUCAUCAACAAAAUCUGCCCUCGAAUUGCACUGUAGGACUCAUUGAGUCCCAUGAGAAAUUGCAUCAAUCUACAUCUCUUAUGGUCUGCCCUACAAAAGCAAACGGGGUCAUUAUAGGAUCCUAGUUCAUCCCAUAAUUUUUUUAACCUUGUGUAAUAAGUUGCAAUAGUCAUCUGAUCUUGAGCAAGACAAGCAAUGUCCCUCUCAAUCUGAAAAAUACGAGGGGCAUUGCUUUGAGAAAAACGAUCUCGAAGGUCUUCCCAUACCUCCUGGGCGGUGGUCGAAAAAAUGACACUGUCUGCAAGGUCCUGUGUGAGUGGAUUGAGAAUCCAAGAGAGGAUCAUAUCAUUGCAUUUUUUCCACGAAGCGUAUUCGCCUAGUUUGGCUGUGGCAGACGACAUUGUGGUGGUCCCGUUUAUGAAACCUAACUUGGAUUUGGUGUUCAAAGAAAUCGUCAUGGCUCUAAACCAUGUCGAAUAAUUAUCCCCAUUGAGGGGCUUGGAAACAAGUACCAUUCCUGGAUGAUCAGAAUGGUGAAGAAAAUAUGGAUUGGCAGCAUCAAGCUUGCCUCCGUUCGAAGGUUGCUGUUCCGUCAUGAUAAUGAGAAACAACAAAAAAAGAAAGGCAAAAAGAAAGAGGGCAGAGAGCUAGGGUAUCGUUCCCUUCUCUGAUACCAUGUAAAAAAAGAAAAUAAUAUUUGCCUUUUGAAUAAUUUUAUUGAAUCAGGAGACGUAGCUUUAUAAAAGAGAUUUCAUACAAUCAUGCUAAUCUAUUCUAGGUAGUCUAAAUAUAAAAGGCAACUAAACAAAUAUACAACUAAUACAAUACAUUUGUCAAUAAAUGGUCAGAUAUCAUUGACCUUUCCUUCUCAACAAAACAAGGGUAAAAAGAGUGAAACCUUCUUAUUGUUUGAAAAAACUAAUUGAAACUCCCCUAAUGUUUUAAAACACACACACACAUUAGUUUUGCAUUUAAUUUUUCAUAAAUUUGAAAAAAAAUUCAGAAUUAAUUAAUAAUACAAUACAUUUGUCAAUGAAUGGUCAGAUAUCAUUGACCUUUCCUUCUCAACAAAACAAGGGUAAAAAGAGUGAAACCUUCUUAUUGUUUGAAAAAACUGAUUGAAACUCCCCUAAUGUUUUAAAACACACACACACAUUAGUUUUGCAUUUAAUUUUUCAUAAAUUUUGAAAAAAAAUUCAGAAUUAAUUAAUAAAUGACGACACUUUCCUUGCUUUUUCCAAUAAUUUUAAAUUUAAUUUUUCAAUCAAUUAUGAUUUAAAAAAUUCAAUUAAUUAAAUAAUUAAAGGUAUUUAUAUUCUCAAUAUCAAACAACCAUCAAGAAUAAAAUGGUAUUAAAAAUUUGAUAAUUAGAGAGUUUAAAUGUAUUUUAAAACAUCAGGAGAGUUUUAAUUAGUUUAGUCAAAUAAUAGGGAGGUUUUACAUUUUUUUCCCCAUUAAACAAGUGUCUAAGAAAUUAAACUUUUAACAAGUGUCGAAUGCAUCUUAAUUUCUGAAUACUACAAAGUGUCUGACUCAGAUCGGAAGAAUGAAUCUGAAAUUUUCUUUCAGGCAUGGAAGAAUCACUGCAUAAUCAGUGUGUAUGGAAGAAAAAAUUAAUAAGCCAAGUGACAUGGAAAUAAAUGAAUUCACAUUAAACAUGUACCAUGUGCGUCGGUUGUCGCAAAAAAGAACAACAUUUUCCAAGAAAUAAUCAUGCCAGUCUACACAGAAGCACAAUUCACGUUUAAACUUUCACCUUUUUUUUUUUUUUUUUUUUUUUUUUUUUUUAAGAAACGAACAUCUACACUCUAAAACUUAAGAAAAUGGUCACCAAUACCAUCAAGUUUUAAAAAAGGAGCAUUAAGACCUAAGACCCUCUUUUUAACUAUAAUACCUUUUACCUCUACGAUCCCAAAAAAUUAACUCUAAUAUUUUUAUAAUAAAUAGGAAUAUAACAUUAAAAUAAAUGUAAUAUUAUAUACAUUUUAAAAUAAUUUCAAUAUUUAAAUUUUUUAAUAUUUUACAAUCUAUUGGAUAUAUUUUAUUAUAUUAAAGUAAAUUUUAUAAUAAAUAGAAUCAUAAUAUUAAAAUAAAUGUAUUAAAAUUUAAAUUAUUUUGAAUAUUAUGUAAAAUAAUAAUUUUAAUAUUAUUAAUAUGUGAGAUUUAUUUUAAGUGUAAAUUUAUUUAAUGAAAAUAUUAAUUUAAAAUCUCCACAAUAAAUAAAAUUUAUUAUUAAAAUAAAUAUAAUAAAUUUACAUAUUUAAAUUUAUUCAAAAAUUAAAAUAUUUUAAUAUUGUUGGUCUACUGCAUAGAUUACAUUAUAUUUGUAUUUAUUAAAAAUUUUAAAGUCAAUUGUUUUAGGAAUAAUAGAGGUAAAUGGUAUAAUGGUCAAAAGGGAGUUUUGAUGUCUUUUUUAAAAAAACUUGGGUGUUGGUGACUGUUUCCCUAAACCUUGAGGAUAUAGAUGUCCUUUUUCCUUUUUUUUUUUUUUUUCCAUUUCACACACCAUAACCCCCAUUCACGUUUAAAGUAAAGCUUCCCGAUUGUGAGGGGAAUCGAUCUCAACUAAGCUAUGUGAGCUUAGAUGGAUUAGAAUUUUUACCAUUCAAUUGUGUGUUUUUUCUAGAAUGAUUGGACAUUGGCGAUGAAAUGAAGUAUUAAAAAUUUAUCAAGGAACAAAGUAGUAAAAAUAAAUUCAAGAAAUUGUGUUUUCUGUAGCAGAUGUGAGAUCCUAACAGGUCAUUUGGAUUAUUUUUUUAAAAACAAAAGUCUUAAUAAAUUAAACUUACAAAAUUUUAGUGAAUUAAUAAUUUUUUAUAUUUAAAUAAAUUAACUUUCUGAAAAUUUUAAUAAUUCACAAAUGCCCUAAAACUUAUCGAAUGUUUGGCAAGGGUUUACUGCAUGGGGAUAAACUUGGUGUACUAAAUUUGGCAUAACAAACGCACCCUAAAUACAAUAGAAAUAACUCGUGCCAUUCCUCCAAAUAACUCCAAUGAUUUUUCCCGAAAUUAAAAUCAUAUUCUUUAGACUUUAACCUAUACCAAAAAAAAAAAAUUAGUAUCUUAAUAAAGAGGCAUAUAAUGACAAAAUUAAAGGGUAGUGAAAAGACAAUCCCAAACGGUGUGUUAUUUUCCUUUCAUUUACUGGCAUGAAUUUUCGGGAGACAAAAGCCCAGUAAACAAGUUUGUUCGGUACAAUAGGAUCCAAAAAAACCUUAGUCAAUUUGUCCAUUAAUCUUGACCACAAAUAUUUUUUUAUUCUAUUUCGUAGGAUGACUUUUCAUGUUAUUCUAUGAAAAAAGAGAGAGAGAGAGAGAAGAAUUUUUGUGGAAAAACUUUGAUCAUUAUUCUUGAUUGUUUGUCAGCUUUAGUGGAAAUGCCCAAGCGUUUUCACAUUUUCUGAAUUGUUGCUAUCCAAAUGAGAAGAAUCUCUGAGAAAAAAUUUUGAGCACUAAUCUAACAGUUUGUUAGCUUUAGCGGAAAAGGCUAGAUAUUUUAACAUUUUAUGAAUUGCACAUUGAAGACGCAACGCGAAUAUAGUUUUGUGACACCAAGCUAAAUUAACCAGAUUAACUUACUCUCAUUUACCGUACCAAAGAAAUUUACCCUACAAGUUAAUUAACCAACAAGUAGUAGACGGACAGCUACAAGUUGUACAUUGACGUAGAAGAAGAUGCAUUCGAUACGAAGAUUGAUUUGACAGAACUGCAACAAAGUGAACCAUUUUUGGGAUAAGUUUAGAGCAGUACUAAUAUAUAUCAAGAAAGAAACAGUAUUACUGUUUUCUCUCUUUAGCAUUUCUACUAAUUUUAAUACAUUGAUCUUGGAAGACUUUUCCACAAUAUCAAUUGAUGCAUUGACUUGUUGACCUCUCAAUUGCUCUUGUAUGUGGUUUCUAUAAAUUUGGCAUCCUAUAUGCUUGUUUUCUGCACCGUUGUUAAUUUGUACGUUUUUGAAAGCUGAGAGUCCUCAAGUGAUCUUAAUUUUGAAUUUUAACACAUUUUGGUUUAUCUUACUUUGUUUUAUUGUGUUUUAUAAUGUCAAUGGGGGCAACAAACAUGAAUAAAGUAGUUUCUUCACUAGCUUUGUUGAUCCUAUUUUCUUUGCUAGAUUUUUCAAUUGCUGUUUCUUCUGAUUCUAAUGAAGAAGCUGAUGCUCUUCUCAAAUGGAAAGCCAGCCUUCAAAGCCACAACCGAUCUCUCCUUCCUUCCUGGACUAACGCCACCACCAAUGUUUCAUCCAAAAUAAGCUCGUGUGCUUGGUAUGGAAUCAGUUGCAAUGACGCUGGAAGAGUCGUCAACAUUAGCCUCCCAGCUAAAGGAUUAAAAGGUAAGCUUCAUGAUUUCUCAUUCUCAUCGUUUCCUCAUCUUGCUUAUCUUGAUCUUAGCUAUAAUAAACUCUUCGGUACUAUCCCGCCUCAAAUUAGUAACCUUACGAAUCUCAUCUACCUUUAUUUCGGAGGCGAUCAAUUUUCAGGAAAUAUUCCACCAGAAGUUGGUCUUAUGAGUCAUUUGAAGUUCCUUUACAUUGAUACGAACCAAUUAGAUGGCUCAAUUCCACCAGAAGUAGGUCAGUUAAGUUCUCUGGUGGAGCUUGCCUUCUUCUCUAACAACUUGAAUGGUUCACUCCCUCCUUCUUUAGGUAAUUUGACACACCUCUCUAAAUUGUUCCUUCAUGAUAAUUCAUUUUCUGGUUUUAUUCCUCCGGUCAUUGGAAACUUGAAAUCUAUGUCCGUCUUAAGUUUGGGCAUUAAUCAAUUUAGUGGUCCAAUCCCUCUUUCUUUAGGUAAUUUGACCAACCUAAAAGUAUUAGGCCUCGUUGAUAACAACCUAUCCGGUUCCAUUCCACCCUCCCUCGACAAUCUUGUGUUAACCAACCUAUCAUUGGAUUUCAAUCAUUUUACAAGUUAUUUACCGCACAAUGUUUGUCGAGGUGGAGCAUUACAGUAUUUUCGCGUUUCUGAAAACCAUUUUCAGGGAACAAUCCCUAAAAGCUUGAGAAAUUGCACAAGCUUAAUCCGAGUACGCCUUGAUGGAAACAAACUUACUGGAAAUAUAUCAGAAGCUUUGGGCAUUUAUCCUAACCUAACUUUCAUAGAUCUCAGCCGCAAUAAUUUUUACGGCGAAAUCUCAUUUAAUUGGGGGAAAUGCCCAAAAUUAGGCACUCUCAAUGUUUCUAUGAAUAACAUUACUGGAGGUAUACCGCGUGAGAUUGGAAACUCGUCUCAACUACAUGCACUCGAUCUUUCAUUGAAUCAUAUAGUUGGGGAGAUUCCAAAGGAACUUGGGAAGUUAAAUUCUCUAACCAAGCUCAUUUUGAGAGGGAAUCAACUUACAGGACGCCUGCCUACAGAAAUCGGGGCAUUCAAUGAACUUGAAUACCUCGACUUAUCUGCAAAUAGAUUCAACAAUUCAGUCCCAGAAAGUCUCGGCAACUUGCUGAAAUUGCACUACUUGGGUUUAAGCAACAACCAGUUUGUCCAAGAAUUGCCAAAGGAAUUGGAGAAGCUAGUUCAACUUUCAGAAUUAGAUGCAAAUCAUAACCUCUUUGGAGGAGAGAUACCAUUUCAAAUAUGCAGUUUGAAAAGCUUGGAAAAGUUGAAUCUCUCCCACAAUAAUCUCUCUGGUUCGAUUCCAAAUUGCUUUGAGGGAAUGCACGGUCUAUCAGUCAUUGACAUUUCCGAUAAUCAAUUGCAAGGCCCAGUUCCAAAUAGCACAGCAUUUCGCAAUGCCCCAGUGGAAGCCUUAGAGGGGAAUAAGGAAUUGUGUGGAAGUGUGAAAGGAAUGCACCCAUGCAAAGUUUUCUCGUCACACAAGCAAAAUUCUGGAGCCAAGUGGUUUGCAAUAGUGUUCCCUGUUUUAGGAGCACUAUUUGUUUCAAUGGCGUUGAUAGCAAUUUUCAUUCUUCGAAAGCGGAAGUCAGACUCAGGAGAUCGACAGAGUAGCAACCAGAACCCUAAGGGAUUGUUUUUUAUAUUAAAUUUUGAAGGGAAACUUGUGUACGAUGAAAUUGUUAGAGCAUCAAAUGAUUUUGAUGCAGAGUAUUGCAUUGGAAAUGGUGGACACGGAAGUGUUUAUAGAGCUGAGCUACCAUCUGGGGAAGUCGUAGCUGUUAAGAAAUUUCACUCACCACUCCCAUGCGAUCAGAUUUCAGAUCAAAAAGAAUUCUUAACCGAAGUUGAGGCCUUGACAGUGAUACGACAUCGAAACAUUGUGAAGUUUUAUGGAUUUUGCUCACAUGCCCGACACUCUUUUUUGGUCUAUGAAUUUCUUAAAAGGGGUAGCUUGGCUGCGAUCUUGAGCAGUGAUGCAGCAGCACAAGAACUGUGUUGGAGUCAGAGAAUGAAUGUGAUCAAAGGCAUAGCUGAUGCCUUGUCUUACUUGCACCAUGACUGCUUUCCUCCAAUUGUCCAUCGAGACAUAUCAAGUAAGAACUUGUUGCUGGAUUUGGAAUAUGAAGCUCAUGUUGCAGACUUUGGAAUUGCUAAGUUCCUGAAGCCAGACUCGUCCAACUGGACUGAAUUUGCAGGCACAUAUGGAUACGUUGCACCAGGUAUUUAGUAUUUAUUUGUUACCAUUUUGAGGAAUAUUUUUGUGUUAUGUGUGCGGUAGCAGAACAAUGCAACUAGAUAUUUAUCUCAGAAACAGAGUAAACAUUUUUUUUUUGGUCCUUGACCUUGCAGAGCUUGCUUAUACAAUGAAGAUCACAGAGAAAUGCGAUGUGUACAGUUUUGGAGUGUUAGUGUUGGAAGUGAUCAAAGGGACGCAUCCAAGAGAUUUUCUUUCUUCGACUUCAUCUCCAUCUCUCAACACGGAUAUAGCACUUGAUGAAAUGUUGGACCCGCGUCUUCCAGUUCCAUCAUGCAGUGUUCAAGAAAAACUGAUAUCAAUCAUGGAGGUUGCUUUUUCAUGCUUAAAUGAGAGUCCGGAGUCUAGACCAACCAUGAAGAUAGUCAAUCAACAAUUACGGAUUUAACCUCAGCUGCCUUGAUUGAGUCUUAAUUUUCUCAUUAUGCUUGUAAUUUGCUUGGUUUAUUUUUCUCAUCUAUUGUAGUUUGUUUGUUCUAGUUUUCAAGAACUGGGAGGCGUUAGUUAUUACGUCAUCCAUAUAUGCUUGGUAUGGGGUGUACUCAACUCUUUCAUUUAUAAAUAAAGUUUGUUCAUUCCUUAGAGGUUUAGUUAAAAGAACGCAUGGGGCAGUGGUGAGCACAUUUGAGGACAUGUGGAGUCUGUACAAUGAAGACCAAGAUCAGUAAGAUACUUUGUAAUAAUUAAAAAAAUAAUUUCUUGCCACAUGUACAAACAUGUGAACCCCUCAAAUGUAAACUUGAAAGUGUGUACCACUGUACUAAUUAGUGGGUGGCUCUUACUUAUUGAUAAUAUUAAAUUAAAUGUUAAAAGAAAGGAAUAGAUAAGGAAAAAAAAUUAAAUAUUGAACAUAAUUUACAAUGUAGUCCUUGUGAUUUAACCAAAAAUCAAAUAAACCAAUAAUAAUUAGUUUUUUUUGGGUGGGGGGUGGGGGGGAGUGGGUGGUGAAGGAUGGAGUUUGAUUGUGAAUCUCGGUUAAAUGACUUAAUUUACAUUUGUCAUGUCAGAGUUAGCCGAUGUCCUAUAUUUGAUCAAUGUGGAUGGCUGAUCAAAAUUAAAUAAUCCUUGAACGAGAUUGAGGCCUUGACAGAGAUACAACAUCAGGGCAUUGUAAAACAGAGAGAAGAUGCACGUGUGACAGAGAGUGAGAGAGAAGCUGCCAAACCGACCCAACUACAGACCCAAAAACCCGACCCGAACCACAAACGUGACCCGGCCGUAUCUUCCGAUUCCGGCCACCCCACUGGUCAAGCUUGUUACCAAUCUGAAGCUUAGAAGCCGACUGUCGUUUUCGGGCCAUCCUCUCCGCCGCAAACUAACCGUAACGCCGACGACCAAAGCUUGAAAACCCGCGACUGUUUCGCUUUGUUCCGCCGAGAUUUUCGCCGGUUUUGGGUGACACCACCGGUUGGAUUUUGUUCCCCACGACUCCUUCUUCCAUUUCCGACCAUCCACUGCUGCCGGGGACAUCGUUUUGCCGUUGAUCGGCCGUUGGAGGACUUGCGGGUUUGGGAGCUCAAUCCGGAGCCAUCGCCGAGCGUGGCAGGUCACCACCGCCACCGUUGGACUCAGUGUGGCCAGAAAUUUUAGACUUGAGCUUCCCGGCCAGCGUUGACCAAAUUUCGGUGAAUGUUGACAGGCAGGGGCAUUUUGGUAAUUUCAUACUAUGAGGGCAAUUUUGUAAUUUCUGAGCCUGUGGAUUUGUUAGUAAUUCCUAGAAUUGAGGAUUGGGUUUAAUUAUGAUUCUGAGGGUGAGGGUAAUUUGGUGAUUUACGAUUUCAGGAUAUUUUAAUGAUUUAUGAAUUUGAGGGCAUUUUAGUAAUUUUAACAACACAGGAGUUGUAAAUUAUAGAUAGAUGUUCGUUUCGAGUUUAUUGUAUAAAUUUAGUCCUAAUUCUUAUUUACGGAUAAUAAUUAUGUCAUUUCCUUGAUUUAGGAGGAUCCGCGAGCGAGAACCGGUCCGCGGACGUGGAUGAUAACCAAGCUUGAACACCGUCACUAUGAGUGGAAUAUACAAAACUUAUUUUCAUAGUUAAUUAUGAUAGUAAUGCAUGUUUGCGAAAUAAGUGUUUUAAAUGUUCUGAUUUAAUAAUUUUCUCGAAAUGGAUUUUGUUCAUGCAUUAGUAUUUUAUUAAAAUGCUUUAUUAAUGAUUUUGCGUAUCGACUUUGAAUAAGCAUGAUAGUAUUUUAAAGAUAAGAAAAGUGGAUUCAAAUGUGAUAUGAUUUAAAGUAUGGUUAAAAGGUAUGUGAAUAUGAGUAUAAUGAUUAUGAGUAUAAUGAUUGUUUUUUAAAUCAUUAGACGGUACCCUUCCCCUCCAAAUACAAUGAUACAAAUAAGAUGAGAUAAAGGUCUUUGGGGCCCGUCUGAACACACAUAGAGGCUUUGGGCCAAGUGUUUGGGCGUUUCUACUUUUUGGAGGCAUAUGCAUGCAGUAUGAUGAUUAUAGAGAUACAAAUAUGAGCUACAGGCAUAUAUUGAGAUAAAGAUGAUAUAGAUGAGUUACAGGCCUUUGGGGCCUGUCUGAACACACGUAGAGGAUUUGGGCCGUGUGCUUGGGCCUUUUUGUCCUUUGGGGACUAGAUUAUGCAUGCACAAAUAUGAUGAGAUAUGAGAUUGUUAGAGUGCAAUUUAUGCACUAGUUUUGCAUUGUUUACUUCCCUUAAUAUCGAUGUUUUGCAUUUAAUAAUAGUGAUUUACUUGUGUUUUACUUUUGUAGGUGCAAUUCUAUUGAUUGGUGAUAAAAUUGAGCUAUAAGAUGAUGUUUAAGGAUGAUUGUUCUUUUGGAGAAAUUAUGAGCGGCAGAAGAACUUUGUUGAUAAGGCGUGGGCGCGUGCUGUAAACUGCGGACCUGCAGUUUUUAGUUUAACGUGUUUUGUAUUUUUGGCUAUUUUUUAAUUACGAAUUUAAUAUUUCAAAUAUUAGUAUUUUAUUUUAAAUAGAACUCUAAAAGAGAAGAGAGAGAGAGUAUUUAAGGGAGGAAUCUAUUGUGAAAAAGGGGGAUUUUUGGAUUGGAGAAAAAGAAACCCUAGAUCUAAUUUUUCUCUUCUCUCUAUGAGGAAAUAAACCCAUUUUUCUGGUUGAAGGUUAAUGAAGCUUUGAUUCAUCACUACUGUGAGAUCUUUCUUGUGUUUUAAUUGUUUUAUUACUUUUUGGGUAUUUGUUUAUUCUCUGAAUUAUUUUCAUGAUUAUGUUUGUUAAUUAGGUAAUUGGCCACUAUUUAAUUAUCAACUUAAUCUAUUGUCAAUUAAAGGAUUCAUCGUAUGAAGAAUUUAAUGUUUGUGACAAAUAACAUAGCAGAGAGUUGUGUUGUGAGAAUAAACAAUCUAAUUUAAAUGAAUCAUCAUAUGUGUUGAUUAGGAUUUGGGUCUCUCUGGUUUUUCAGGCUGUCAAUUGAUUAAAUCCUAUGAUCGUAUCUAGGGUUGUCUAUUGAUUAGGGAAAUAACCAACGGUCGUACCUUGGUUAUCGACUAGUUAAGGAGAGAUUGGCUAUUAGAGGGUCUCAGUAGCUAUAACCGGUCUAUUCAUAAGUAAUAAUAAUCUAUAUUUGAAUCAAUGAUCAGUAGUCGAAUCAAGCUGAGUUAAUUCCUUCAACCAGAGCUUUCUCCAAUUUGAAUCACAACUUUAAUUUACAUUCUCGUUAUUUUUAUUUGAUUUUUAUUAUUGUCAACAAUUCCCCCAUUUUACGUUUUACGUUUCAAAAGGAUUUAAAUAAUUACCGAUCUCUGUGGACACGACCCUGCUCAAUCACUAUACACAAUUUAUUUAGAGUAGGAAUUUAUUUUUGUUGGCUUCGACACCCAUCAAAUUUUGGCGCCGUUGCCGGGGAUUGGUGUCAUUUAUUUAAUCCUUUUUACGUUUUACUUGGUGUAUGGUUCGUUCUUCUCGUACAGGUACACUUUCGUUUGAUCCUGAAAUUGAGAAGACAGCUCGCCAGCUGAGACAGCAGACAAAGCGAGCUAAGCAACGAUCCUCGUCGCCUUUGCUUUCUGAAACAGAUACGGUGCCUGAUUUAGUUCAAUCAUCUAGCGAUUCGGAAGAACAAGUGAUGGAUAGAGCUGCACCUGUAGAAAGAACUCUUAGAGAGUUAGCUGAACCAGACUUGAAUCAGCAACCACUCUGCAUUCAAUAUGUAGACUUGGAGGUAAAUUUUGAAUUAAAGUCUGGUCUUAUUCAUUUAUUACCCAAGUUUCAUGGUUUUGCAGGUGAAGAUCCUCAUAAACAUCUUAAGGAGUUUCAUGUUGUAUGUUCAAGUAUGAGACCACAAGGCGUGACUGAAGAGCAGAUUAAGCUGCGUGCUUUUCCGUUCUCUAUAGAUGGGCUAGCUAAAGAUUGGUUGUACUACUUGCCUCCUGGAUCGAUUACAACGUGGAAUGGUUUGAAGAAGCAGUUCCUCGAGAAGUACUUUCCUGCUUCAAGAGCUGCCAACAUCAGAAAAGAUAUUUGUGGGAUCAGACAACUUCCUGAGGAGACUUUGUAUGAGUAUUGGGAGCGAUUCAAACAAUUGUGUGCCAGUUGUCCUCAGCAUCAGAUUUCUGAUCAACUUCUUAUUUAAUAUUUUUACGAAGGACUGUCAUUGAUGGAUAUGAGUAUGAUAGAUGCUGCUAGUGGAGGCGUGUUAGUGAACAAGACCCCUACUCAAGCAAGGGAGUUGAUAUCAAAUAUGGCUGCCAACGCACAACAAUUUGGCAGCAGGCAAGAUCCUACUUCAAGGAAGGUGAAUGAGGUAAAUAUUUCUUUUGUUGAACAACGUUUAGAUAAACUUACUUCUCUUGUGGAAAAGUUUGUUGUAGGCAAUGUGCAACAGGUGAAGACUUGUGGCAUUUGUUACAAUAUGGGUCAUUCAACUGAUAUGUGUCCUACACUUCAAGAAGAACCCGUUAAACAAGCCAAUGUAGUUGGAGGAUUUCCAGGCAUGCCUCAGAGGAGGUAUGAUCCUUAUGCACAAACAUACAAUCCGGGAUGGAAGGAUCAUCCCAACUUCAGCUAUGGAGUUAGGCCGUCAGGAUUCCCACAACAGUAUCCACUAAGACAACCAGCACCUCCACAGUCAACCUCCAAGUCAGGUAUAUGUCUUGAAGAAAUUGUUAAAUCGCUUGCGACUAACACUCAACAAUUUCAGCAGGCAACUACAGCAAGCAUUCAGAACUUGGAGAACCAAAUGAGUCAAUUGGCGACUACAGUGAGCCGUCUGGAGUCUCAAGUAUUAGGGAGAUUGCCUUCACAAUCUGAGGUGAAUCCAAAGCAAAACGUUAGUGCUGUCAUCCUUAGAAGUGGGAAGGAGUUGCAAGAGCCUAGUAAGAAAGUGACAGAGCAUGUAGAAGAUGAGCUUGAGAAGAAUGAAUUGAUGCCUCAAUCUCAAGAUGCACAACCCACUAGAGCGAAACCCCUACCUAUUGUGAUACCUCCUCCUUUUCCAAGCCGGUUUGCAAAAUCCAAGAAGGAGGAACAAGAGAAAGACAUCCUUGAGACAUUUCGCAAGGUUGAGGUAAAUAUUCCUUUAUUAGAUGCUAUAAAACAAAUACCUCGAUAUGCUAAAGUCCUUAAGGAACUAUGCACCUCUAAGAGAAAAUUAAGAGGAGAUGAAAAGGUUCAUAUGGGGGAGAAUGUUUCAGCAGUUCUCCAAAAGAAAUUACCUCCUAAGUGUAAGGAUCCAGGUAUGUUUACUAUCCCUUGCAAAAUUGGUAAUGUCAAAGUUGAAAAGGCUAUGUUAGAUCUAGGAGCUUCUAUUAAUGUCAUGUCUCGUUCCAUUUAUUCAUCUUUGAAUGUUGGUCCAUUAAAAGAAACUGGCGUGAUAAUUCAACUAGCUGAUAGGUCUAAUGCAUAUCCUGAUGGGGUAUUAGAAGAUGUCCUAGUACAAGUUAAUGAGUUGGUUUUUCCUGCUGAUUUUUAUGUACUUGAUAUGGAAGAGGAUAACUUCUCUAAUUCUGUCCCAAUUUUGCUAGGAAGACCUUUUCUUAAGACUGCUAGGACUAAAAUGGAUGUACAUAAAGGGACUCUCACUAUGGAGUUUGAUGGAGAGGUUAUAGAAUUCAAUAUGAAUGAUGCCAUGAAAUAUCCUAGUGAGGAACAUUCAGUAUUUUCUGUGGAUGUUAUUAACCCUAUAGUGCAGGAAGUUAUUUACAAGGAAAAAACGAAGACAUUUCAUGAUAGAAUGAUUUUGAGAAAUGAGUUCUCUAUUGGUCAAAAAGUUCUUCUUUUUCAUUCUAAGCUUAAACUUUUUCCGGGUAAAUUACGUUCUUGCUGGGUUAGACCUUUUAUUGUUACUAAUGUUUUUCCUCAUGGUGCAGUUGAGAUUCGGAGUCCGACCUCUGACAAAGUUUUUAAGGUUAAUGGUCAUCGCUUAAAACCUUUUUAUGAAGGUUUUUCGGUGAAUAUUGUGGAGGAUGUGGCUCUCGAGAGUCCCAAUUAUGGAGAUUGAUGCAUAAAUGUGUCUAGCCAAAGACAUAAAACAAAGGCGCUUUUUGGGAGGCAACCCAAAUGAUUUAUUUAUUUUGGUUUUUGUUAUAUCUUUUUUUUUAAUUUUGAUUCAUAUUUUUUUUUAAAUAAUGUGUUUGCUUAUUUUGGUCAGAAGAAAAUUUUUGAUAAGGCGUGCCCACGUCUUAACUAAUAAAUACUUCUGUGAUUUUUAAAGUAAAAUGGUUUUAAGGCGUGCCCACGUGCUUAUUAGAAAAGUACUUCUGAAAUUUUUAGUGUUUCAAGUGAUUCAUCACUAAAAAAAAAAAAAAAAAAAUUUGUUUUCUUUCGCAGCAACAGCCGCUCUAGCCUUCACCGAGCAGCCCGUGCGCAACUAUCUCACCAUUUCCGCCAAGCCCAUAGACGUUAUGAGGAUCAAAGCUCACAAUUCAGGGAAGUUUUUGCCUUUAAUCUUUUAUCCUUACGAUUUAAUUUUUAUGUGAGCUUUGAUUAUCUUACAUUGGGGACAAUGUAAGUUCUUGGUGUGGGGGAGGGAUUUUUGCAUUAUUGAUGUCUGGAAUUAUUAUUUUCACUCUGCUCAUCUAUUUUCACUCUACUCAUCCUUAAAUGAUUUUGGAGUUAGUAUGCUUCAUAUAUUAUUAAUUUUCUUUUCCUUUCUCUCUCACUACUCUUUUCCCAUCUAUCUCAAAUUAUUUACAUCUAUUUUUUUUUCUCUAUCAUACUCUUUCAUCACUCACAUUUUAUCUUUCAUUUUUUUUAAUACAUACAUCUUUCUCGCUUAUUAUCCUUUUUACCUUUCCUUUUAUAUCUCACUCAUACCUUCUUCUCAUUCUACACCACUAUUGAUGGUUGAUUCAUUUGAAGAGUGUACAUGAUUUGAUGGCAAUUUUACCAACUUUGUGAGGAUUUGAGCCUAUGAGCAACCACUUUGCUCUAAUUAUUUUUGUUAUGUGAAUAUCAAUCCUAGUUUGUUUAUUCUAGAACUUGCUUUGUUAUGCAUGUUGAAGCCACAUUACGGGAUUUUAUGCAUUAAAAUGAUAAGGGCAAACCAUUUACCAUUUUUCUAUUCUCGCAUUUUCCUUUUUCUCUACCCGAAGACCUUUAUUUGCUACCUUUGUUUGAGCCUUAACCAUUACCCAUCUAAUUCUCUCCGUCUACUUAACCAUUUUUCUUCUUUUUGAGCCUCAAUUUAAGGAGAUUUUUGGACUCAUUGUGUGGAUAUAUUUUGUUGCUUUUUCUACCUUGUAUUAAAGUUUCUCAAUUAUAUCAACAAGCAUUAUGCUUGAAUUAAAUUGUGCAAGGUUCGUUUCUUUUGUUUGAUUAAAAAAAAAAAACAAAAACAAAAAAACAAAAAAAAGGAAAAAGAAAAAAAGAGAAAAAAGAAAAAAAAAGAAAAAAAAGAAAAAUCGAAAAAAAAAAGUUUACAUUCUUGGUGACUUGAGUAGAAAUAAGCAUUUUGAUAUCAUAAGUUCAUUCAAUGAGUUCAUUCUUCUCGUUUUGAUCUCUUUUUCUUUCGUAAACCUUUCUUUUUCAUUUAACCCCAUUACAAACCUUUUAAGACCCUUAGAUUUUUUCAUUUUAUUCAUGUUUUGUGGAUUGAGAUGUGAUAUAUGAGCAAGCUUAUGGUAAUAGCAUUCUUUGAUUUGAUUUGAGUGCAUAAAUGAUACCCUAAACACUUUGAGUGCAUGGAGUGAAGUUAUUGAGAGGGCUAUUAAAUCUUGUUGCACUUGAAUUUUGAAUGGAUCUUCUUGGUGGUUGAAUGUUCUUAUUCUAUCUUAUGAAAUUCUAUGCUUUAAAAUCCUUGUCUCUUGAAUGUUGAUCGACUUAAUUUCUUGAGGUAUGCUUGCUUAAAAUUGUUUUUGGAUGAGUUGAGAUGAGAAUUGAGUGGAGAUUUGAGAUUAAUCUUGAGUUAUAUGCUUGAGGACAAGCAUCAUCUUGGUGUGGGGGAAUUUGUUAGAGUGCAAUUUAUGCACUAGUUUUGCAUUGUUUACUUCCCUUAAUAUCGAUGUUUUGCAUUUAAUAAUAGUGAUUUACUUGUGUUUUACUUUUGUAGGUGCAAUUCUAUUGAUUGGUGAUAAAAUUGAGCUAUAAGAUGAUGUUUAAGGAUGAUUGUUCUUUUGGAGAAAUUAUGAGCGGCAGAAGAACUUUGUUGAUAAGGCGUGGGCGCGUGCUGUAAACUGCGGACCUGCAGUUUUUAGUUUAACGUGUUUUGUAUUUUUGGCUAUUUUUUAAUUACGAAUUUAAUAUUUCAAAUAUUAGUAUUUUAUUUUAAAUAGAACUCUAAAAGAGAAGAGAGAGAGAGUAUUUAAGGGAGGAAUCUAUUGUGAAAAAGGGGGAUUUUUGGAUUGGAGAAAAAGAAACCCUAGAUCUAAUUUUUCUCUUCUCUCUAUGAGGAAAUAAACCCAUUUUUCUGGUUGAAGGUUAAUGAAGCUUUGAUUCAUCACUACUGUGAGAUCUUUCUUGUGCUUUAAUUGUUUUAUUACUUUUUGGGUAUUUGUUUAUUCUCUGAAUUAUUUUCAUGAUUAUGUUUGUUAAUUAGGUAAUUGGCCACUAUUUAAUUAUCAACUUAAUCUAUUGUCAAUUAAAGGAUUCAUCGUAUGAAGAAUUUAAUGUUUGUGACAAAUAACAUAGCAGAGAGUUGUGUUGUGAGAAUAAACAAUCUAAUUUAAAUGAAUCAUCAUAUGUGUUGAUUAGGAUUUGGGUCUCUCUGGUUUUUCAGGCUGUCAAUUGAUUAAAUCCUAUGAUCGUAUCUAGGGUUGUCUAUUGAUUAGGGAAAUAACCAACGGUCGUACCUUGGUUAUCGACUAGUUAAGGAGAGAUUGGCUAUUAGAGGGUCUCAGUAGCUAUAACCGGUCUAUUCAUAAGUAAUAAUAAUCUAUAUUUGAAUCAAUGAUCAGUAGUCGAAUCAAGCUGAGUUAAUUCCUUCAACCAGAGCUUUCUCCAAUUUGAAUCACAACUUUAAUUUACAUUCUCGUUAUUUUAAUUUGAUUUUUAUUAUUGUCAACAAUUCCCCCAUUUUACGUUUUACGUUUCAAAAGGAUUUAAAUAAUUACCGAUCUCUGUGGACACGACCCUGCUCAAUCACUAUACACAAUUUAUUUAGAGUAGGAAUUUAUUUUUGUUGGCUUCGACACCCAUCAGAGAUGAUAUUUCCCUGUCUAUCUGUGUAGCUUCAGGGCGUGACGGUACCCAGAUAGUACGUCAUUGCCCGUUCGUUGAGGUCCGGAUAUGACGAGAUUAUUCCCCUGAGUACUUGUUUGGUGAUGAUUUUCAGAUUUGUGUAUUCUAUAUGAUAUUGUGAUAUGAUUUCCAUAGUUAGUAAUCUGAUUUAAAGGUUAAAUGAUUUAUGACUAGUUUCUCGUAUAUGGUUUGAUGAAAUUGUGUUUGGAAAUGACAUGAUUAUUUCUUUUAAAGUAAGAAUUAAAUUUUCAAAAACUACUAUCCACUCACUGAUCUCACUGAGUUUUAAACUCAUCCCGUUUUUAUUAUAUUUUUCCCCCCGUCAUCAGGAGGUUGCAGGUACACCAAACCGACCCAGCGACUGUAAAUAUAUUUUGAGUCUUAACUACGUAAUGAUGUUAGAAGAUAUAGAUGUUUUUGGUAGGACAUCUUGGUUAUCUCAUCUUGUUGGGAUUGUAUAAUUUUGUUAUAUUAUUUUUUUGGGAUUAAGAAUAAAUUGAAAUAUUAAUAUUAGUUAUAAUAUUAUCUUUUGAAACUCAUAAGAUAUAAAACUCAGCAUUUUGGUUGAGGAUGUUGAUCACUAGAGUUUGUUAUAUAUUGAAUUAUAUUGGGAGUUUUAUAUUCAUAUUUAUAGAUUGGGAGUGUUAUAUUUAUAGAGGAGAUUUUGCCAAAUUUUCGACAGAAUCCUUACUAAUAGAAUUAUUAUCGAGUCCGUUUUGAUGAGACUAGAUUAACUCGUUAGGGGGAGAUUUGGGCAGGUCGUUUCAAUUUUAGUUUAUGAAUUUCUUGAAAGGGGUUGGAGUCAGAGAAUAAACGGGAUAAAAGGCGUUGCCGAUGCCUUGUAAAAUUCGUUUGUUGCCAUUAGAGGAAUAUUAUCAUGCAACACAUUCUAUAGAGAUAUAAAAGCUUACUAAUUUAUACGCAUUGAUCUUUAAAAAGAGCAUUGAUCUUUAAAAAGAGAGUAAACAUUUCUUAUUUUCUCUUUUUUAUUUGUCCUUGACCUUUCAGAGCUUGCUUACACAAUCAAGAUCACAGAAAAAUGACGUGUACGGUUUCGAAGUGUUAGUAUUGGAAGUGAUCAAGGGAAAGCAUCCAAGAGAUCGGAUGUUCUUUCCGCAGUUUCAGCUUCGUCUUCCAAUGCCAUUUGAUGAAAUAUUGGAUCCUCGGCUUCCACCUGAUCCAUUAUUCGAUGUUCGGAGGAAGUUAGUAUCAAUCACGAAGGUUGCCUUCUCUUAAAUGGGAAUCUAGAAUCCAGACUAAUCAUAUUAUUAUUGUUCGAGUUUCAAAUAUUUGCCUUCAUUUCCCAUUGUUUGUUACUAUAAAUAAACACGUGUGCUAUACGUGGCUACUCAACUUGCUACGUGGCCUUGAAUUAGUCUUUGUUGAAUAAGUCUUGUUUGUUAGUUUUGGUUAUUAAGUCUAGAUUCCAUUUGAAUGAGUCUUCCUAUUUACAAGAAACUGAAUUUGUAAUAUUUCUAUUUAUUUGAAGUUCAGUGAAUAAUAGAAGGGGUUUUUACCAACUUCACUUGAAGUCUUACAAAGGAGGAUUUUGGGUUUCCCUCGAAGUACCCAAGUGUUAUAACUUUAUUAAUUCUCUGUUGAAGAAAAACUGUGAAACGCCAAAAUAGGUAGAACUAAGGACGCCAUACCAUUAUUGCACGAGUUAAUUAUACGUAUCAUGCUUAUGCAGGCCUUAAUUUGGAAUAAAAGAAUGUUAGUUGACAGAAUUUUGCAACUAGAGGAUGAUGUACUUCAUAAUUAGUCUGCCUUCAACACAAAAUAGAAAAUUUAGUUGACAGAUGGCCACAAAAACUAGCUUUGUUUUUGCUAAAAAAGAAAUAAAAUCUGCUUCUAUGGCCUCUGUCAACCAACUGCUUCAAUGCCCCCAAUUUCAAAACUAUCAUUGAUAUAGAGCCAUUGACCCUGGGCUUCAUAUUCAACUUUUCAUAGUUCCAUUUCUAGCGCGAAGCUUUUGAGAGCGUGGGCACACUUGACACUAGAUAACCCUCGCGAGACAGGUCCCAAAUCUCCUCGGCCAUAAUUUUGCUGCAAAAGCCGAUAUAAUUAAUGAACCUUAUUUGCACAAUUUUGGAAAAAAUAUUUGGACCAAUUUCGGUGUUCAGCUGAGCUUGUGUUGACUAUUAAGCACUAAAUCAAUAGUCAAGAAUUUAUCCAACACGAGUUUCACAUGGAUUCCAAUGAACUCUUGACCAUAGAUUAUGUACCCAACACAAUAUGCUUGUGGUUUAAAAAUAAAAUAAAUCAUGUUAAUACUUUGUAUUAAUACUUAAUGCAUGGACAAUCGUUUUCUUUGUGCACAUACUUGUCGAUAAAAAAAAGCUUAAUGGUCCAUCUAUUAGUUAUUAGUUUACAUCUGCUUAAUCUGAUUAGGAUGAAACGAAAUUAAUUGUUUCUUUGUUUUAAAAAAUAAAUAACUAAAACUUCUUGAAUAUUCGAGAAUUAACAAAACAAUUGUGAAUGAAGUUUUGUUUGAUAUUAAGGUAUUGUUAUCUUUAAAUCACAAUUAUUGUGAAUAAUAAAACUAUAACAAAAAGUAAAAGUUGAUAAUAUAUAAUAAAUAUUACUUUUAAAUGAUAGUUUUGAUUUAAAAAAAAUAUUAUAAGUUUUCUAUCAUUAAAAUCAAAUCAUUUUAGCUUGCAAGUCAUAAUAAUGAUAACUAUGAACUCUUUCAUAAAUUUAUUUUGUAUAAAGUGACAUGAAAUAAAUUCAUUGGUUAAGUAAAAAAUAUGAAGCAAUAAAAAUAAUUUAUGUAAGAUAAAAAUAUUUUAUUUAAUUAGUUUGUAUAAAAUAAAUUUAUAUAAAAGAUUUGUAAUUAGUUUGCAAGUGACAAUGAUGAUAGCUACAAACUCUUAUAUAAAUUUAUUUUAUAUAAAAUAAUAUGAUAUAAAUUUAUUAAUUAAGUAAAAAUAUAAAAUAAUAAAAAUAAAUUAUGUGAAAAAAAAUAUUUAAUUUAAUUAAUUUAAUUAUGUUACGUUUGUAUAAAAUAAAUUUAUAUAAAACAUUUGUAAUUAGAUUAUUGCUUCUGUGAACCAGCACCGAUAUGUACAUUAUGUUAUUUUCCGUCCAAUACGAUUACUAUUAAAAAAAGAAAAACAUGGACCCCAUCGACGAGACCUCACGUGGGCCCACUAAUCUUGAUGAUCACAUCUUUUUCAUGUGAAAAAAAACACCCCCUUACAACGACACCGUCUUUUCUUUGGCUUUCCUUUCAUUUUCGUCAGCCUCCACAAACACUUACUUAAUAGCCGCCCCAUUUUCUUUCACUCCUAUCCAUUGUCCACGCGUCCGACGACGAUUGCUUUUCCGGUUCUAAUCACAAGAUUUUCGUCAAAUGGACGUACGAGAUGGGCCCCAUCUCUGUGCAGACCACACCGUCUAUUCUCUUUGUGAAAAGAAAAUAAAACUAUUUAAAAUCUCUAAAUCACUCUAUCUUCUCGUGAUAAAUUGAAUUCAACUCUUUUUUUAUCCUUUAUUUAUAAACAGUAAAAAAAAAUCAAAAGAAUUCAAUUGAAUAUUCCUUUUGAGAAAUUAUUAAAAAAAAAAUUAUACGGUAGCGAACUUCCUUGCAUGAACAUGACCUUAAUUCAAUUUAUUAAACAUUUGUAUAUGUUACUUUAACAUACUUUUUUCUUAUAGUUUACAAAAUGUAGUGCUUAUUUUCUUUCGUAUACCAAACAGUAGAUGUGUAUAUUAGGUUGAAGCAAAUAUAAUAUUAUAAACUCACACUAUGCUGUAUCAUAUUUGAUAAAAUAUUUUAUUGUUGACAUCUUAUGAUAUUAUUAUUAAAUCUUCAAUAAAAAAUCUUCAUUGAAUUAAACAAUUUUUUAUGCAAUAUAAAGUAUGUAUUUCAUUAUAAUAGAAGCUGUUAAGAAAGGUUGUCUCAACUUUAUAUUAAGAUUUUGUACUUAUAAAUAUAUAGUAUGAUCUAAUUCUUACACGUAUAAAUUUUUUUUCAUAACUUAGCUAUCUAUAAAAGAUUUAACAAUUUCUUAAUCUUUGAUCAUAAGUAUUAACAUAUUAUAAUACAAUAUUAAAUUUAUCUUAAAGUUAAUUUAUUACUGUCCCCGCAUUUAAUUAGAUUCACGGAACUUUUACCUUAAAAAAGCAAAUGAUCCAAAUUAGAUAAAUAGUCAACCAAUUAAUCAAACAAACAAGGUCCCCACAUUUAAUGAGAACUUGAGCUUUUGCUUAAUCUCAACAACAAGUUGAGUUUUAUGUGAUUUAAGAUUAAAAUAUUAAUCAAAGUAUAAAAUUAUGUCAUUGAAGAAAUUAUAUUUAAGUAUUUACUUAAUUAAAGUUUUAGUUAACCACCGAGUGACUUAGAUUCAAGACUCUAGUUGAUCACUCAUCUAAGAAUGUUAAUUCAUUUACUCAGCAUUAUGUGGCAUUUUCUUUAAAGAUUUUGAAUUGUUUGAUGUUUGUGGGAGUAAAAUUUAAAAUAAUAAAAAUUAAUAUAAUUAUCAUGUUAAUGGGACCACAUCAGAGUCGUUAAUUCAUAAAAGAAUAUGAAUUCAAAUAUCACAUAAAUGAAAUUUAAAAAAAAAAGAUUUGUUAACAAUGCAGUUACAAGUUGACUUUAAAUUUCUGAUGAAUCGGUCAUAAUAUUUUUUUUUUACGAAAUACUCAUAUUAAUAUUUAAGUUAUUAGAUAAGGAUCCAAUGUUAACAUUUAAUAAAGUUGUGUAAAUUUGAUAAAAAAAUUAAAUUCAAAUAAAAGUAAAAUUUACAUAUUGUCAGCUAUCUUGGAACGACAUAGUACUCGUAUAGAGUUACAGUGUUCAAUAAUUAUUACGACCAAAAUAAAAUUUUUUGAUUCGCCAUAACUUUCAGAUAUGUAAUCAAAUGACAGAUGUUUUAACUAACUUUGUAUUCUGUUCCUUUGAUUUUUAUGUUUGGCUAGAUUCCAGCCAAUUAUCUUGUUAUUUUUUAUUGGUUAUUCGGAAAUAAAUGAAGUCUAUUAUUCAGAAAAAUAAUUACCUGCAAAAAUCGGACACCAUUUUCAAAAGGUAAUAAUAUUCCGAAUUAAUUAAAAAAAAUGAUACGCACCCAGGCAAGUUCACACGUAACCCACCAAAAAUUGAAAAAAAGAAAAAGAAAAGAAAAGAAACAAGGAACACGUUCAUUCAAUUUAUCGCGAUACGAUAAAUGCUUAACAAAAUGUCAUAUCAAUUUCACCAUAAAAACUACGCUAUUUUUUUUAUAUUAAAGAAUUUUUUUUUAAAAGCAAAUAGAAUUAUAGAAACCAGCCAAAAAAAACCACCACUGUACUGGAACUCACCGUCCCCAAUUUCCCAAUGAAUAAAAUAAGGGUCCGCCUAUAUUUUCUGUUAUUUAUAUUUUAUUCAUAAAUAUUAUAAAUUUUUUGAAAUGUACAAUUUCGUUUAACCCUUUAUACACUCAAUUUUAUUUUAUUAAAAUCUUAGAGUAUGAAUUCGCCCCUAUAAUAUUAGAUUCUCAAAAUAACUUAUAUUUAAUUAAAAAUAUAAUUAUUGUUAAAUGAAUUAUAAUUAUAAUUAUUAUUUUAUUAUAAUCAUAAAUAUUUUUUAAUAGAUUAUUGUUAUUAUUAAUAACAAGAAUAAAAAGCAUUAUAAUUAAUCUAUUAACAAUAAUUAAUAAUAUUUUUUUAUUAAAUUGUUAAUAAUAAUAAUCAAUGAUAAUUAAUAUAUUUAUGAUUAUAAUAAAAUAUGAAAGGAGAGCGGAGACUUUUAUUUUGAAUAAACUAGUUCCGAUUAACAUAUUUAUGAUUAUAAUAAUAUUUUUUGAGUUGUUUGGGCAAGGGGGUCUCAUGCGUGUGUGGACUUUUAGGCUGCUAGGAGAGCGGAGGCUGGAAAAAUACCUUGCGUUUAGAUAGUGACUUGUGUGUGAGUAAUAACAAUUUUUAUUAUAAAAAUAAGUUUUAUACCAAAUAUUAAAAAAAAUCUAGAUAAUCGUUAAUUAUUAUUAUUAUUAACAAUUUAAUAAAAAAUAUUAUUAAUUAUUGUUAAUAGAUUAAUUAAUUAUAAUGCUUUUUAUUCUUGUUAUUAAUAAUAACAAUAAUCUAUUAAAAAAAUAUUUAUGAUUAUAAUAAAAUAAUAAUUAUAAUUAUAAUUCAUUUAACAAUAAUUAUAUUUUUUAAUUAAAUAGAGGUUAUUUUGAGAAUUUAAUAUUAUAGGGGCGAAUUCAUACUCUAGGGUUUUAAUAAAAUAAAAUUGAGUGUAUAAGGGGUUAAACGAAAUUGUACAUUUCAAAAAAUUUAUAAUAAUCAUGAAUAAAAUAUAAAUAAUAAAAAUUAUAAGGGGCUAGAUAAAAUUUCACAGACUGAGUGUACGUUACACUAUAUGUAACGUAGGCGGACCCAUAAAAUAAAUAUAAAGGACUCGUGCGUCCCUUCCCUUUCGCUCCUGUUUUUGUCACCCGCCUCUUCCUCAUCUCGCCACUUGUUCCCCCCACUACGCCCACAAAACGUCACCGUUUCAUUCUCACUCCUUCCUCACACCCUUCCUUUUCCCCACAUUCCUUCGUUUUAUAUCAACUCAAAAAUUCAUUCUUUUAACAUUAAUAAUAAUAAUUUUAUUGAGAUAAGUCGAUCAAAAAGGUAACUCCAACUAUCUCCUCCAGCUUUUUGCUGCUUCUUAAUUUUGAUCGACUAUGAGGAUGUACUAAAGCUUCAUUUUUUUUUCUUUUUUUUUCAGUCAACGCUUUUGCUUCAAGAUUUCGUUUUACCUUCCUUGAAAAUUAAGGCUCACCUAAUUGAUACGAUUAAAAUUCCUUUUUUAGCUGAAGAUUGAUACAAUUUUCACUUCAUUUUUUCUGAACUUUGUAUCCAGAUUUGCUUCUUUUGUUUGCAGUUUUUUUUUUUAAUAUUUUUCUGUGGAGCUAAGCAUGACAUUGGUUGCAGCUUUAUAUUAUUUUAACAUAUAAUUAGACUAAUUUAUUUAUUUGUUGAUUUAUUAUUUUUUAAAUAUGGUUUGAGACUUCUGCUUUUGGCUCCUCCCCUCAUUUUUGGACGACGGUAUAGUUGUAUUUGUUUGUGUCAGUUCUGGAUAUAUGCUUUUGGACUUUUGGACUUUUGGCUUUGUAUCAUUUGGAAAAUUCUUGUAAGGGGAGAGAUAUAAAAAUAUUUCAUAUAUCUACUUCUCUAUUAAGGGUCCGCUUAUAAUACAGCCGCUGUAUCUCAUACAGCCGCUGUAUCUCAUACAGCUGCUUUUUAUUAUUUGUUUAUUUGUGCAUGCAACCGGCCACCUAAAGUAACUGUUAUACAAGGAAAUAUAAAAGAAAAUACUGAAGGUAAUUAUCAUCUACCUACCCUUAUUUCAGGCAAAUAUCAAACUAAUCAAAUCAAACUAAAAAGCUACCGAAGACCCCCUCAACUUUAUGAAAAUAUACUUUUCUAUUUUUUUAAUAACAUGAAAAUAUACUUAAAUAUGAGACUCCUAUACUACUGGGAAUAAGAUUUAAGUAUCAGUUAAUAAAAUUGAUUGUAACUAAUUAAAUUAUUUUAAUAUUACAUUAUAAAUUUAACUAUAUUUUACAUAAAAAAUUAUCAUAAUAUUUUAUUAAUUUUUUAUAGUAUAGUGUAGUUUGAAUAUCUAGAUCCAUAAUUAAUCAUAUUUAUUUUCAAAUAAUUGGAACAAUCAAUCCUAUAAUACACAAAAUGACUCAAAUAUCUACCUACCAAUCUAAUGAUAGUUUUUAUCCAACUAUCGGAUAAUAAUGAAACAAUUAUAUUGGUGAUAGUCCAUUAUAAUUAAAUGUAAAAUAAUUUUUUUCAUUAUUUUUUAUUAAUGAUAGUUGGUAAUAUUAAUAUGUUACUCUAUACCCUAUAACGAAAUAUUUGUAUAUUAGACAAAUAUAAUGUUUCUAAUAUUCUAUAAGUUUAAAUAAUGCUCACAAAUAACCUCUUGUGCAAAUUAAUUCAUGUGAAUAUAUAUAUGAAAUUAAUUACUUUAUUUAUUCGUUUAUCUUUUAUAGUUAUAUUUAUUCACUAUUUUCAAGUCACAACAAUUUCUAUAAAUACUUAAAAUGGACAAUUACAUAUGUACUGAUAAUUUUUUAUCUAUUGCUAUUAGUGGUAUUGUGAUUAAUGAUCUUAUAACAUUAAGCUUUAUUAUGUUGUUACUAGCCAUAAUUGUUAGCCAAUUUAAAUUUGAUUAAACUAAACUUAGUUAUGAUACUUAUUAUCAGAAUAUGUAUACAUAAAUGACAUUGUUCUUAUAAUAAUAAUAAUAAUAAUAAUAAUAAUAAAAGGAGAUGUUUAGAGUCAUACAUGAGUUUAACUCACCCAUUAGGGUUUAGUAUUAUUAUUAGUAAUAAUUACAAUUCAUAUUCCCAUUGUAUAGUAAAUGUUAGGAAAACGUCAACAACAAGCCAUUGUUUAGCAAAAUGAUCAUAAAAAGUCCAUCUUAAUAAUGAUCAUAAAAAGUCCAUCUUAAUCUCAUAAUGAUCACAUACACAUCUUUUUGGACAAUUAUGCUCUUUGAAUAUAGUGACUAAAAUAUAUUUCAUUUGCAUAUAAUUGUUCAAAAAAAGAUCUAAAUGGUAAAAAGUAAUUGAGUGACAUAUGUAUUUAGAAUACAAAUUAGGUUAUAAAUAUUGGGAUCCUAUCAUUAUUAUAAAGUAUUAAUAUAAUAAUAUCAAAUUAGUUUAGGACCCAUGGGUGUAGCUAAGUAAUUUAAAAUUGCUUUAUUUUAAUUGGCUACCUAAAUUUGAAUUUUCGGGAGGUAAGGGAUUAAAAAUAAAUAUAAAAUUUUAAAAAAAGUCAUAUUUUUUUCUAAUAAUAUAAGUGAAUGAAUUAUUUUUCACCUAGGCGGGCAAAUUAGCGCCUAAAUGAAAUAUUUAACAAAUUUUUUCUAUUUUUAAUAUGUAUCAAAUUGAAUUUUUAUGAUUUUUCACCUAAAGUAUAAAUACUUCAUAUUCUAGUAUUUCUUUAGAAACCCUAGCAGCUCUCACAAUAUCUCAGUCCUCACACACUCAAAGCCUCACCGGCCACCAGCCGAGCUGCCAUCGCUAUUCCAACAUGACUAAACUGCUGUCGUAUUGACCAUCGCAAGCAUAGCUACUAGGUUGAUUGGAGCCGAAAAUAGAGACCGCUGGAGCAGCAGGACCCGAUAAUCAUCAAAAUGUAGAAGCAGUUAUGAGUCAUCAAAAGAAAGGGCUCAAAAAGCAUGCAUUCAUCUGUGUUCUUUUGGCCUUGGUUAAUUCAAUUCUAUUGGGUUACAGUGAGUCUUCAUUCAACACCCUUUUCCUGUUUGCUUUUAAUUUUUACUCUAAAUGUUAAUAUAUAAAUAUUUGGCAUGUAAUUGUAAUCGGAUGGUGGCAUGGUGACGUGAAAUGAAGCUUUUGGGGUGUAGACAUUUGAGUAAUGAGUGGUGUAGUUCUUUUCACAAAAGAAGAUCUUGACAAAUGGUAGUCCAAGUAGAGCUUUUGACAAAUUCUUGCAGCAGAUUCACAGUAAAUCCUCUCUCUUCGUUCCUUAUUUUCACAAAUACUUGCAUGUUUAUAUAAGUUUUUAAAUUUCUUUUUAUCUAAUUGGAUAAAUUUGAGAUGAAAUUUCAGUUAAAUGUCACUGAUUUUUUUAAAUUGAAAGUGUUUUACACAGCUGGUUUCUUUGAUUGAUUCCUUCGGUUACUUGUUUACACCACCAAGUUGAGCUAGUUUAUAUGCCUUUAGAUCACAAACUAGCAUACCACAUGAUUUGGUCUUUGAUCCUAAAACCUUGGAUGGGGUCUGGAUUUUGUUUAAUUGUUAAUGUUUCUUGAAUUGUGAUUUCCUAGAGUCUGGUUUUUCAAACUGCGAGACUGAAAAGUUAUUUUAGUUCUUAAAAAAUUAAAAAAUAAUAAUAAUCUAAGCCCUAAUCUUUCCUUCCAUAAUUUUUCGUUGCUUAGGGUCUGUGAGUCAUCAGAAUAUGAGGGGAGGCUUUUCAGGGAGAUCUCCGUGCCCUGACGGUCAUUAUUCUCAUUGUAACAGACAGGUGACCUUAUCCUGUUACCUACUUGUUUUACUUUUGGUUUUUGUUUUUUGAUCGAGCAGCAGUGAAUAUUUUUUGUGUUUAUUUUCUAAUUUUUUUCUUUAUAUAACUCUUGGUUUUAUGUUAAAAUGAGUGGUAAGGGGAUAUUGUUGUCAUUGUAUUUGACUCUGUCUUUAGAAAUGUUUUAUUAAGAUUUACUUUUGCUAAUAUCACUUGGGUAAUUCCCUGGAAAUGUUUAUCAAAUGUCAUUACUGCUAGUUUUAUGCUCAUUGGCCAUAGUUCUUAGUCUCUAAUUAGUUUGGAAUAUUAGGAAUCUCUUUUUAUGGCAUAUUUGUCUUUUCUUUUCGUAUAUCCUUGCUCUGUAUUCAGAGCUGGUUGACUUCUCCUAAUGUUAUUUCAAAUUCUCUCAAGGUUGAAGGGAGUAAUGUCAAACAACCCAAGUGCUUUGAAGCUCCAUAUUCUUUCUAUAGAGAUUAUGAUCUCCAUUCAUCAUCUACUCAGUCUGAUUGUAAGAACAAACAUUCGGAUGUGAGUAGAAUUUGAAUUGGAAUUAUUUUUUAAUUUUUUUUAAAUGAUGAAUAUGUUAGUAUCUAUGUGUCAUUCAAAUAACAGAUAAAAUAAUAUGAUUAGUCACUGAAAGCACAUUUUAUAUCUUCUCUUUCUUGCUCAUCAUUUGCCUCGUUGUUUUUAUUUAUUUAUAAGCUUACUGCAGCUUCAACUUUUGCUGUUGCUUUCUAUGGAUUGCAACUCUUAAUUUAAUCAAAUUGCACAUUUCAGAUGUUAAAAGCUCCAAUACUUCUAAUAGUGGUCCUUAAUUCGAUCAUGCUAUUGAAUUCUAUUUUUUUGCAAGAAUUUUUAUGAUGCUGAGUUUGAUUGUAUUCUGAUUUCAUAUUGAAUCUUACAACUAUUCCAACUUGAAAAGAAAAAGUAAACUAUUGUACGAAUAUGCUAAGUCUUGCCUUCUUGGCUUUUCUCUCAAUUCAAUUAGGGAUUUACUUAAUUAUUGAUUGACUUGAAUUCAAUUAUGAUUGAAUUGAGUAAAAUGAAGGUGAUAAGGACAUUAUUUGAACAAUUUUUUCUGCACAAAAUACUGUGGAUGUUAACAUUGUUUAUGGGGAAGGGAUUGUAAAAUUGUAGAUAUUGAGGUUCUAUAAUGUUUGUUGAUUUUGCAGUGAGAUUGGAUGUGAAGAAGAGGAUAAAGGCUGAUUGAAUUGAACAAUGACAUUAUACAAGGUGCGAAUUCAGAGCUGGUUGACAUAGUUAUGUCUCUGAUUGUAUUUAAUUUUAUCAUUUAGCUAUGAAAAAAGAGUUUCAUCUUCAUGUUAUAUUUAUUGUCUUAGAAUGGAAAAAUGACAACUUGCUCAAGCUGUGAAAGCUUGGUAAGGCUUCUCAAAAACCAGAAAAGUGGGGAUGGCUACAUGCACAUAUUGAGAAUGACUACAUGGGUAAAGGGAACUUGUAUGCAAAGUGAAAGUUAAAAGUCUGUUAAUAGUCUCAUUGCUUCUAGAAUGAUAAGUUCGUAAUGGUGAAAUGUUUAGGUUAUAUUGAUGGGAAUAAGCCCAUGAAUUGAUGUAGUGAUGGAUACUGAAUUGGAAAAUGGUGUUUCUGGUUCAUGGAAUAUCUUGGAAGAAGUACAAAAAGUGAUACAAGACAACAAAGCAUACAUCUUCUUAAAAAUAUUGAAUGGCUUUGUUUGCUUUCUAGGUGUGGUUUAUUUUUCUACUUUAGCUAGAUGGCUUAUUGAUUCUGGUAAUAGAUUGGUUUGUUACCAAUUCCUUGAUUUGAGUUGCCUUUUUUUUUUUUUUUUGGUUUUUUCAACUAUUGUGGUAUUUAUAUUCCUACAUUUCAAAUGCUUUGGUAAUUAGUAAUCUAGUCAUUUUUAAGUAUUUUGGCUACUUGAACAGUGUCUGGGUAUGCUGAUAAAUUAUAAGAAUUGUCGAAACUAUAAUAAACAAAUAAACAAGGCUUUGUUUUGGAUGCAUUUUACUCAUGAAUGAAUCUAUAUGCUUACAAAUUUUUGCCAGUUAUUUUUAGGUGUUUAGUUUCUUUUUAGGUGUUUAGGGCCCGUUUGGUAUUGUUUCUGAAUUAGUAUUUUUUGAAAAUAAAAAUGAGAAUGAAAAUGGUGUUUUGCAGUUACUGUAUUUCGAAUUUAAAUAUGCGUUUGGUAUUAUUUUCUGUAUCCUAUAUUUUAAAACUGAAAACAGUAAUAUGUGUUCGGUAGACACAAUUGAAAAAUAUAAAAACAGAGAAUAUGCGUUCGGUAGUACUAUUUUUAAAAAAUAGUUUUUACUAAACAUUUAAGUUAUAGUAAAAAAUAAUUGUUUAAUUAAUACAUAUACAUACAUACCAUAAAUAAUUUAAACAAAAUAAUUAUAAAAAAUCACAUAAUGAUAAAGUUUUAGUAUUAGCAUUAAUAGAAAAAAGUUUUACAUUAUAAUUGUUUUUACAUUAUAAUUAAGUUACAUAUUACAACACAUAAAUUAAACAAAAUAAUUAUAAAAAAAUUACAUGAUAGACAUCAUACAUUAACACUUACUGGAGAUAAAUCAAAUUCAAUAGUGUACAAUGUACUUUCAAGUUACACUUAUUUUAUGAAAACAAGCUCUAAUGACAACAAUGUAAACUCUGAACUACAAGUGUUUAUCCUCGAAGCGGAUUGAUCCCAAAUGAAAUUGCACAAAACAUAAGUCCAAGCAAAGCCAAGAAUCCAUAUUUCCUGUACAUGAAUUAUUAAAAAUGAAAUUAAAUGCAUGUAUAAAUCAUCAAAAUUAACUAGGAUUGCUCCAUUAAACUUAAUAAAUACAUUAAAGAUUCACUUUAGUACAAAGAAAAUAAUGCACACAACAAAACCGUGAUGAGACAUCACCAUGUCAUAAACAAACAAAAAGCACUCAUGGAAUUUAAUCAUUGAAAAUAGAGGUUUCAAGUUUGUAAGAUCUUUUUUUUUUUUUUUUAAUAUCAAGUUUGUAAAUUCAAGGCUAAUUGAUAAACGUACUUAAUUUUAACUUAAUAUUUAAGGAACUCUAAGCUACAUUUUUCUUCUCUACAAAUUAAGUAAUAUCAAGACAUACUUUGCAACAAUAAUAUAACCAGCAAACCCAACAAUGAAACUGGUAAGCAAAUAGUGUGUGCAGUGAUGAUUGGUACUACUUUUCAAUUUGGUAACUAGUAGUUUAUUUUCAACAAGGAAAUUCUAAUCUGUGACCUAUCACAAAGCAAGUAAAGUAGUAACCUAGUGAGGGUUAUUCACCCAGCUAAACAAACAGAAUUUUGCACACCAUUUAUUAUAAUAAUUGAGCAACUUAUUUUGCUUUUAUUAUUAUUAUUUUUUCAUAGAGCCGAACACUUCUCAAUCAAAUUCAUAGCAGAAUACUGCACGAAGAACAAUAUUAACACUGCCAUCUGCCUAGGCCGAAGGGAAAAAAAUAAUAUUUUGCACAAGGAUUUACAACGAAAGGAAUAAUUGAAAUUGCUCUGUUAACUUUGAGUGAAAGUUUCAGAUAUAAACAUACAAUUUUCAGUACAUGCUAUUAAUCCCCCACUCAAUUUUCAGUAGUGUAAUAACCCCCAAUAUGAUUAAUUUACAAUACUCUAGUUUCAGUACAUGCUAUUAAUCUACAAUAUCAUCCUAUUAAAAACAAUUAAAAUCACUCAAAUAAUUUCUCAAAAAUUUCAGCUCAUAAACAAAAUAAAUACCGGCAAGUGACAGAUCAGGGAGAGCAACAACGGUCGGGCAAGUGACAGAUCUGGGAGAGCAAAGACGGAGCAGCAUCGGCUGGACGGAGUCGGAGCAGCAGCGGUUACGGUGGAGACAGAGCAGCGGCAGUGGCUAGCACACCAAGAGCGACCAAGAGAGAGUGGAUCGGGAGAGAAAGAUGUUGGAUGAAGAUAAGGGGAGGGAGAGAGUGCAGAUUUGCUGCAACUGGAUCGAGAAAAGUGAGGGGAAAGUGAGAGCUGCAGUGAAGAGAAAAGGAGGAGGAGGGUCACGAUUUGCUUUUGUUUUUUAAUUCAUUUCUAGGUUUAGUUUGUGAUAUUUGAAGAACAUGUUUAAGUUGUUUUCAGUUUAGUAGUUAUAAUAAUGAAUCCGGAUUUUGUGUUUUGUAAUUUGUUUUUUGAAAUUAAUUGGCCGAACAUGUAUUAUAUGUGUAUUAUGAAAAUGAAAACGAAAAUGCUGCGUGGAAAAGGGUACCGAACGGGCCCUUAGUUUCUAUUGCGUUUUGUGAGUUUUUUCAUACCGAUGCUAUUUCAUAAUUUAUAUUAUUCAUGUAAUCAUGAAUCAGUACUGCUGAAAUUUUAUUCUUGUUUAUUUGGAUGUAUUCUCCUCUAUCUUUAUCGCCAUGAUCAAUUUGUUGUUAAAUGAAAGUAAACAUAAAAGAGUAUGCCAUUUGAGAAUAUUUUUUAUAUUUUGAAUAUUGCUGUUAAAAAAUUCAUCAAAAAAUAUGUUGUUAAAAUUAGAAUAUAGUUAUGUGUUUAUUUUAUUUUUAAGUUUCAAUUUUUCUAUUAAUACAAUAUAUGACUGAUCCUGACUAAGAAUUUAGAUCAUGCAUUUGAAAUUUUAAUAUUGUUUAUUUUUUUGCAGCCCUUUUUUCUAAUAUGAUUUUUUUUUAUGCAGAGACCCAUGAAAUCUAAAUCUCAAAUUAGCAGCAGCAUUUGAAGUUUAAUUUUGUGUGAUCAAAACUAUUGAUGUUAAAAGUUAUAAAUUGAUUUAAUUUUGUAUUAGUUUAUUGAUGUUAAAAGUUUUUAAAGAGUUAUUUUCUUGUGAGUUUGUAAAAUAAUUUCUCAAUAGAAGUGGUUUUAGGCUCUUCUUCCUCUGCAAUUCUAACUUUUUAGUAGUCCACAUAUCGGUUCACUAUAGUCAUUAACUGCUUAAGUGAAAGUCUAGUAUUGGAAUUUUUUUUUCAUUAAUUUUCAACUACAUUGGAUAAAAUAAUAGGACAUUAUAAUUUUAUUUGUAAAUAAAUGCCAACAAAUUUAAGAAUAAAGGACCAUUUGAAAAAGAUAAGUUAAUUAAACAUGCAAAAGCAUGUUAAAAAAUGUUGGUUACUAUAGUGUUAGAUUUUCAUAAUGUCGUAGUGGCUAAAAUAAACUUUUAAAAAUUAUUUUAGCUAAGUCUUGAAAAUUAAAGAACUUAUUUUAUAAAUUGAAAAUGAUAUGCAUACUUAAAAACGAAAAAGAAAGAUACUCAUUUUAAAAAUAAAAUGUUAACAAAUCUCAUGAGGUAGGAUUGCAAUAAUGAUCGUAGUAAGAGUAAAAAAGUAAAUAAUAAUAGUGAUAAUAAUUUAAGUAUAAUAUAAUAUUUAUAAGUAAUGACAUAAGUUUUUGGUUACAGUAAUAAGAAAUUAAGAAAACUAAUUUGAAAAGAAAAUAGAGAGGUAAAAAUUUAAUUUGAAUUGAAACAAUCUUAAUUCUUGAUUUAUUUUAGUUCAAAGAUAAAUAAACAUAAUUAAUUGAAUGAUAAAAUGGGCAAAAUGUUUUUAAAGAUCAAAAGUUAACUAAAAUAAAUUCAAGUUCAAAAAGUCUAAUGAAGUCAACUGAGGCCAGAAAAGAAAAGGAAAAAGAUAAUUCAACAUAAAUAGAUUAAGAAAGUUUUAAUUUUUUGUUAAAAAAUUUAUAAUUAUUUAAAUGAUAAAUGAGUAUAAAUGUGAAUAAUUGAUCCCAAGGAAAAGAAAAGAAAAAAGAAAAAAUAUUUUUAUAACAUAUACUGUCGUAACUUUUAAAAUUUUUUUUUUUGAAAAAUAAAGUUUUUGAGAAGCAUAACAAUUGCAAGCACUCUUACAUAUUAAUAAAGUUGAAAUUUAUUAACAAAAAGUAGGACUACAAAAAAUAAACUUGAAACAUCUAAUCAAAAUAUUAGAAUUCAAUACAAAUAGUGAGAAUAUAGAACCAAGAAAUGAUAGAAAAAUGAAUGGAAGAGCAAAACUUAAAAGUUGGAAUAACUUGAUAAGAAUUUGAUAAAUUCCAAUGAAAAGUCGAGAUCCGAAAAAUGAACUUAAAACAUUCACCUAAAUGUUGGAAUUCAAUAAAAAUAGUAGAAAUAUAGUAUAGUGGAAAAAAAAAGUUGAAGAGGUUAACACAAUAGUCGGAACAACUUACAAAGAAUUUGAUGAAUUCCAAUGACAAAUAGGGAUCUUAAAAAUGAACUUGAAAUAUUAACCCAAAAUAUUAGAAUUUUGUAAAAAACAGUAGGAAUAUAUAGCCAAAAUGUGAUGAUAAUAGUUGAAGAAUUUAACCAAAAAAUUGUAAGUAUCUACCAAUAAUAUGAUAAAUUCCAACAGUGAAUGAUAUGAAAAAUAAACUUGAAACAUCCACAUAAAAUAUUGAAAUUCAAUUAAAAGAGUAAGAAUAUAGAACCAAUAUAUGGUAGGAAAAUGAGUGGAAGUGCUUAACACAGAAAUUGAAACAACUUGAUAAGAAUUUAAUAAAUUAUAAUGAAAAGUAGAGAACUAAAAAAUAAACUUGAAACAUGUACUCAAAUAUUGGAAUUCAAUAAAAAAAAAAAAGUAUGAAUAUAGGACCAAAAUUUGGUGAGAAAAUAAGUUGAAAACGUUGACCCAAAAGUUGAAACAACUGACAAAGAAUUUGAUAAAUUUUAAUGAAAAGCAGGGGUUUGAAAACAUAACUUGAUAUAUUUACCCAAAUGUUGAAAUUUAAUAAAAAGAGUAGGAUUAUAGAACCAAUAAAUGGUGGAAAGGGAGUGCAAAAGCAUAACCAAGAAGUUGGAAUGAUUUAACAAGAGUUUGAUAAAUUCCAAUAAAAAAUAGAUAUCUUAAAAAUAAACUUGAAACAUUCACCCAGAUGUUGGAAUUCAAUAAAAAGAGUAGAAAUAUUGAACCAAAAUUCGAUGGGAAUAAAAGUUGAAGAGGUUAACUCGAAGGUUGGAAUAACUUACAAAGAAUUUGAUAAAUUUUAACAGAAAGUAGGGAUCUAAAAACUGAACUGGGUAUAUUUACCUAAAAUGUUGGAAUUCAAUGAAAAGAAUAGAAAUAUAGUACCAAAUAGUUGUGGGAAUAACAAUUGAAGAGUUUAAUCCAAAAGUUAUAAGUACUUACCAAUAGCUUGAUAAACUUCAACAAUAAAUAGGGAUUUAAAAAAUGAACUUGAAACAUCUAUGGCAAAUAUUGGCAUUCAAUGAAAAGAGUAGGAAUAUAAAAUCAAAAAGCAGUGGAAAAAAGAGUUGAAGAGGUUAACCUAAAACUUGGAAUGAGUUACUAAGAAUAUGAUAAAUCCAACAACAAGUAGGGAUCAAGAAAUAAACUUGAAACAUUUGGAAAAAAUAUUGAAAUUACGUAAAAAUAGUAGAAAUAUAGAACUAAAAAAUGGUGGAAACAAGAGUUGAAGAGCAUGACCUAAAAGUUUGAAGAACUUAACAAGAAUCUGAUAAAGUUUAACAACCAAUCAAGAUCUAGAAAAUGAACCUGAAAUAUCCAAACAAAAUGUUAGAAUUCAAUGAAAAGAGUGGAAAUAUAGAACCAAAAAGUGGUGGAAAUAAGAGUGGAAGAAAUUAACCUAAAAGUUAAAAUAACUUAACAAUAAUUUGAUAAAUUUAAACGUGAAGUAGGGAUCCAAAAAGUAAAUUUGAUACAUUUACCUAAAAUAUUGGAAUUCAAUAAAAAGAGCAGGAAUAUUGAACCAAAAAGUAGUGGAAAAAUAAAUUGGAACAACUUAGUAAUAACUAGAUAAAGUCAAACAGAAUAUAGAUUAAAAAAUAAACUUGAAAUAUUAACCUAAAAAUAGAAAUUUAAUGAAAGAACUGGAAAUAUAGAACUAAUAACUAAUGGAAAAAUGAAUUGAAACAACUUACCAAAAAUUUGAUAAAUUGCAAUGGAAAGUAGGGAUCUAGAAAUUGAACUUGAAAUAUUUAAACAAAAUUUUGGAAUUCAAUAAAAAUAUUAGGAAUAUAGAACUAAAAAAUGGUGGGAACAAGAGUAAGAAGUUAACCCAAAAAUUGAAAUAAUUUACCAAGAAUUUAAUAAAUUCAAAUGAGAAGUAGAGAUCUAAAAACUAAACUUGAUAUAUUUAUCCAAAAUGUUGGAAUUCAAUAAAAUUAAUAGGAAUAUAGAACCAAAAAAUGGUAGAAAAAUAAAUCGGAACAAUUCACCAAUAACUAGAUAAAGUUUAACACAUUAUAGAGAUAUAAAAAUAAACUUGAAAUAUUCAUCUAAAAAGUUGGAAGUUAAUGAAAAGAGUGGAUAUAUAGAACCAAAAACUAGUGGGAAAAUGAGUUAGAACAACGUACCAAAAUUUAGAUAAAGCGCCACGAAAAAUAGGAAUUGAAAAGUAAACUUGAAAUGUACACUAUAAAUAUUGAAAUGUAACAAAAUAAGUAGGAAUAUAACCAUUUUGUGGUAUAUUUAUAUUUUUUUAUAUUUUUUAUACUAUUUUUAAAUUUAAAAUUAUUACAAUAUUUUUCCUCAUUUAAUUACAAUUUUAUCUUUUUUUUUCAAAAUUUUUCAUAAUUUGUUCACAUUAAAAACAAAUAAAAAAUGUAAUUUCAUUAUAUUACCCGGUUAAAAAUCGAUUGUACCGGUUGCAUGCAUGUGCUGUAUCAGAUACAGCGCGGCAUGGUAGGUUGACUCAUGUUUAAAAUACCUUUAAUAAAGUACUAAUAAUUAUUAAAGACAUGUUUGACUAGACUUGCAGUUGGCAAGCAAAAGAGGAUGAAAUUAUUAAUUAAUUAGAACACAUGAAAGAUUCCUCUCAUUUUUUUUUUUUGAAAAGAAAGUAAACCUUUCAUUAAACUAAACUUUCAGCCAUAAAUAAAACAUCAGCUGGGAAAUUGUUUCUCCAGAUAACAGAUUCUGAGCUACACAAAGCUCUUUUAGCUAAAAAAUGGGCAAAACCAUUACACUUUCUUGGAACAUGUUGGAAAGAUAUCAGUUGGAAAUCUUGUGUGCUCUUGUGGAUGUCUGACAUAGUCCACCAAAUCUCUGUCCUGUUGCUAACUUUCUUAUUUGCUAAGUCAGCUACAUUUUUGCAGUCGGUCUCUAUAAUCACAUUUGACAGACUAAGAUCCUUGGCUACCUCCAUACCCCACUUGACAGCAUGAGCUUCUGCUAUAGCUACGUUCCCCUGGAAAUUCAUGCUUUUUACUGCUGCUGCUAACACUUGCCCUGAUUUCUGAUGACCACGCCCAAGCCUGCACUCUUCCUAUCUUCUUUGACUGCUGCAUCAACAUUGACUUUCACUUUGUUGUUUGGUGGUGGAGUCCAUAUCUGCAUCUUUCCCUCUACUGUAUUUCCAUGGCUCCCCCGUUCUUUAACCUGCUGAGCCUGAUACACUUCCAUAACUGCAUUGCCCCUAGCCACUGACCCUACUGGAUCUAACUUUUUUCCUUGAAAAAGGAGUUUGUUUCUAGCAUGCCAAGCAACCCACCAAAUCGUGGCCACGUAAUCUACCUCAGACGUAGCCCAAUUAUUCAUAGCCCCAAUCAUGACACUAAGCAUGUCUUCUCUGAUGACGCUCUUCACCUCAUUCUCCAAGUGAGUACAUUUCCAGAUUCUCCGAGCCACUCUGCAUUCCAUCAAGGCAUGGAAAACAUCUUCACAACCCGCUUUGCAUAAAUGGCAUGUCAGUUCCUUCAGCACUUUCCUUCUCCAUAGAUUUUUUGCCGUUGGCAGCAGGUUCUUUGCAACUUUCCACACAAAGAUCUUAAUUUUCUCUGGUAAGUUUAACCUCCAAAUAUGUUGCCAGCCCUGUGGAGCUCCUGUAGAUCCGGCUGGAGAUUCAGAGAACUUAAUUUUGAGAGCUAGUUGAUAUCCACUCUUUACUGAGUAUAUACCUUUCUUAUCAUAAUGCCAUAUCACCAUAUCUUCUUGAGGAGUUCUCGGUAAAGGGAUAUUCCUUAUUAUUUCAGCAUCUUCCUUUGCAAAGUUUUGAUUGAUCAUUGUUUCAUUCCAUUGGUGAUUUUGAUCAAGAAGCUCUGAGACUCUAGAUUCAGUAGGCAAGGACUGUACCAGGAUUAGUUUGAAGGUUGAGGGCCUAGGGAAAGAUUCCUCUCAUUGAUUUCGUUGAAACAGACUUAAUUUGUAAUCAAAGUGAAAAUUCGUCAUCUUUCAGCGGUGGUUCCAACUUCUAACAAUCUCUAAGCAGUAAGUUUUCUGACAGUUUUAUAUUUACAUAUCUCUUGUAUUUGUGUAAUUAGUCUCUCACAUAAUUCAAUUUAAUAGGAAGUUUUGAUCUCUUGCUUCCAAGGCUCAAAACUUAUUGCAACAUUGCUGGCAAUUAGUGUGGGUUUCGGCUCUUUAAUUCAGCUUUGCUAGGUUUAAGUUCGACAUCGAAUUUUAUGCGUUUAGUGCAGUAUUUUUAUGAACUAUUUUUAAGAGAUUUUUAAUUAAUUCUUAGGUACUUAAAAUAAACUUCUUGUCGGCAUACAAAGGACUAAAAGAGUAAAAAUUAACUAGAACACAUAAAAUCUUCUCAUUAAUUUCACUGAAACAACGUAAAAAUUCAUCUAACUGUGGUCAAAUACAUGCAUGUGUCUUGUAUUUUCAGCUUAUUUUUUGAACUUUUAUAUGUAUGUUUUUUGUGACAUAUUUUAAUCUUAUUUGGAAUUGAGAUAUUGUAGCUUUUAAACUACAACAGCUAUGAAAAAAACUGUAAUUAUGAAACAAAAGUUAAUAAUAUAUAAUAAAUAUAAAUUUUAAAUAAUAAUUUUGAUAAAAUUAUUAGAAAUAUAAUGAAUUUUUUAUCAUAUAAGUGAAAAAUCAUAUCAAUAUAAUUUUUAAGUUACAGCAGUUAAUAUUUACCAAAUACUUUUCUGUUGUAGCUUAAAUAUCCACCCCCUAUCCCAAAAGCACUCUUUAUAUAAUUUAAUUUUUCACAUAAUUCCAAAAAAUCAAUUUAGAGGAAAUUUCGUUCUCUUGUUGCCAAGACAUAAAAACUGGUUCCAACUCUGCAGGUAGUGUGUGUUUCUUGGACAGGAAAGUUGGCAGUGCAGGUUUUAAGUCUUCUUUACUUUUUUAUAUGUAUGUUUUUUGUGACAUUCUUAUCUUUGCUUAUUCUUUACUUUUUUAACUUUCAGGGAUCUGAAACUGUUGAAGUCAUAUAUCUCAACUUCCCUGCAGAAGCAGAAGUGCAUUUCGGAGCAAGUUCUAAUACAUUUUUGAAGAUGACUAACCUGAGAAUGCUUCUUAUCCGUAAUGUGCAAGUGCAACUUCCUGAAGGCCUUGAAUAUCUCUCCAAUGAGUUACGGUUACUUGAAUGGCCUGGAUAUCCUCUGAAAUCCUUGCCAUCAAAUUUUCAACCGGAUAAAAUUGUUGAACUUAACAUGUGUUACAGUCACAUCGAACAAAUGUGGAAUGGAAUCAAAGUAAGUUUUAUUUCAUUUCUUUUUUUUCCCGUGAAUAAAUGUUGAUAGAGUUAUCAUUCAUCCCUUGAAAAAUUGCUGAAAUCAUUGUUUUUGAACAGCCUUUAAGCAAUUUGAAAUUCAUGAGAAUUGGCAAAUCCAAAAAUCUGAUCAGAACGCCAGAUUUCUCAGGGAUGCCAUAUUUAGAGGAGCUGGAUCUUGGAGGAUGUACAAGAUUGUGUGACAUUCACCCAACAUUGCUACUUCACAAGAAGGUUAUUUUAUUGAAUCUAAAAGACUGUACAAGUCUCACGACUCUUCCGGGCAAGAUUUUUAUGGAAUCUCUAAAAAUACUUGUACUUUCUGGUUGCUUGAAAUUGAAGAACUUUCCAGAGAUUGUGGGUAGUAUGAAGUGUCUGUCAGAUCUUCUUUUGGAUGGAACCGAUAUUAAAGAACUACCAAUAUUACCAUUUGAACUUCUAUCUGGACUUGUUCAGUUAAAUGUGGAAGGCUGUAAUAAACUUGAGCGUCUUCCAAGAAAUAUAAGCGCUCUAAAAUAUCAUCCAACUUGGAAUCUUUCUGGCCUAUUGAAAUUCUCAAAUUUCCCAGAGAUCAUGACAAAUAUGGAGCAUGUGUUGGAGCUUCAUUUGGAAGGAACUGCCAUAAGAGGAUUGCCGAUAUCAAUUGAACUUUUCUCUGGUCUUGUUUUGUUGAAUUUGAGAGAUUGCAAAAAUCUCUUGAGUCUUCCGUGUACUAUUAACGGUCUGAAGUCUCUUAAAAAGUUGUAUCUCUCUGGCUGCUCCAAACUUAAAAAUGUGCCAGAGAACUUGGGGAAAGUAGAAAGCUUGGAGGUGCUAGAAUUAAGCGGGUGCAAAGGACCACCAGUAUCAUCAUCAUGGUAUCUGCCCUUCCCAUUAGUUUGAAGCGAAGCUGUUCAGAUCCUACCGCUUUGAGGCUUCCUUCUCUGUCAGGUUUGUGGUCUUUAAGGAAAUUGGACCUCAGUGACUGUGAUCUAGGGGAAGGAGCAAUACCUAAUGAUAUUGGCAACUUAUGGUCGUUAGAAGAGUUGUAUCUGAGUAAAAACAGUUUCGUUACAGCGCCAGCAAGCAUUAACCGUCUUUUUAAUCUUGAAGAACUAGAGUUGGAAGAUUGCAAAAGACUACAAUCUAUGCCGCAACUUCCACCCAACAUAAAAGAAGUCGGAGUAAAUGGUUGUGCUUCAUUGGAAAAAUUAUCAGAUGCCUUAAAAUUAUGCAAAUCGGAGUACAUUUCAAUUAGUUGUAUAGACAACCUGAAAUUGCUCAGCAACGAUGGUUUGGCAUUUUCAAUGCUAAAAGAGUAUCUUGAGGUCAGUCUCUCUCUCUCUCUCCUCUCUCAUUUGUGCAAAAAAUUAUGCCUAAAAAUGAUGCAUUUUUAUGGGCUCCUUUUUUUCCCCCUUUUUUCGGUUACAGGCAGUGUCACGCCCAAUGCAAAAGUUUGGUAUAGUUGUUCCAGGAAGUGAAAUUCCAGAGUGGUUCAUGCAUCAGAAUGAUGGAUCUUCAAUAAAAUUCAUAAUGCCUUCAAAUUUAUAUUGUAAGAAUAAGGCACUGGGAUAUGCCGUCUGCUGCGUCUUUCAUGUCCGUGAACAUUCCCCUGGUAUCCAAACAAGGCGUUCAUAUCCCACGCAUCAAUUGAACUGCCAGAUGAAAGGUUCUUCUACCAGUUAUUCAAUCGAGUUCAGAGAGAAAUUUGCUCAAGCAGAGUCAGGCCAUCUUUGGCUACUCUACUUGUCUCUUAAAAAAUGCUAUUAUAGCAAUUGGCGUUUUGAUAAUAAUCUCAUUGAGUUGUCGUUUCGGCCUGUGUCUGGCUCAGGGUUGCAGGUGAAGAGAUGUGGUUUCCAUCCCAUUUAUAGGCACAAAGUUGAGUUCUUCAACCAAAUAAGAAACCAAUGGACUCACUCACUACACUGCCUAUAAUAUGAAUGAAUUCUAUCCCGAUUCUGUUUGAUCAAAGAUACUUGUAGCCACAACGUCAAGGUGAAGUGUGAAUGAAUAUUUGGGCUUGAAGAGUGGGAAUGGUGUUCUGUUGAUGAGGAACCACAGCCUGAAACAUUUAAUGCAGAAGCCUGCUUAUUCUCUGAAUUCAUCGAUAAGCAUUCAUCUUCAAAUUCAGUUCAUGUUCUUUGCACUUGGUAAUUCAUUUACAUUAAUUUUAUUAAUUUAUUGCAUCUCCUUAUCGAAAAACAUUUGAUGUUAAAUUACCAGAAAUCCUCUGCUUGGAUCAAAAGCAAAGAGUACCUAUAGUUGUUUAAGAAUGUGCCUUCAUGAAUUGAAAUAGCAUUACUGCUCUAUUAGCUUGGCUCCUCACUUGAAUUUCUUUGAUGUUUGUUAAUAAUUCCAAAUUCCAGUGAACAUGGAUUUUGAUCGAGAUAAUCCUAUGCUUUUGCCCUGUUGAUAAAAUCAAGCAGUUGUUGUGAUUGUUGCAAGUGUUUCUUAUUUUAUAUUUUUUCGUUUUUGUUGUUUGGUUUGUGAGAAGAUGUGGAAUUAGAACUGCACUAGAGUGAGAAGAAAUGAGAAGAAAAAGAAAGCAUGUAAAGUUUAGUGAAUGUGUGUGUGUAUUUUUUUUAAAGCCUUGAAUUUUUUGAUUUCUCAUGAGUUGAAAAUUAAGGAUUGAAACAAAUCUUCUGUUUUGUUGUAUUCUUAUUAUAUUUCUUCUCAUAAAUUUCUCAUUUUUGUAAAUAGUGCAUAAUUUGGUAGAAGCUUAACUGAAAGCCACUAAUUUUACUACAAGAAUAACUUAAUUUUUAAUUCAAUCCAGGGAUUCAAAAUGACUCAGAGUUCUUUCGAACUUAAAUAACAUGACAACUUAACUAUCCAUUCCCUUCUUUUUGUGCAAAAGUUGGCAGAUUCGGAGCCAAUUAGGGUGAGUUUUUUGGUACACUUGAAGGGGCUGGUGUCAUAGUUCAUGAAUUGCAUUGCUAUGAAUGAAUAACAAAGAAAUUAGAUUAGCUUAUUGAAUCUGUUUGAAUUUUUUUAUAUAGCCUAUGCAGUCAGAGGCAUUUAAAUUAUGUGAGUCAAAGUUCUCACAUAUUAGCUGUGCACAGUGCUUGAAAUUGCUUGGUAACAACGGUUUGGCCUUUUCAGUUUUAGAGAGUAUGUCAACUAAUGCCAGCCUUUUCACUCUGUUUCUCUCGAAUGCUCUUGAGCCUUAUGCAUAAAAAUUUAUGCUGUGGAAAAGAUUAAUCUAAGGGCCAGGAGUUUCUAUAGAAAGAAUAUAAAGAUGAUAAGGUUUGUUGUGUCCAUCUCAAAUAUAUUAUGGGUGUUAGGAGUAUCUGAUGAUGCUGAUGAUGUUGUGCAGUGAUGUUAAGCUGAUGGUACUAUGUAGUGAUGCUGAUAUGGUGUUAUGCAGAGUUUACAGAGCAUGAUGGAAGAACAUGAUAAGGCUGGUGGUUUAGCAUGUAGCUUAGUAUACCAGCUGAGAAUUAGUUAUGCUGAGCUGUCAAGUUGGUUAUAACUGAUUCAGUAGCCUUUAACCACGCAUGAAGAUUCCAGAACAAUCUAGCUACUAGAUUCUUGUAUCCAUCUUGUAGUAUAAGUAGAGUGAUCUGUAGAUUCUGUACACAUUGUUAAGUAUGCUAUGAUUGAAUAAAAUACAUUUUUCGUCACUUUCAAUUUCAUUUUCUCUAUAACCAAACACUGUUUUAGCCGAAUUCAAUCAAUGGGAAUUAUAAGAAAAUAAGCAGUAAAAGCAAAUAAACAUUAGGGAAAUGAACACUCAACAAUAUACCUACAUGUAAACAUCCUCGGAAGAUCUAAGAAGUUGAGCAUAGUACACAAACGCACACAGAGAGCAAUUGAAACUUGUAGCAAGUCUGCAGACUGCAGAUACAUGUCCGUAUCAGCACUAGAAUUUUGCUUGGAAGCGUAGCACUUUGGAUUAAAGAUAUACUUGUUGACUUGCUUCUGUCCACAGAAACAAUAAGAACCUUCAGUUGGAAUGAAAUCAGAGAUACAUUCAGAACCACCUUGAGGAAUUCAUGCUCAACAGCAACUUCAGUAAUAAUCAAGAUUAUAAACAGUAGAGAGACUCCAUUCAGCUUCAAUCCCGAGUGUCCCGAGUGUAUGGAAACUGGAUGGAGACUACACUUCUGCACCUUCAAUCCCGAACUAGUUUGAAACAACUAAACUUGGUCAGAUCCAAACUUCCAGUCAAGAUUAUUGCACUGUUGAAGAUCAAGAAUAUAAUGUAUACGAGCUUCUAUUUGAUCAGCUUUCAUGUGGUAGUGGUAGUGAUGUUUAUGUUUGCCUCUGACAGGAUGUGAAUGUUUUUUAACACGAAACGCACAGCAAAUAGCAUAUCCAACCAUCUUCUUCUUAUCGUAUGAAUCUGGAGGACUUAUUAUUGUUAUUGAAGAUCCCUCAUUCGGAUAGUCGAACCACUCCGGAAUCUUACGUCUAGGAAUAGCUAUGCUGAAAUCUGACUCCCAGGAAGAACAAUGGUGAAAACUCAGGUACUUUGUGGGAUCAUAUAACUCUAUUCAAUUAUUUAAUGGAUGAAUGACAUAUUAGUUGAGAAAUUCAACAUUACACGUGGGUAAAAUAAUAGAGUUUUGGAUCAGCCGUCAUCGUAUUCUUUCUUUAAUGUUAAACAAAUUGUUGGUUAUAAAUAAUUGGUGAUCAAAAUUGAUUAAUCUGUUUAUAUAAAUUAUUGAAAUUGAUCUUGUUCAUAAAAAACACUGCAUAUAGCUAGUAUAGUUAAUUUUGAUCUUCCUAAUGAUGGAGGUUGAAAAGUUUUGAGUCUUCGUAUAUGCAUUGUGAGAGUAAUUUUUCUCUUUCUUUCAGAAACAUAUUAAAUUUUUUCAAGCUAUUUCAUACAUAACAUCAAGGGUUUACUUUUCCAAAAGAGAGAUUAAUGCAACUUAACUGGUCAAUAAAAAUUAACAAUAGGUUCAAUUUAAGUUUUAUCUUGACAAAAAGAAAAAUUACAUUAGGUUUAAGAAUUUAAUAAGCUAAAACAAUUAGGAAAUUAAUGGGUUAAAGUAAACAUGCAACUAAAGUGAAAUUAGAAAAAUAAUGAAGAUGAAAUGGAUACAAGUAUUUUUCUUGGUUUCACUUGGAAACCUCCAAUAGUAUGAGUUAAAUGUAGGGAUGGCAAAAAUCCCCAUGGGGACGGGUACCCUCGGGGAUUUUCCUCAUUCGGGGAGGGUAUGGGGAUAAUUUCAUACCCAAUUUCUUAUUCGGGGAGGGGAUGGGGAAAUUUUUUUACCCAAUUUCUUAUUCGGGGAGGGGACGGGGAUGAGGUGGAAUCCCCAUCCCCUACCCAUUUCCCCAUUUUAAUUUUUAAUUUUAUUUUAAUUUUUUAAAAUUACUAGUAAAUAAAUUAUAAAAUUUAAAUUAUAAAAUUAUAAAUAUUGGUAAAAAUAAAAAAUAUCAAAAUAUUUAUAUUAUUAAACUUUUGGGCCUAAUUAACUAAUUAAAGUCCUAAAUUUUUAUUUAGGAAAUUAAAAAGACAGGGUAGAUUCUAUUAGCCCAAAAAAUUUUAAUUUUAAUAUUCUUUAAAUAUUUUAAACUUAAAUCUAUUUUUUAUUUAUUUUUAGAUGUUAUAAUUGCCCACAGCGAAUCACAAUUUUAAUAUCUAAUCUAAUCUAAUAUAAUAUUUGCUCUUGAUUUGCUCCGAUUUAACUAUUGUGUUGUAAAGGGAAUAGUUCACAUUUAUAAAGUGCCCACGCCACCAUUGAAAAAGUUAAUUUUGAAUCUAAAUUCGAUUUUAUUUGUAACAAUUUUGUAUUAGACUAUUAAUUUGUUCAUGAUAGUUUGUAAAAGAAGUUUGUAUCCCUUGCAUGCUGCGUUACUUAUUAAUUUAAUGUAUGUGACUUUUGUAAUGGAUAUUAAUGUAAGAUAUAUUUCGAACUUUAAUUUUAUUUGAAUUUUUUAUUUUAAUAUGAUUAACUCAAAAUCAAAAACAAAAAAAAAUAUAUUAGUUAUUCGGAGAUCGGGGACCCUCGGGGAUCCCCUGUUAUUAUUCGGGGAGGGGAUGGGGAUUCUCUCAAAUAAUUCUGACGGGGACGGGGAGGGGACAGAGACAUACGCAAAAUAUCGGGGAUGAGUACGGGGAGAUUGGUCCCCUCCCCUCCCCUCCCCAUUGCCAUCCCUAGUUAAAUGUUAGAAAAUUGAUGGGUAAAGCUGACACACAACUAAAGUAAAAUUGAGAAACAAUAAUCAUAAAAGAACACCAGUGAUAACACUAUGAAAUGAGAGUUAUCAUGAUAUUUUUAUGCUUAAAUUAACAUUACUUAGAGAGUAAAUGACAUAUUUUCAUUGCAUUUUAGCUACAUUUAUGGGUAGUCAUUUAAGUUUAAUUUUAAUAAAAUUCAUGUGUUUUUAGAUUAUUGUGUGCUUUGAUUACUUGCAUAAUUGUAGGUGACCAAGAAGCUCAAAUUUCAUGGAUGGAACGUUGCUGUAGCAGGCUUGCGGAGUUACAAAAGAACUUGGAUGAGAAGUAAUUUUGAAAUAAUGAAAGAUGCUGGAGCAAUAUGUUGUAGUACUAUUGCUGCAGCAACUCCUGGAGCAACGAUAAAUGAGAUAUCACACGUUAAAUAGAAGACCGCAAUCUAAAGUUUCCAAAAAUAAGAGAUUCACUGCCAUACGUUUCUGGUAACCCUAAUUUUGAUUUAUAAAAAGAGCACAUUACAAUGAAAAAAGGAGAGUUGUCAUUAGAGAAAAGAAUCGAGAAACAGUACAAGAGAAAAUAAAGAUAAAGAGACAGAAUUAAGGGCUGCAUCAAAGGAUUUAUGAAGAAUAUUAAGGGGAUUCAUAAGGACGAGCGGAUUUCAACUCUUAUUCUUACUCUCUUAUUUUUAUCUUGUUAUGAAGACUUGUUUGAUGGCUGAAACUAUUUUGGUUUUUGUUUUAUAACAAAUUAUGAACUAAAAUUACUUAUGGUUGAGUGAUAAACAAUGUUGAUGGUUAACUGACUGAUUAUAUGUGUUGCUGCAUGUGUGCUAUAGCAUGUUGUUUUUAUAAUACUUAUUUCAAUUCACUAUUUUUAGCUGACUACCCAUUUAGUGGUACUAGCUAAGUAAAAGCCUAAAAAAGGUCUGUCUUAGUGGGACAUAUCAAAGUAAUUCUUGGUUUUAGGUUGGAUUUCAUGAGUUGAGUUUAACUUGAUUCAAAAAAGGUCAUGCUUAAUCUAAAAUUAGUGAUGAACUAGACAUAGAGAUUUACCUUGUAGGAUAAUUAGAAUCUAAAACGUGUAAUGCUAUAUUUUAUGUUAGCAUAACAAUUGGUCACUGUUAAGUUGUAUCAAGAUAUAAGACAUCCAAUAAGUGAUAGCUGAUGAUACAUAAGGAUUCUGUAUAGUACUGUAAAAGAUGUUGUAGCAACAUAACCAAAAAUUAGAAAAAUAGUCAAAACCAUUAAGAGAGUUUAAUCACUCAACUACUCUAUUCUCAUUGAUUAUAUCCUUGUAUUUGACGUGAUGAUUUACCUUAUUGCAUUUUUAUUUUAAUUAAUUCAUUAGUUUUAUAAAUUAUUUUAUUUUUAAUUUUGGAACAAAAUAAGGUUGCUGCAGCAAUUCAUAUAACAUCAAUUCCUAUGGAGACAAUCUCGAAUACUUAUCAUUAUAUUACUUGUUGUGUACACUUGCACAAUGACACCCAUAGCAUACAACAAUCAGAAUUUUCAUAGUUAAACUUUUAGCCUACAUUCAUAGGUGAAGACAGAAGGAAAUGUUUUACUAAUGAAAAGAAGUUAUAAGUAUUGUAGUACUUUGUCUCACAAUCCAAAAACCUUAAUAUACCUAAACUCUAAAAACAUUAGAACAAGAGUUUAAAGCUCUCAACACACUCUUAGUCUCCAAUUCCUGGCUCUGUCACUUCACAAUUAGAUUGAGAAUUAAAGAAAAUGAAAUGAAUGAAGAGGACAAAUGAAACCUCUAUUUAUAGGCCAAGCAAUACCCAAAAUCAGCAAUGUUGGACUUUAAAAUAAUAUAUAUUUUCAUUCAACUUUCAACUUUGGUGACAAAGCCAAAAGUUGUGUGCUAGACAAAUGCCUCCCACUUACUCAACAAAUUAUGCCAAAAGUCAAAAGUUGCAUGUUAGCAACAUAUAAUUGUUUGCCAUAUACAUGCACAUGUUCAACAAUUCUCCCACUUAGAGACUUGAUUGAGAACCAAUCAUGUCUCCACACCAUCCAUUCUUUUUCGUCAUUGUUAUGUUGCUUACAUCUCUGCUAGGCUACAAGAGGAUCUACUCCAUACAAACUUGUCAGCAUUGGUUCGCUUGGUCAAAACAUCUCCUCGGUUCUCUUUGGUAUGGAUUUUUUUGUAAUAAAGUGGUAUUGUACCUGAUAACUCUAGAAAAUGAGAGUUAUCAUGGCAUUUUUAGGCUUAAAUCAAGACUCCUUAGAGAGUAAUUGAUGUGUUUUAGUGCAUUUUAACGAUAGUUUGCAUUACAUUCAUUUUAGUUUAAGUUUAAUAAAGUUUACGUGAAUUUUGAAUAAUUGUAUGCCUAAAACAUAUGUUCAACUAUAGGUCAAUGGAAACCUGAAUUUUAUGGAAAAGAUGUUGUUGCAAUGGACCUAUAAAGAGGACAAACGAGCAUGGCUAUAUAAGAAUUGGAGCACAUCUGGAAUAGUGAAGAUGCUAUAGCCAUUGUUGUAGGCUGUAGCAAUCCUUGAGCAUUGACGGAGAAAAUAUGGGCAAGAUUUUCAUAAUAUUGCGAUAUGCAGUUUUCUAAUCUGAAGAUGCAUGCCCUAGAGUUUCCAGUUACCCUAAUUUGUGAUUAUAAAAUGAGGCAUACAUGCAAAGGAAAGAGGAGGCCGUCAAUCGAAACCAAAAUAGAAAAGAAAUGAAGAAGAAACAGAAAUCCCGAGCAGAAUUCAAGACUUCACCAAUAGAAGAAAUUUACAGAUUCUAUUGGAAUUCACUCUUUCUCAUUCUUUUCUUGUCAUUCAUUGAUCAUGACUAUGUACUCGAUGGCUACCACUUGGUUGUUUAAUUUCUAUGCACAAAUUAUGAGCUAAAUUUAUUUAUGGUUGACUGUUAAGCUAUCUUGAUGGUUGAUUGACCGAAAAUAAGUAUUGCUGCAUGUUUGCUAUAGCAUUUUGCUUUAAUAACAUUUAUUUAGAUUCAUUAUUCUGGUUGACCACUUAUUUAAUGAUACAAGUUAAGAAAGAGCCGCAAAAUGGCCUAUUUUAGUGGAACAUAUUAGAGCAAUACUUAGUUUUAGAUUGAGUUUCCUAAAUUGAGUUUAACUUGAGUCCAAAAAGGGUAAUGCUUAAUCUAAAGAUUAGUGAUAAACCGGAUGUGGGGAUUCACCUUGUAGGGUAAAGAGAACAUGAACGUGUAAUGUUAUAUCUUAUGUUGACAUAGCAAUUGGUCAUUAUUAGGUUGUAUAAAGAUAUAAGACAUCCAACAUGUUACUGCUGAGGAUAAAGAUGAAAUAUAAGUGUGCAACCCAAGAGGGGGGUGAAUUGGAAUUUUAAAAAUUAUCCUAGAAAAUCCACACAACAAACAAUCUAAUGUCUUAAUAAAAAUUGAAAGCAAUAAGUUCAAUAAAAGCACAAUAACAAAUGAGUAAGGGAGAAGAGAAACAAACACACGAAUUUUUACGUGGUUCGGUAAUCCCCGCCUACGUCCACGCCUCCAAGCGAUCCAAACUUGAGGAUUUCACUAUCCAAGCCUUUCCAAGGCUUCAACCAUUUACAAUUAACUUCAAGGUGUCAAUGAACCUUUACAACAAAGAGAUUAUCUCCCAAUCUCUUCACUCAAGUGUCUCACACACUCAAACUUUUACAAUUAAGAUGAAGAAAUGAAAGUUACAAUAAAACUCACUCAAAGAUUAGAUAUUCAAAAAUGAAGAACAAUAGAUGAUUCAAUGUUUUGUGAUUUGCAAAUUGAAAGCUCAAGAUAUUUCGUGUGCUUUUUGUUUAUGCUUGCUAGAGAGCUUGAAAAUGAGUUGGAUUUGAGUUUAUAUAGUUUGAUCUAAAAAACUAGCCGUUAUGCACAUUUUGGUCAUAACCGGCUUGCCAUUUAGGAAUUUGGUAAGCCGCUUUUAUGUUGCCAUUAAGGCAAAAAUUUGAAUUUCAGAAUAUCUGGCAUGCCGCUUUUCAUAUCCAGUAAGCCGCUUUUGAAAUCCGGAUUGCCGCUUUGCGAAAUUCGGAUAGCUGUUUAUGCUCCAGAAGCUUACUAUCCAAAAUCCAGUUUGCCGUUUACCAUAUCCGGUAAGCCGCUUGCUACAGUAACUGCUACAGUGAAAUAUUUUCUAAAUUUAUAGUUUGACCCCAAAACUUUAUAAAACUGUAUUAUAGCCCAAAAUAUUAUAUUAUUUUGCAAAUAGGUCCAAUUUCAGAAUCUCUAAAUAAUGCUUGCUAUUCCCAAAACUUUUUGAAAUUAUAAUAUGGCCCAAAAUGUUAUGAAACUUUUCCAAUAAGUCCUCCAAAAUUUCGAGCAAUACUUGUUGAUUUCAAAGUUUUCAAAACUCUUUCAAUUAAAUCAUAAACUUGAAAAACAACUAAUUUCAUAAAAUCAUUUUUCCAUUAAAUAUAAAACCUUUAUAAUGUGAAAAUAAUGAUUUAUUUAAAAUAUAUAAAAAAUAAUUUGAGCUUAAAUAUUAAUCAUUCUUAAUCUUGUUUGUUAUCAUCAAAAUCAACAUUAUGCAAACAUAUAUAUUAACAAAAGAUGGUUUAUGUCCAGUGUUGUAACAGAUGUUGCAGUAACCGUACUCAAUAUAAAUAAAAUAGUUAACACCAUUAUAAGAGUUUAAUCACUCAACCACUCUAUUCCAAUUGAAUUUACUUUUGUGUCUAACAUGCAAUUUUCAUUCAUUGCAUUUUCUUUAUUAUCGCGGUUAUUUUACAUAGUCUAUUAGUUGUAUUAGUUACAUUGAUUUUUAAUUGAGAACAUAGAUUACACUGUGAAAUUGUUGUAGCAAGUCUGAUAGCAUCAAUCCCUAUGGAGACGAUCUUGGAUACUCACCCUUAUAUUACUUGUUGUGUACAUUUGCACAUUGACAUUACUAGCAAUUGAGUUAAAGAUUACAACAGUACCCCUAUGUGCUUUGUCUUGAAAUGAAAUGUUGGAUUCCUUGCAAUGUACAAGAUACUCUAAUUGUCACAAAACAAAAACAUUUUCUCUUGUUUGUACCCAAACUCCUCCAACAACCUUUGUAUCUAAAGAACCUCUUUGCAAGGUUAUGUAGCUACCAUUAUUAUGCUUCUGUUGUAGAUAAAGUCACAAUGAUUUUCAGUUUUGAAACGCAGGUUACAGCUUUUCUUGCAAGUGUAAACACAUAGCCAGUAGUAGAUUUCCUUUAUCAAGGUCCCCUGCAAAAUAUGAAUCCUCAAGGCCUCUGACAGUAAAUUUUAAUCCUCCAUAACAUAAUGCAACAUCUAAGAUUCAUUUGAUGUAUCUGAGAAUCCUCUUUACAGUUUUCCAAUAUUCUUCACCAGGAUUCACUCUAUAUCAACUGACUGCUCACACGGCUUGUGCAAUAUCUAAUUUCGUAUAUAUCAUAAUGAACAUUAAACUUCCUAUUGCUGAUACAGAAGGUAUUCGAGACAUCUCCUUCCUCUCUGCUCUGUUGCUAGAAUAUUUACUUGAGGAUAACUUGAAAUUAACAGGAAGUGAGGUAGAAAUUAGCAUACAAUCUUGCAUGUUGAAGCGUCACAAGAUUUUCUUCAAGUAAUUCUUUUGGGAUAGCCAAAUCUUCUUGUUAUUUAUGUCUUAGUGAAUUUGCAUUCCUAUAUUCUUGUUUGCUAGUUUUAAGUCCUUCAUUUUAAACUACCUAGCUAAUUGUGCCUUUAAUUCUUGGACCCAAUCUUUGUUUAGGCCUGCUACUAACAUGUUAUCCACAUACAAUAGUAUAAUGAUAAAAUUAUUAUCCUCAAACCACUUGUAAUAUGCACAGGUCUAAACCGAGUCUAUUGUAGCCAAGGCUCAUGAUGAAGGAAUCAACUCUCUUAUACCAACAUCUCAAUGCCAGUUUGAGACUAUAUAGAGAUUUGUUCAAUCUACAAAAGAAGUUUUCUUUACCUGUUUCAGCAAAACCUUCUGGUUAGUGUAUAUACAUUUUUUCUUUAAGUUCUCUAUGAAAAAACACAGUUUUCACAUCUAAGUGCUCUAGGUUUAGGUUAAAUACAACACAUAUUGCAAGGACUAUUUUGAUUGUCGUGAGUCGAAUUACUAGGGAAAAUAUAUCGUUAAAGUUAAUGCAUUAUUUCUGAGCAUAUCCUUUCACUACCAAUCUUACACGAUACCGCUCUACUUGGUCAUUGCCAUCACGCUUGAUCUUGUAAACAUAUUUUUUUCCUCUGAUUUUUCUUCCACGUGGUAGUGGUAUAAGUUCCCACGUCUUAAACCUAUGUAGAGCUUUAAUUUCUACCUGCAUUGUUGUCAUCCACAAAACAACAUUUAAGCCAUUUAAAGCUUUAUGGAAAGUUGAUGGCUCUGCAUCCUCUGUUAGAAGAUAGUAUACAACAUUGAUCCUAUAACAUACUCUAAGUGCCACACCGACGGUUGUCUCUCGCAAGUUGACCGAUGAACUUCUGUAGCCUCAGACUCCACUGGUUCUUGCUUCUCAUGCUUUAGUGGUGUUUCAGAAUAAUCUAAAUCUUCUUUUCCCGGAUUAUUUUCAUAUACAUUGGUACAAUCUCUGACUUGUUCUUCAAAGUGCUAUCAUUCUCAUUUUUCUUUUGUAGUCGAUCUUCUACAAAGAUAACAUCUCUACUGAUGACAAUCUUGUGGGCAAUGAGAUCCUACAGACAAUCUUGAUAAGAAUCUUAUAGUCAAUCUUUUUUCUUGAGCAUUGUAAGUGCAUAGGGCAUCCAUAUGCAUGCAAAUGAGAAGAAUCACCAGGCUUCCUAGUCUACAUCUCAAUUGGUGUCUUUAACUUAAUUGUUGUAGGUGGCAAUUAAUUUACUACAUAAUAGGUGGAUUUGGUUAUUUCUAACCAAAAUGAGUUGACUAGAGCAGUCUUCAAUAUAACUUGUAUUCAUUCUGUAAGAGUAUUGUUCAUUCGCUCUGUCACUUCAUUCCAUUGAGGAGUGUAUGCCACAAUGAACUAUUUUUUAAUACAUUUUUGCUUACAGCAUAUAAAAAACUAACUAUUUGUAUAUUCUCCACUAUUAUUUGUUCCCCAAACUCUUGAUAUUUUUCCUGAAUUUAAGUUCCACCCGUGCUUUGUAUUCUUUGAACACUGAAAAUGCAUUUGACUUUUUCUUAAUUAGAUACACCUAACAUCUCCUGGAAUAAUCAUCUAUGAAAGUCAUAAUGUACGUUGCACCUCCUAGGGACAUAUUCCGGUGAUUCCCAAACAUUAGAAUGAACCAAGUCUAGAAUGCAUUUACUUUUGGUAUCAGAUUUGCUGAACUUCAAUCUAUGUUACUUACUCGUAACAUAAUACUCGUAAAACAGUAAGUUCGCCAAUUUGAGCCCCGAAGCAAUUUUCGUUCUAAGAGAAUCUUCAAACCUUAUUUUGACAUGUGGUCAAGUUUGAGAUACCACAUCAUCAUCGACUUUUCUCCAUUUGACGAGACACAUACAUUAGCUUCUUGUAAUGUUUCCUCUUUAAGUAUGAACUGACUAGCACUGAUUUUUUCCCAUCUUCAUCAAUACAAGCAUAUCUCUUAAAAUCUUCAUGAUUUUAUUGUCCACAUGAGUUUUAUAGUUAAAACUAUCUAUUUAUCCUAAAAACAAUAGAUUUUUCUUCAAUCCUUUGAUAUGUUGUACCUUCUGAAUUGUGCGAACUGUACCAUUAAACAUUUUUAUUUUGACAGUAUCAAUACCAACGAUCUCCAAGAUAUGAUCAUCACCCAUAUAUUCUCUUAAGAUGGGUUCAUAUCUGUGGAACCAUUCUUUUCGAGAGGUCAUGUGCCAAGUGGUUCAUAAGUCUAUAAGCCAUACAUUAAAUAAUUGUUUUGUCUUCUGCAACCAUUGCUGCCUUGCUGUAUAAAAUGUCACCAUCAAUUGAGGUACUUGCUACACAUCCCUAAACAUUUCAUGACUCAUGAUUUUUACUCUCUUUUCUCUUUUAGUUACUCCAAAACUCUUUCUUAACAUGCCCCAUCUUACCACAUUUGUAGCACCUAAUUUUCUUCUUCUUGAUUUUGAUCUACCAUGCACUAGAACCACGUUCCACUGAUUUUCGUCUCACCAUUAUUAGUGUUCUGCUUGCUGCAAACUUGCUUGCCUAUCUUUAUUGUUGUUGCAUCUACCCACUUCCUCUAAUACAGAGACUAUAACAUCGUCAAAGACUAAAUACUCUGUGCGGAUAUUAUUUGUCAAGUUGAUGAUGAUUUGAUCAUACCAGUCAGGUGAACUUUGAAAUAGAAGCUUUGCAUGUUCAAUUUUCUCUAUUUUAUGACCUAACAUUGUAAGUUGUAAAAAAAAAAUUUUCAAAGUGUUGAUAUAGUCGGUCAUUGAUAUGGUUUCUACCAUUUGAACACUAUAAAGUCUUCUCUUUAAGAAGAUUUUAUUGUGUAGCGACUUGGCCUUGUUUACUUUUGCAAGGGUAUUCCAAAUACACUUCGCUAUCUUUUGCUUUGCCAUACUGGAUAAUAUCUUAUCUGCAAGUGCCAAGUGUAGAUCAAUAAGUGCAUUGUCGUCCAUCUAAUUCCACUUGUCAUUGGUGAUUUUUAUAAACCUUUCUGCAAUUACUUCUAAAUAAUUAUUUUUCCUCGGGAUUGCUCACAUCUUCAUUUUUCACAAUGAGAGAUUGCUCCUAUUGAACUUCUCAAUUUCAAAUUUUGUUGCCAUUUUGUUAAUAAAUACCAUACACAAGUUAGUGUACCACCUUGAGUAGUUAUGAGUGAUCGCACGUGUGAAAAUGCACAGCAGAAAAGUUUCCAGGAAUGACUGGAUGGAUCACAACGGUGCCAUUUAAAACCCAAACUCUCUAGGCUCUUAUCGCCUUUGUGACGGAACUAUCCUAGACAUGUACAAGACCACGUGAUUACUUCUACUCACACUAAUACUCCUUACUUUAUAUUGUGGAAUUCUUCGAUCGCUCCCACUAUUUUAAGUAAACAGUAUCAUAUACAUGAAGAGUAUUGUAUACGUGAACAAUAGCUGACUCCAAAAACUAUAACUAAAUGGCUCUGAUACCACUAUUAGGAAAUUGAUGUGUGAAGCAGACACAUAAUUAAAUUGAAAUUGAGAAAUAAUGAUCACAGGAUGACACCAUAAUUUAGGUGGUUCUGCUUUUCACCUACAUCCACGGGCAAAGGCAGAAGGAAAUAUUUUACUAGUGAAAAGGAGUUACAAGUACUGGAGUAUUUUGUCUCACAACCCAAAAAACCCAAUGCACCCAAACUCUCAAGACACUAGAAUAAGAGCUUAAAACUCUCAACACACUCUCAAUCUCCAAAUCUUGGCUCUUUCACUUCUCAAUUAGAUUGAGAAUUGAAGAAAAUGAGAUGAAUGAAGAGGGCAAAUGAAGCCUCUAUUUAUAGGCCAAGCAAUGCCCCAAAAUCAACAACAGUGGGCUUUAAAAUAAUAUAUAUUUUCAUUUAACUUUCCCCUUUGGUGUCAAAAACAAAAGUUGUGUGCUAGCUAAAUGCUUUCCACUUACUCAUGUCUCCCACUUACUUAACAAAUUAUGCCAAAGUCAAAAGUUGCAUGCGAGCCACAUGAAAUUGUUUGCCACAUGCAUGUGCAUGUUCAACAGUAAAAACCACAAGCAAGGAUUUAACUAGUUUAAACGAGGACUACAAAACCUUCAACGUUGGUGGAUUUCACUAGUUUAAACGAGGAUCACAAAUUUAUCUUUUCUCUAAACAGUAAGAGAGAACUAUUACUCAUUUUCGUAAUAGUUGGGGGCUUAGGCCUAAGAUGCAAAGGUAUGUAUCCAACUUAAAUGACUAGUUUUUCACUAGUGAAUUUGGGACACACAACUCAAUAGAAAGAACACAACACUCUCUCACAAAGCUUAGGCCCUGUUUGGUAUUAUUUUCUAAAUGAUGUUUUCAUGAAACAAAAAUGAGAAUGGAAAUGAUGUUUUCAAAUUUGUUUUUAAAAUUUAAAGUGUGUUUUGUAUCAUUUUCAAAAAUAAUCUUGAAAAUGAAAAAAGUUAAAUACUUUCGAUAAGAAAAUCUUCAAGAAUUAUUAUUAGAAUAAUUUUCCUAAACUUAAAAUUGAGUAAUGAAUAAUUAUUUUUAUUAUUUAAUCAGUUUAUUUUUUUAAUUUUAAGAAUAAAUUAGGUGAUCCCAUUAUUUUUUUUUGUUUAAAGAAAAGUUAUAAACUCUACAUAUUUGAUUUAAUUAAUAUAUAAAAACAUAAAUAUUAUAAUGUAUAUAAAAAGAAAAGAUUAUUGUGGAGGAGGGAAAUCAAUUUUUUGGGAAUAAUAAUAAUAAUAAUAAUUUUGAAAUUAUUAAUAUUUUGUGAGGUGUUGGAAGAAAAUUGUUCAUUUUGAAACUUAAUACUGUAUUGGAAAAUAAGGAAAACAAUAAAAAGUUGUUUUCCUAUUUCUUUUGUUAAAAAUGUAGAAUGAAUUUUAUAUUUUCAAAAAUAUGUUCAAAAAUGGUCUACCGAACAAGUAUUUAGUAUUUUCUGAAUGCAGAAAACAAGAAGCAGGAUUUGGAAACAAUACUAACGGACCUUUACUUGCUCCCAAACAAUGAUCUUGCAGAUACUUUAUUUUAUCGAAAUGAACCUCAAACAAGUUUAUUUGCUUCUGGCUGUCAUUGACUCAUUGACCAUUAGCAAUAUAGUAUUAGGUAGUGCCCUCUCUUUUCUUUUUUAUCUUUGUCUUCUCCAAUUCGAGCUACAAAUGUUGCGAAGAAUUCCUUUCCAUCUCCUCUCCAUUGUUUGGCUUCAAUAUUUUGGAUUUGAAUGGAAUCACAAUUUCUCACCUAUUGUUAUACAAAGUUUCGAAUACAUUAUUAUAUAAAAGUGUAAGUUAAAAAAAAUUAGAAUAAAAUUUAAUAAUAUCAUAAAAAAAUUUAUAUUUUACAUCAUCCAAUUUUUGACAAAAACUCAAGUAGAUAUCACAAGUAACGCAGCACCAACAUUUGAUUUUUUUUCUACUUUUGUACCCAAUUUUCAGCCAGAGUUAAAGUAAAUAAAUUUUAAUUAAUUUAUGAAAAAAUAAUAAUAAUAUGAGAUCGACGGGUCCCAUCGAGAUUUUCUUAUCUCUUUAGUAAAUUUCCUGCAUAUCUAUUUUGCAUCAACCUUAACAUUGUAUGUGAAAAAUUUCUGCAUAUUUAUUUUGUCCUACGGAGACAAUAUUUUGAGAUUCAUAUACAAUUAACAUAAGGAAGCUUCCGAGAAAUUUCUGGGUGGACUUCAAAAUGAGAAAAGAAAUUAAAUUUGUUGGACCACCAUCAUGAAAUUUUAAAUUUUUUGGACCCCAAUCUGCCUUUGUCUUUUCAUCUGAUUGGAAGCCACUCGAUGACAUUGACUGAUCAUUGACCAUUUGGUGCUCUCUUCUCUUCGUCUUCUAAUUCAACUUACCGUCAUGAAAUUAAACGAUCAUUCGAGGCAUCUUCAUCGAAAUUAUUUGUUGCGACAAUCCCAUAAUAAACGGCAAAUAUCAAUCGCAUAAAGCAUACACGGAUAAGUCAAUGUUUACGGGGAAAGAUUAAAAAAAAAAAUUCAUUAUUAAAAUAUAUAGGGAAUACAAAUAUUGAAAUAUUUAUAUUAUAAACCAAAUUCUUAAUAAAAUCAAGUUCUCAGAUCACUCGAAAACAUUUUUGUUAUCUCAAUUGCUAAAGAAUUGCUUCUCAUAGAACACACGUUAAGUUUUCAAAUUGUUGGAGACUUUUCUCACACUGGCUCAUGGAUUCUGCAUCCAAUUUAUAGGCAAAUCUAGAUUUCAAAUGUCAAGAAUAACGGAAUCUAAUAGCUCGCAAUUAGAGCAUGCAAAUCUUGACUUUUAGAAUGCGAAAUCUCUGACUUUUAGGCUCGGUGAAAAAGUGAAGAACGAACAUGGCUUGUUUCCAAUUGCACGAUAAAAAAAUUCUAGUAGACUGUAAUUAUUGAAACAUGAAUAACUAGAAAUAUUUUAGAUGGUGUAUUUAAAGAAAAAAAACGUACUAAAAAAUCUAAGUCAUGUAUUGAUGCGCAUGGGAGUUGUUAAUAGACCCAAUUGUUGUAGUUAAUUAGAUGACUCAAUGUAUCGGCUUUGACUGUGAUCUGAGAGAUGGAAUUACAAAUAUAAAUUUGGGUAAUAAAAGAAAAUUUCUUGUCAAAAUCUUUGAAAAAUACGCCGAAAUUUCUGGGGAAAAUUUUAGUUAUUUUUUUUCCCCUGCAGACGUGUAGUUUGGGGCAAGGAAAGUUUUUUCUCUUCUAAUAUAAAUAGGAAAAUUAUGAUUUUUUGUCCCUCACAUUCAGGAAGGCUCAAGGAAAGUAAGUAAUCGUGAGUAUGAGUCUAUGGGAAAAUAUGCUGUGAGAUUAAUUGGUCUUUUAUUUUAUUUUUAUUUUUAUUAUUUUCUUUAGUGACGGUGGCGAAUAGUAUUUACACCUUUUUUUACUAUUAAUUUUUAACCAUCAUUCACUAUUUCUUUCUUUUGGAGAAACGCGGUUCAACAGUAACCAUAAAGCUGGAAUUUUAAUUGUGGAGGGUGCACAAGAGUAAUAUAGAGUGUUUUAGUCUAUUCAGUGUGCAAAUAACCCAAUGUUAUAAGAGUUAUGAAUAUAUGUUGUAUGUAUUUGUAAUAUUUUUGUUUUGGGAGGGGGUUAUAUUAAUUUAAGAAUUCAACUUCAAUCUAGACAUCAAAAUAUGACCAUUUAUUUCGUUCAAUCAAUUAACCCAUGAAUUUAUGGUCAGACUCUUGGAUUGUUUGUUGAUUGGAAAGGCUAAAAUUGAGUGGGAAAGUAAAGCAAUGGAGGAAUAGAAAAAGAUCUAUGGCAAAGAUCGAUGAACAGUGGCCAUGAUUUAAUAAUGAAUUACAGACAUGUUGGCCUUACGGAAUAUGUUGUUGACAAAAUUAUGGAGUCUCGAUUUCUUGGGGAUGAAUGUGAUUUGUGAGAAUGGGGGAUGAAUUUUUUUUAUUAAAGUUUUACUGAAAAUAUAAUAGUUUAUUAAAGUUUCCUACAUUUGUGACAAAAUUAUGGAGUCAUCCAUGCUUCUUGUCUUCUGAAUCUUAUUUUAUUAAAGUUUUACUGUCAUAUAAUCAAUUAUCUCAUACUUUAGAUUGAAUUAAAUAAAUUUUCAAAUUUUGAUGCUUAGAUUACAAUUAAAUUCUUAAGUUAAAAUAUCCCUUCCCGUUUGUUUUUUAUCUAAAAAAAUCGUUGGUACUGAAAAAUAAAUAAUCUUAUUUUUACUGAAAAUAUAAUAGUUUUAGUCUUCUAAUUUGUUUAUUUUAAAAGUAACUCAUUCACCACUUUACAAAAUCAAAAUCUUCUGUAGUAAUGAAUUGAUUUUACAAGAAGUAACUUUAAAGUUUUUACCAAACACUUAUGUUAAUCAUUAGCCUCUCAAUAUCACUUUUGAACAUCCCAAUAAGCAUAAACUAUUUCAUUUUCUAAAUAAUAAAUGCAAAAUGAUUGAAAUACUUUUUAUAUCAUAAAAGUAAAAAUAAUUUUAUUGUUUGUAUCAAAUUAAUAUUACUUAGAUAUAUUUAUAUUUAAUUAAAUUAUUAGAAAAUUAUUAAAUAAUAAAAUAAUCUUUUUAUUCAUAAUAAGACAAAUUUAGAGAAAAAUUAGAUGGUAUUCGUUAGGAAACUUUAGAGAAAAAUGAAUGUGGAACUGUCCCACCACUUGGGAUUCUUUCACAUAAUCUUUCAGUGGAUCUCAUUAACUUUUAUUUUGAAAAAUCAAUUGAUGGUAUAGCCUGGUAGGGUAAUACUCUAGGUGGUCCCUUUCGCGUUUUUAGUUGUCGUACACGAUUUAUCUCUUCCUCACUUGAAAUAAUAGUCAAUAAAGCUGCAUCUUCACUGGAAUUAUUGUCUACAGUACUUCCUGAAAAAUGAGAUAAAAAAUAAUUUUAUAUAAACUUCAGGAAGGUUUCAAGCACCAAUAAUUAUUUAAAUUUACUCACAAGAAAUUACUUUUAAUAAUAAUAAUAAUUUAUAUCAUGAAUAUUUUUAUGAUAAAUUUUUAUAAAAAAAUGAGUGCUUAAAAUAACUGUUUAGAGUGCAAAUAAUAUCGUCUAAUUGAUAAUCCUCCCUGCACAAAUACAAUUUCUUAAUAGGGCACGUGUCAGUAGAAUUGAGCACAGAAGCGUGAUUGGAAAAGUCUAUGGUGGAUUGUUGGGAAAUUUACACGCUCUCCACCUUUUUGGCUGCAUUCACUGUUUUCGUAUUUCUUCACUGGAUAUGAAAGUCAAGAAGAAAGCUGCACCUUCAGUGCUUUUGUUCACAAAUUAUUUUUGUUAGAGCUCAUAAUUUAACCAAAACAAAAAAGAGGACAAAAGCAGGACACUAUUGCCAAUAGUUAUGGUCCGACAAAUUUGAGAAUUGAUCAAGAAAGCAAAGGGUAGCCGGUAGCGUAUGAAAUUGCGCGUUGAAAUUAUGGUGCUUUUGGGUAAUUCACACCCUUUUUAACAUUUUUCUUUCUACGAUUGAAUAACGCGGAAUAAUUUCAAUUAAAAGUGAACAAAGCUGCAUUUUAAGUGAAAUUAUUGUCCACAGUGCUAAGGAAAUCAAAUGAGAUGAAAUUAUACUCCCUAGAAGGUUCCAAGCAUCGUUUUACUCUUGAUAGAUACUACAGUCGCUAACAUUUGCUCGACAGCUCGAGAAAACUACGCCGAAUUUUUCGGGAAAUUUUUACUUUUUCUCUUCAAACGUAAAGUUUGGGGCAAAAAAGUUAAAAGUUUAAAGGUGGGUCCAAUUAUUCUUCUUCCUGUUAUUUACGCACGGCCUCCCAUUCACGUUAGUCGGACUUCAAUUAAUUUUAGGAGAUGAAACUACCACGAAAUUAACUCCAAGUGAGGGCCUAGUAAAGCAGCCAUAUAUUCCACGCGUAUUUUAUUCAAUUAAUUGAUUAUCAUCACAUCCCACGUCAUAUUAUUAUUGUAUCAACUUUACUUAUACUUUAUUACAAGGAUCUCCAUAAGUUGCAGCUAGCGUAAGUUACGUCUGUCCUGUCAAAUUUCAUUCAACUCCUAUAUUUUAAGUUAUUUACACUUUAUUCAUAAAUAUUAUAAAACUUUAUAUAUUGUAAAAUUUUGGUAAGCUCCUUGUACUCUGUUUUAUUUUAUUAAAACCCUUACAAUACCAAUUCAUCCCUAUAAUUUUAAAUUUCCAAUAUGCCCUCCAUUUAAUUAAAAAAUAUAAUAAUUAUUAAAUGAAUUAUAAUUAUAAUAAUUAUUUUAUUAUAACUAUAAAAUAAUAAUAAUUUUAAAUAGAUUAUUAUCAUCAUUAUUAUUAUUAUCAAGAAUAAAAAAUAUUAUAAUUAAUUAAUCUAUUAAUAAUAAAUUUUUCGUUAAAUUGUUAAUAAUAAUAAUUAAUGAUAAUUAUUAUUAAUGAUUAAUUUUUGAAUAAUAACAAUAAUAACAAUAAUUAAAAUACAAAAUAAUAAUUAUGAUAAAAAUUAAUUAAGGAUUUUAUAGUAAUUUUUUACAAUAUAACUCAUUCUGAUUUUCAUUCUAAGAUAAGGUAAACACAUAAAUGGUAAUACAGUUCAUUAUAAUUACGAUUCAUGCAGUUCAAGUAAAUAAAUUAUUCUAAUUUCAAUUUCUCAUUUUGAUUCUACCUAUUCUGAUUCUAACUCAUUAUGUUUCCAAUUAAUUUUGAUUUCUGUUUAGUGAACGCACUAUAAAAUUAUAAACUACUCUAUGAAAUUCAUAAUACUUAUGAAUAAAUUGUAAAUGAUAUAGAAUGAUCUAAUUGAAUAUAGAGUGGUCUCCCUGGAAGGUUCCAAGCAUCGUUUUACUCUUGACAGAUACUACAGUCACUAACAUUUGCUCGAUAAAACUACGCCGAAUUUUCCGAGAAAUUUUUUGCAUUUUCUCUUCAGACGUAAAGUUUGGGGGCAGAAAAGUUAAAAAGUUUAAAGGCAGGUACAAUUAUUCUUCUUCUUGUUAUUUACGCAUGGCAUCCCAUUUAGAUUAGUCGGACUUCAAUUAAUUUUAGGAGAUGAAACUACCACGAAAUUAACUCCAAGUGAGGGCCUAGUAAUGCAGCCAUAUAUUCCACGCGUACUUUUUGUAUUGUAAAAUUUUGUUAAGCCUCUUGUAUUCUGUUUUAUUUUAUUAAAACUCUUGCAGUACCAAUUCGUCCCUAUAAUUUUAAAUUUCUAAUAUACCCUCCAUUUAAUUAAAAAUAUAAUAAUUAUUAAAUGAAUUAUAAUUAUAAUAAUUAUUUUAUUAUAAAUAUAAAUAUAAUUAUAAUUAUUAUUAAUGAUUAAUUUUUAAAUAAUAAUAAAAAUAAUAACAAUAAUUAAAAUAAAAAUUAAUAAUUAUGAUAAAAAUUAAUUAAGGAUUUUAUAGUAAUUUUUUACAAUUUAACUCAUUCUGAUUUUCAUUCUAAGACAAAAAAACACAUAAAUGCUAAUACAACUCAUUAUAAUUACGAUUCAUGCAGUUGAAGUAAAUAAAUUUUUCUAAUUCCAAUUCCUCAUUUUGAUUCUAGCUAUUUCGAUUCUAACUCAUUAUGUUUCCAGCUAAUUUCAAUUUCUGUUUAGUGAACGCACUAUAAAAUUAUAAACUACUCUAUAAAAUUCAUAAUACUUAUGAAUAAAUUGUAAAUAAUAUAGAGUGGUCUAAUUACAAUAAUAAAAUGUAAAUAAUAUAAAAUUCUAAUUGAAUGACAUCAUUAUUCAAAAAUUAAUUAUUAAUAAUAAUGAUAAUUUAUUAUUAUUAUUAUUAACAAUUUAACAAAAAAAUUCUUAUUAAUUAUUGUUAAUAGAUUAAUUAAUUAUAAUACUUUUUAUUCUUGUUAAUAAUAAUAAUAAUAAUCUAUUUAAAAAUCAUAAUUAUAUUUAUAGUUAUAACAAAUAAUAAUUAUAAUUAUAAUUCAUUUAAUAAUUAUUAUAUUUUUUAAUUAAAUGGAGGGUAUUUUGGGAAUUUAAAAUUAUAAGGGGCGAAUUGGUACUCUAAGGGUUUCAAUGAAAUAAAACAGAGUGCAAGGGGCUUAAAGAAAGUUUACAAUACAGAAAGUUGUAUAAUACUUAUGAAUAAAGUGUAUAUAAUAUAAAGUAUAGGGGCUGAAUGAAAUUUGACAGGGCAGCUGUAACUUGCCUCAGCCGUAAGUUAGCCAAAACAAUGGAUUUAACUAAAGUGCAUUUGAAGUCCAUUAAGGAUAUUCUUCUAAUCUUCUCUUCAUUAUUUUGGUUUUGCUCUUUUUUUUUUUAAUCCCAUUUUUAGUCGAUAUAGAUGUAUAUGUUUGAUCAGUCCUUGUCGGUUAUAUAUACAUAUGUACUUUUGGACUGUCAUGGGACUGUACCAUUUGGAAAUAUCACAUUUUAUUUCCCGAUGCGAUAAAUUUUCUUCUCCAUUGAACGUUCUCUGGAUGCUAUUAACCAAAAAAUGCAACAUUUUGUUCUGUUUAUAAAUUCGGAUUAUUUGCUUCUGACUGUCAUUGACUCAUUGACCAUUUAGCAAUAUAGGUUAGGUAGUAGUACCAGCUCUUUUUCUUCUUUUGUCUUUCUCUUCUCUAAGUUAAACCAUUAUUCUAGGCAUCUCCAUUGGGAUUAUUCCAUCUGUACUUUACCAAAGGGGCAAAAAAAAAUUGUCACGAAACAGCGUGGAAGGUUCAGAGAAAAAUUUGCUAGUGUUUUCUUUUUGUUAAAUUCAAUUGGUUGAAUUUAUUUUUUAUUUUUUUAAAAUAGAAAACUAUAUUACAAAGAGUGCUGCUAGGUAGCGAGAGGAACGAGAGAAUGACGAGAGAAACGACAUUCUCUCCCGUCGUUUCGCUUCUCGUUCCUCUCGCUAAAGAAUGAAUAAAAAAUAAUAAAGAAAGACUGCUUUAAUCACUUCGUGCCCAGGGAAAUUUUAGCAUUUUGUCUCCAGCCCCCACUCUCCCUCUCUCCCUCACUUUCCUCUCUCCCUCACCAGCUUCUCUCCCUCACGCUUCCAGAAGCUCCGUCACAGAUUCCGGCGUGCCUCACGCUUCCAGAAGCUCCGUCACGGAUUCUGGCGUGCCUCACGCUUCCAGAUCCCUCACGGCUUCCUUCCGGCGUGCCUCACGCUUCCAGAUCCCUCACGGCUUCCUUCCGGCGUGCCUCACGCUUCCAGAAGCUUCCUCACGGCUUCCGUUCUCGGCUAAAGUUCUUGAUCCGAAUCCGAAAACGAGAAUGAGCAUAGAGAAGAUUAUGAACAUUUCUUGGUUCCAGAAAUUAUUGCAACAACAGAGAAAGACGGGGCAAGGAAGCAGUCUUUUUGAAUUAGGGGUAGCUGAUAAUAAUAAAUAUAUUCUUAAGGAGAAGAUACCGGAUAUGGUAUCAAUUUUGUAAAUCAGAUCAGUUUUUUGUUUAGUGGAUUUAGUUUGAAUGGAAUUCUCGGGUGUUUCUUCAGUUGCCUCUUCUGUUCUGCUCUGUUUGUUUAUCAUGCAAACUUUAUUUGUUUUUCUAAUCCCAAAAUGCAUACAUUUCCAGAGGUAGGAAGAAGCUAAAUCUUUAUGUUAAAUGCUAAAUUUUUCAAAAAAAAAAAUAUGGUUGUCUCAGUGCUUCCUGAAGACGCAGAAGCAGCCUAACCAAAGUAUGAACUGUUUUUUUAAAAAAAAAGAAGGAAAAAAGCAGCACUCAGAUGUAGCAUUUUAGCUAUCGGGCUAUCUGAUAUCACUAUCAUGAUUUCUUUAUGUUAGUUGCCUAAUAAGAAUAUGUUCAUCUGCAGCGCUUCUUUAACAACACACCAUCGUCAUAAGCCACGAAAGUUCAUGAUGCAAGUGCUUUACUGAAUCUGUUGUUCAAGUGGAUGCUGGUAUCCAGAAGUGUGGUAGUGACAUUCUAAUACAUAGCAAACCAAUCACAUAAGCCAACCAUGAAAAUGCAUAGGCAGUCGUUUUGAGUCAAAAUUUUCUAUAUCUUUACACAAAAUCAGAGACUUGUGUGUACUCAAAAAAAUGGAUUAAGAGAAGAUCUAAGCAUUGUUGUAAUCAUCAUCACAUUCUCCGAUCACAGAUGACAGGGUCGACAUCCAUGCCUGCAAACCACUCUGAGCAUUCUUCUUCCUUGUUAAUUCCAGCUUGUUUACAGCUCGCUUUGGUGAUGGUGAUUUGCGUGAGAAGAGCGUGAGGGAGAGAGGAAAGCCAGGGCUGGAGAUAAGUUGAUGAUUUCCCUCUGCACGCACUGAUAAAGCACUCUUUUUUUAUUUUUUUUUAUUAUUUUAAUGUUUUAACGAGCGAGAGGAACGAGAAGCAAAACGGCAGCAACUGCUGCCGUUUCUCUCGUCAUUCUCUCGUUCCUCUCGCUACCUAGCAUUUUCCUAUUACAAAACUUCCCGGUAGGUUCCAAGGAAGUAUCUAACAAAGCAUCUUUAUAUAACCUCCAUAGACUCAGUCGCAUAAAAUUAUUUUCACUUCCCAAAUUUUCUCAUCUGAUCAAAUCUCUCAUCCACUGAACUGUUAUGGCUUCUUCUUCCUCUUGUCCACCUCGAAACGCUAAGGAGAUGUAUGAUGUUUUUCUGAGUUUCAGAGGAGGGACACCCGUGACAACUUUACCAGCCAUCUUUAUUCAGCCUUGUCUCAGAAAAGUAUUGAAACUUUCAUUGAUGACCAACUUAUCAGAGGAGAUAACAUUUCACAGUCUCUUCUUGAUACAAUUGAAGCAUCAAGCAUCUCAAUUAUUAUUUUCUCAGAAAGGUAUGCUUCUUCUAGAUGGUGUCUCGAUGAACUUUUGAGGAUCCUCGAAUGCAAGCACGAUUAUGGACAGAUUGUGAUUCCAGUUUUCUAUCACGUUGAUCCAUCACAUGUGAGAUAGCAAAGCCAGGAUUCUUCUUUUGGGAAUUAUUUUAGUGGGCUUGGAGAACGUUAUCCAGAGAAGAUGCAAAGAUGGGGGAAUGCUUUGACUGAAGCAGCCAAUCUCUCUGGCUUUGAUUCUAAUGUCAUUUGGUAUGAUAAUUUUCUAUCUAAUUCUUAGUAUUAAUCUAGUACAAGUAAUAAUAUAUAACAUUAACUAUGACAAUGUGUUUAAAUAUUUAUCAGUAAUAUAUUAAUUAAAUCAUUCUUAAUUAUGGGGAUUAGGUUAUUUUCUUGCACAUUUGAAUAAGUUUCCAAUUAAAUAGCUAUUUGAUGAAAUUGAUCUUCACAUUAUAUUAAUUAGCCAUUUUAUAUUGCAACUAAUUAAAAACACACGAUUCUCUGUCUCGUUUACAUAUAUUGAACUAUAUAAUUGCUGUUAUUUUUUUACUAGGCCUGAAUCUAAACUUAUUGAGGAAAUUGCCAAUGACGUUUUGAAGAGGCUAGAUGCGACUUUUCAAAGUGAAAACAAAGGCUUGGUCGGAGUUGCACGCGCCAUUGAAAAAAUUGAAUCAUUAUUACGCAUUGGGUCUGAGGGUGUUCGCAAACUAGGGAUUUGGGGCAUCGGUGGUAUAGGCAAGACAACAAUCGCUGGUGCUGUUUUUAACAAAAUCUCUAGGCAUUUUGAAGGUUCUUACUUUGCGCUUAAUGUUAGAGAUGCAGAAAAAACUGGCGGAAUAAAGGACUUGCAAAAGAAACUUCUGUCCGAGUUAUUAAAUGAUGGAAAUAUGAGGAACAUCGAGUCUCAACUCAACAGACUUGCUCGCAAGAAGGAUAUAAUAGUUUUCGAUGAUGUGGGUCAUCGAAGACAAAUAGAAUCAUUAAUUGGAUGCCUUGAUGAGUUAGCUUCAGGGAGUCGAGUAAUAAUAACAACAAGAGAUAAACAAGUCCUUAAAACUUGUUGGGCCAGUCAAAUAUAUCAGAUGAAGGAAUUAGUAUAUGCUGAUGCUCAUAAGCUUUUCUGUCAGUGUGCUUUUGGAGGAGACCAUCCAGAUGCAAGUCAUACAGAGCUCACAGACAGGGCAAUCAAAUAUGCACAGGGAGUUCCUUUAGCUCUUAAAGUUUUGGGUUGCCAUCUAUGCGGAAGGAGCGAAGAGGUAUGGGAAAGUGCAAUGAGAAAACUGGAAAAAAUUCCUCACGAGGAAAUCCAGGAGGUGUUAAAAAUAAGUUAUGAUAGCUUGGAUGACUCUCAGAAGAAUGUUUUUCUAGAUAUUGCAUGUUUCUUUGAAGGAGAGCAUAGAGAUGAGGUGACAAGCUUUUUUGAUGCUAGUGGCUUCCAAGCUAAAAUAGAAUUAAGUGUUCUUGAAGGUAAGUCUCUCAUAAAUUUAGGCUUAUUUGAUGAGAUAAGAAUGCAUGACUUGCUACGAGAUAUGGGAAGAGAAAUUGUUCGAAAAGAAUCUAUCAAUCAUCCAGGAAAGCGAAGUCGAUUUUGGCAUCACAAGGAUAUUUAUGAAGUUUUGAACAAAAAUACGGUGAGCAAUAAUAGGUUCUUGACCAUAUCUUAUUUGUGUUACAUUAUAGUAGUAUUUUGUUUGAAUUUUUCUUUUUGAAUAAGAAUAGAAUUAAUACAGCUUAAAAUUAAUUGAAGAAUAAUAUUAAAAAAUUGGUAAAAUAAAAUAGCUAGAUCCAAUGUUUCCCCCACUCAGUUUGCAACAUGCCUCUAUUGGGCUAAGUUCAGAAUCCCCCAGCAAACUAGCGCUUUGGGAGAGAGAUAAUUAAAAAAAAAAAAAAAAAAAACCUCAUCCUUUUUCACUGAAAAAAAAAAAUUGCAUUUCCUUUUCAACUCUGCCCCUUUCUUUAUUUUCACUAAAAAAAAAUUGAUUGAAUUAAUUUUACAGUUUACAUAUUAAGCAUUUUCUCGAAUUUUCUAUUUUACAAUUCCUAAUAAAUUUACCCAAGUCGCUUAUUAUAAAGUGAUUGUAAUAUUUCUAUUUGGGUUUUACGGCUUAAAAAUAAUUGUUUAUUUGUUUGCUUCAAUUAUAUUCCAACUUAUGAUCUCCUAUUUGAUUGUUAGGGAACUGAAGCAAUCGAGAGUAUCUCCUUGGAUAUGAAUAAAGUCAAUAGAGAGAUACACAUGAAUUCCUAUACUUUCUCAAAGAUGCCUAAAUUGAGAUUCUUGAGAUUCUAUGGAGAUAAGAAUAAAUGUAUGGUGUCUCAUUUGGAGGGUGUGCCAUUUGCUGAAGUGAGGCACCUCGAGUGGCCUCAAUGUCCUUUGAAAACGUUGAAUAUAUGUGCGGAGAAACUUGUUUCACUUAGAAUGCCUUGCAGCAGGGUUGAACAACUUUGGGAUGAUGUUCAGGUAUAUAUUUAUUUGAAAUUCUUUCAGUAAUAAAUUCUAAAUAUAGUUGAUGCUAUAAUUAAUAUAUGUGAUAGUAUCUGUUUAUUUGUAAAGAUGAUGAUGAUGAUGAUGAUGAUGAUGAUGAUGAUGAUGAUGAUAAUAAUGAUAAUAAUUUUUUGGGGGGCGCAGGAUCUUGUUAACUUAAAACAAAUAAACCUAAGUGGAUCCGAGUCGUUAACGAAACUCCCAGACUUGUCACGGGCCAAAAAUCUUGAGAUUCUGAUAUUAGCAGUCUGUUUAAGUUUGAUGGAGACUCACUCAUCUAUUCAAUAUCUAAAUAACUUAAAUAUCUUGAUCUAAAUAAUUGCAAAAGCCUGACGAGUCUUCCAACUAGCAUUCAGUCGAAGUAUUUCAAGCAACUUGCGCUUCAUGGUUGCUCAAAUUUGAAGAACCUCCCAGAGAUCACAUCUUGUUUUUGGUUAGAGUUAUCAGAAGUUGGAAUCAAAGAACUGCCCUCAUCCAUUGAGUGUCAAUCCAAUCUGAAAGAACUACUUAUUAUGAAUUGUUCAGAGCUUGAGAGCAUCUCGAGUAGCAUAUUUAAGUUGAAGUCUCUUGAAUCUAUUGAAAUCUCUAAUUGUUCAAAUUUUAAGAGGUUUUUGGAGAUCCCAUAUUGUAAUACAGAUGGAAGUACUGGAAUUAAGCGACUAAACUCAUGUAAGUUGGUACUGAAAGAAUGUUCAAAUAUUGAGAGUCUCCCAAGCAGCCUGUGUAUGCUCAAAUCUCUGACAUCUCUUCAAAUCAUUGAUCGCCAAAACUUCAAGAGAUUGCCUGAUGAGCUUGGAAAUUUAGAAGCCUUGGAGUAUUUGACCAUUGAUGGAACUGCUAUAAGAGAAGUACCGGAAAGCCUCGGUCAGUUAGUCAUAUUACGGCGGUUGCAUUUGGCUAACUGUUCAGAGCUUGAGAGCAUCUCGAGUAGCAUAUUUAAGUUGAAGUCUCUUGAAUCUAUUGAAAUCUCUAAUUGUUCAAAUUUGAAGAGGUUUCUAGAGAUCCCGUCUUGUAAUAUAGAUGGAGGUACUGGAAUUGAGCAACUAGCCUCAUGUAAGUUGGUACUGGAAAAAUGUUCAAGUCUUGAGAGUCUCCCUAGCAGCCUGUGUAAUCUGAAAGGACUAUAUAUUAAGGACUGUUCAGAGCUUGAGAGCAUCUCGAGUAGCAUAUUUAAGUUGAAGUCUCUUGAAUCUAUUGAAAUCUCUAAUUGUUCAAAUUUGAAGAGGUUUCUAGAGAUCCCGUCUUGUAAUAUAGAUGGAGGUACUGGAAUUGAGCAACUAGCCUCGUGUAAGUUGGUACUGGAAACAUGUUCAAGUCUUGAGAGUCUCCCUAGUAGCCUGUGUAUGUUCAAAUCUCUGACAUCUCUUGAAAUCGUUGGCUGCCAAAAUUUCAAGAGAUUGCCUGAUGAACUUGGAAAUUUAGAAGCCUUGGAGGUGCUGAAAGUUAAUGGAACAGCUAUAAGAGAAGUACCAGAAAGCCUUGGUCAGUUAUCCUCACUAGAAAGUUUGGUACUAUCUAAUAACAAUUUGGAGAGAUUACCAGAAAGCCUCAAUCAGUUAUCCUCACUAAAAUAUUUGCACCUAUCCGAAAACAGUUUGGAGGGAAUACCAGAAUACCUGAGGAGUCUUUCAAGUAAGUUGACAUCACUCAAUUUAUAUGUUGACUUGAGAAAUCGUUUGAAAUUGGACUCGAAUGAGCUCAGUGAAAUCGUCAAAGAUCAGUGGAUGAAGCAGGUGUGUCUUUCAACUCACUCCAUUCAUUCUAUUUUCUUUUUCUUUUUACUUUAAUUCAAGUUAUCAUUAUUUUUCAUAAAUUAAUUAAUUAAUUUUUAUUAUUUUUUUUUUUUGUGUUGCAGUCGUUUGAUGGUUUCUUUGGGUUUGGGAUGGCUAAAAGUGUGUAUUUCCCUGGGAAUGAAAUUCCAAAGUGGUUAAGGUAUCAAAGUAUGGGAUCUUCUGUAACCUUGAAGACGCCACCAGCAGUUUUCUUCAACAAUAAAAUAUUAGUAGGCUUUGCUUUUUGCAUUGUUGCAGCAUUUCAUCCUUCAGCAGCAUUUCAUCCUUUAGGGUUUUUUUAUGAAGUGAUCUGUGGUUGGAAACGAAAAUCCAAAAACUUAAUCGACAGUUUUCAGCCUUUGGAGAGAUGGUGGCGUUUGGGGAGAAUUAGUUAUAUUGAGUCAGAUCACGUGUUCUUGGGAUCUUAUCCAUUGGGUUCUCUGGAUUUUUUAAGUAUGAGAGAUAAUGAGGUCUCUUUUGAUGAGGUCUAUUUUGAAAUUUCGCCUAAUUUUGGUUGUAAAGUGAAACAAUGUGGGAUUCAUUUGUGUACGCUCAAGAUUCUACGGAAUCAAGAGAAGAGGAAGAGGAGGAAGAGGAACCUGUUACACACUAAAAGACUGAAAUGUUCUUCAACUCCAAAGCAGCUGGUACUCUUUGGCACGAAAAUCAAUCUGUAGACCUUGUUUUUAUCUUCAUUUUAUAUAUGCGUUUUUCAAAUACGUUCGUUUAUGUAAUAUUUAUUAAUUGUUUGUUGUUGGAUGGAUGAAUCAAUAAAUUCAAAAUAAAUGGUAAUUAAACGAGGAUGUAGAUCUAUGAGUUCUCUCUUUGUUUUAUCUUUAAUUUGUGUUCGGUUCAUGUCUGGAAUAUCCCAAAAAUUACAUAUCCAUUUACUAACUAAAAAUGCGCUGAUUAGAUUAAAGAUUAUUUUAGUUAUUCUUACUUUUUCAGUUUAUAAGAAUAAAAUUGUUUUGUUAAGUUUUGAGAUUUGAAUUUAAAAGAAAAUACAAAUUCACUCUUGAGGAUUAAAUUUACCGUAUUUUAUAUUAAUUACUAAUUAGGUAUGACAAGGUGAAUGAUGUUGUGAAAUUUAGUAUUCCUAUGAGUAGUGAUCUCAGUAAGACAGUAAAGUACCUGUUUAAUACUUGUGAUAAAUUACAGGCUCUGUUUAACAUAUCAAAUACCAAAUUUUAAAUAUUACAAACAAUAACAAACAGAAUGUAGCUCCUAAUCGGUUAUUUGUUUCGGUAAAUAAACCCCACCAUUCCGUUUCAAGUUUCCCCAGUCAGUUCCAUUGAUCAUAUGCUGAAGCUACGGUGGAAUGAUAGAUCUUUUAGUUUCCUGCACAUCGAAACUCUCUAAUUGGUGUGUUAUUUUUUCGUGAAAUUUCUAAUAUCUAUUAAUAAUUUCUUGAUGUUACUGAGAAGUUAGUAGAUCAUGGGAUGAGAGCCCAAGGCUUUUUGGCUGAUCUAACUCCUAUUACAAUCAAGUUGGUAACUGCAUUUGGUAAUUAUAUCUUCAGUACUUGCAAUCUUUUAUCGCCUUUCCAAGUUGAUCUUAGUUAUUUGUUCUUAAUAUGUCUAAGGGUAUGGACUUGAUGGAAGGGUCAGGUUCUGUGGUGGUGUUAGAAUUGCUAGAAAACAUUGUUGUAUAGGUUCCGUUAUGAUAUUCUCCUGUGCCAUAUACAUCAUCGUUGUUUUGCAAGUGCUCUACGGCAUUCUUUACUGGAUAUGAAAUAUUUCAAGAUGGAAAUGAAAUAUCUCUAAAGCUACACACAAGCACAGGUUGGUCAUUUUAUUAUUUAAAAGUCUUCUAUCGCUUUUAACUUAAUUAGUUCGCAUGAUUCAUUUCAUAGAGGGUUGACCUGCUCUGUGGUCCAAACUUCAUUUGAAACAUAGGAAACUCCUUGGUAACGUUUUUUAUAUUGAAGAUUCUACUGCUCAAUUCUGUUGCUGUGCAGUUGGGCACGAGUCAACAGCAACGAUAGACUUGAAAGUAAUUUUUGCUGGGCAUGAGACCAAGUAACCAUUUUGUAUUUUGCUCGUCUGAUAGCGUUCUGCCAUACGGCAAUUUACCAAGCAUGGCUUUACAAAUGGAUUGCAGAAUUAUUCAAGGUGUUCUGCAUCUUUCAUUAUUGGACCAACGAACUAUUCACGAGUCAGUAGUGAACGAGAGUUCUAUAUGGUGGUUUGCUUUAAAUAUUGAUGGAAAAAUGUAGUCCAUUGUGUUUUUUUUAAUUAUAUCUUCAACAUCGUUUAGAAGUUCAUCUUUGUUAUCAAUAAGAGGUAAUAAUCUUGUUCCAUUUCUUGGUUCCAUCCAGCCUUUUAACUGCUCUUUUUAAGUGUUUGACACCCGUAUUGGCUGCAUUCACUAAGCCUUCUUCAAAUGAAUAUUACACAAUAUGAUCAAUGUGAUCAAUGGCGCAGGCUUUUUUAUGAUGUUGGAUGUUUGACUUUUUGUUUUAGUCAUAAUUUAGAUUCUUUGCAUCAGAUAUAUUGAUGGGUCCUACAUAAAUAGUUUUGCUCUCUGUUGGGUGCUUGAUUUGGAUAUUCUUAUUAUACACUGAUAUAAUACCAAGGCAAUUCUUGUUUCUAUUAAUUGAUGAAGUUACGGUCUGACUUAUGAAACAGGUUCAUGUUGUUCUGGUUGAAGUAGCUUCUGCUGCUGCAAAUGCUACACCGAGCCUGGAAGAAAUCCUUCGUUCAAAAGAGAGGUGCGGCUCUUUUGAUUAUGUUACAUAAUAUUUGUGUACGCACAUGCAUGAUUUGACCUGUAUGCGGUUCAAAUUUGCUUUUCCUUGUCACAAUAGUUGAUUGUUUGGAAAUGAGGUAGAGCAAGCUAGUGAUACUGAACAGUGUCAUUUUCCAUUUGUUUAACAUUUUGGGAUGAAUGGUUCGAUCAAAACUGCUAAAUGGUUGCUAAGUUCUUUUCCCAAAGUCCUUUGAAAUCUGUUUGCAUUUAUUAGAAUGGAAAUACAGUGCCAAGAGGAGGAGGUAAAGACCUGAACAGGGCAUACGUGCAGGACACGAUGGCUCAUAGACCUGCGGACAAUGAAGAGGAACGCCUAUGGAUGUGUGUCAAGAAGCAGGUGGUUAUAUCAUAGAAGAGAUUUGAAGAGUUUGGCUGCUAGUGUGCAAUGUGUCCAAAGAGCAAUCUCAUUCUAUGCAGUUCGCGAUGCAUAGCUUCCAACUAGCUCGAAAGGCAAGAACCUUACUUUAGAGGUGUAGGUUGCAAAGAGGGGUUAACUUUGCCAACUAAAUUAUCCCUGCAGUUACUUACAAAAAAGUUCUAAGACUGGUGUGCUUGACCGAGGAGGCAGUUGUUGCUUCCCAAAUUGAGAAAAGGAAGACAUGUUGAAUCAGCAAUAUAUCUGUGUCAGGUUAAUGCCAUUCAUGCAUCAAUUCUUGUAAGGGGAGGGAUGUAUUUUGUUUCAUCUAUUUACUUCUUUAUCUAUUCUGUGCAUUGAUAAUAUUGUUAAAAUUUUCUUACGAUAAUUUGGGUAGCGCACAGAGCAAAGCAAGGAUUGAAGAGUUUCUUCAGGAGGGAUCACUUUCGGAAACAGUCUGAACUCCUUUCUAAACUAACACAUACGCCAAUUUAGCACUCCAUGAUUUUUGCUGAUAAUUCAUAUUUUCGCUGCAUAUUUUUAUUGAGUGAAAAGCUUCUUAACCACUUCAUGAUCCCACCAGCACUUUGCUUAAGCUUCAUUUGAUUAUAAUCACUGGAAGAGGGUAUGAGUUUAUGUUUGUGUACUUAGAACAAUGUAUAGUUUCCUGAAUGUUAUGAUUUUACAUUGUGCCCCUAUGUCAGAACAAAGGAUUCAAAGUGUAUUUGAUUUCCAUUUAUCAUAUUCUUCUAUUCAUUAUUUUGUUUUUACUUUUCAUUUCUAUUUUUCAAUCAUUGAUUGCAUAAAAUUUGAGAGAUUGCCUGAUGAAAUUGGAAAUUUAAAAGCCUUGCGCUACUUAGAGAGCUGAAGGAACUGCUAUAAGAGAAGUGCCAGAAAGCCUUUGUUUGUUCUCCUAGCUACAAGUAUUGAUUCUAAGUGACAAUUGCAAUUUUUGUAUGCUCAAGAUUCUGCAGAAUCAACCGAAGAGGAGCCACACCGCAAAUGACUGAAAUAUUCUUCAACUCCGUUGCAGCUGCUACCCUUUUGCGAACGAAUCAUUCCAUAGGCCUUGUUUCUUUUUGCUUGAUUUGUUUUUCACUUUUAUCUUCUUUUUAUAUAUGCGUGUUUUUUUCAAUUCCUUCAUUUCUUGUAACAUUUAAUAGUUGUGUUGUUAUUUGAUGGAUGAUCAACGAAUACAGAAUUAAUUGUAAUUAAUUGAAGACGUACAUUAACUAAUUCUUUCUUUUUUCGUCUUUAAUUUGUGUUCAGUACAUGUCCGGACCCCAGAAGUUACAUAUUCAUGUAAUGUCUACUACCAUAGUUUGACAUUUGAAAUUACAAAACAUGCGCUGAUUAAGAUUAUUUUAAUUAUGCUUACUUUUCAAAUUUGAAAAUUUAGAAGAAUAAAAUUGUUUUGUUAAGAUUUGAGGUUUGUAUUUGACACAAAUUUACUCUUGAGGGUUUAAUUUAUCUUUAUUUUAAAUUAAUUACUAAUUAGGUAUGAUAAGGUGUAUGAUGAUGUUGAAAAUUACAAUGGAGAGCAAUGAUUACAGCAAGGCACCCAUUUAAUACUUAUGACAAAUUUAGAUGGUUGGCAAAUUACAGGAUCUGUUUAACCCACCAAAUGCCAAAUUUUAAGAAUUACAAACAAUACAAAACAGAACAGACCCCCUAAUGGGUUAUUUGUUUCAUCAAAUAAGCUCCCCUUUCCAUUUCCAAUUUCCCCAGUCAAUUCCAAUGAUCAGAUGAUUAUGCUAAUGAAAUGUUGAAAUUCCUCAGUAAGAUCAGUUGCAUUAAUGCUUUUAUAGCUCAAGUUCUGUUUGAACUCUAAACCUUAGAGGAUAUUUUGCACUGCAGUGCUGUUAGGCACAAAGAAUUGGAAAAAUGAUCUGCUUUCAAAAUUGAUGUGGCAUAGAUAAUUAAUUUAUUUAUUUUUGAUAAGGAAAUAGCUUUUUCAGUCAGACUCAAUAGCUUCCGCAAAAGUCUAAAUCUGAGAGAUCCUUAGGAACUUCAUGAAAGUCUCAGGUCCAUACUGACUAGUGCUCUUCAGAGCAAGUUAGACAGAAUGGCUCUGCUGAAUGCUAUGGCACAACAGAUUCGCAAGUGUUUGAAAGUCAGGGUUCUACACCUCCUACGCAGAUUCGCAACUGUUAAGGUUUGAGAGAAACAAGAUUGAUGAAAUUCUAAUUUAAACCAAAGAACAAGAAUGAACAACAACCGAUCAAGAGUUAGACUUAAGAACAACAUCAAUGCACUUUUAUUGAUAGAAUCACGUAGAAAUUGACCAGCAAGAAUAGAGAGUGAAAACUAAGCUUCACCACGAAACAAAUUUUUCACAAAAUGGCUAAGCGAUUACAGAAAACAAUGCCAAGAAACAGAGCCUAACGCUCAGCUUUACACAGGUUUUUUUUAAAAAAAAUAAUUCUUAACAAACUCUUAUUUUGUCGGUUAUGCACGUCGGUUUGGAUAAUAUCCCGAACCCCCAAACUGUAACUUUUCGAUCAUUUGCAAAUAAUUCCAAUAAUAUCUGCAAAACAGCCCAGUAACAACAGAUAGGUGAGUAGAUGGUUCGCAGCGCUGGGGGGACGAGAUCUUUAGCAUCGCAAAAUUGCUGCAAAUUUGAGGACAACUUCCUGCAAUGCAAUACGACUGGUGAGGUGAACUUAAUUUCUUUUUGUUGUUUCUUCUUGUGCUUGCAAAUUUUGCAAAUAGCUUACUAGAAAGUUUGAUUCUCUAAUGGCAUUGUUUACAUUCUUUCCAUUUAUAUAACUAGAGAAAUGUAAAAGGUGAAAACUAGAUGUAAAGGAGAAUGUGAUAAUAUCCUCUCUAGAACUGAAGCUUGUAGAUUGUUACUUGAUUUCAGGAUAUAUAUCAGCUGUUUUAAAUUUGUGAUACAGGGUUUUGGUUUGGAAAUUGUCGCCAGUUUUGAGACUUUUGAAGGGAAUUUUCUGAAUAGGAUCUAACAGCUCAAUUUGUAUGCAACUGGAAUCAAAGAGCUGCCCUCAUCCAAUGAGAUCUUACUAGUUACAUUUGAGCUGAUUAACUGUUCGAGGAUUUUGAAGUCUUUGGGGGAGCAUAUGUAAGUUGAAAUGUCUUUGAGAUUUACUCUUUCUGGUUGUUUAAAUCUGAAGAGGUGUCCAGAGAUCUCAUCUGGAAACAUAAAAAGUUUCCGUUUGGAUGGAACUGCAAUCAAAGGACUGUCCUUCGCCUUAAGAGUUUCUAUCCAAGGCUUGAACAUCUCCCGAGAAGCAUAUUGAAGUUGAAAGAUCUUCCAGAUCCUAAUCUUUCUCAUCGUUUGAAUUUGAAGAGGCUUCCACCGAUCCCAUCUUGUAAUAUAAAAGUGUAUAAUUAGAUGGAACUGCAAUCAAAGAACUGCCUUCAUCCAUGGUGUCUUUUUGGACUUGUUGCUUUGUCUUAUGAAGAGUUCAAGGCUUCAUCAUCUCCUGAUAAGCAUAUUUAAGUUGAAAUAUAUUGAAGAUCCUAAUUUCUCUAGUAGCAUAAAUCUAAAGAGGAUACCAGAGGUGUCAUCUUGCAUAUGAAAUUUUUAUAUUUAGAUGGAACAACAAUCAAAGAAUUGUCUUCAUCCAUUGCAUGUCCUUCUAACCAGUUAUCUUGAGUCUUUCAAUUUGUAAAAGGCUUGAGAGUGUCCCAAGCAGUCUAUAUAAGUUGCAAUGUCUUCAAGAUCUUUAUCUCAGUGGUUGUUCAAGUCUUCAGAGAUUUCUAGAUAAACAUGAAAAUUUAGAAGGCUCUAAAGGAAAAUGCAGAGACAUAAAUGUUGGUGCAUAAACACUUAAAUUUGUUUGUUGGGCUGACGAAUUAGCACUGCAGCUUUUCUACUCGAGCAGAUAGCUUCGACCAUGAACCUGCUCCACCAUAUCUCUUACAUUCACAAAACUUAGUUAGAGGGGCGCCGAAUGUUUUUUCGGUGAGAACCCUUAGAUGCUCAAAUCAGAAAUUGGGGCUUUUAGGAAAAACUUAUGGUACAACCCUCAUGACUUUCUAUAACUGCUUUAAACAAAAAGCUUUUUAAUUAAUCUAGAAAAGAAAGAAAAAGGAGAGAAAUUAUUAAAAUAGAGAGAGUAAGAUAGUUCAGUCCAUCCCAUUACCUACAUGGCUGGGACUUUUAUAGAUGGACAAAACCACCGCCUCAAAGUCGAUGCAUGAUCGUUAGUGGAUGAGCCAGAUGACCAUUAGUGGAUUAGCUUCGUGCCCGAAUAUUUGGGAGAAGAAUCCCGAGUUGACCUUUGACCAAUUCUUGUGGUUGUCUUCGGCAGAUUUCUCCUCAUGUCACCCCAAUUAACCGCUCGUCCUCGAUAUUCUUCUUGUGAAGGUAAGGAGGAUUAUCCUCAAGCCAAUCCCUUCGCACCUUAUUUGAAGAGAGCACGAUUCGAGCACGACAGCGUCUAAUCAUGCUGUCUUUUUGUCUCCCAAAAGGGAGCCAUUGACUGUUAUUAACCAGAUUCUACCCAUAUUACUCCUCAUAAUUGCUUGGUCAUUACUAGCUUCCACAUCUGGCUUCGUGAGCUUUGCUACAAAAUCUGCCAGUGUUGAAUUAGCUGAUGAAGCUGAACCUCAUGCAACACACGUUGGAGUGCCAGCUGGAAUUAAGCCAGCUGUAAAUCCAGUAGCUAGUCUAUAAGUGAAAGUGAAAGGUGCACGUGAGAAGCUGGAAAAUUCCAGAUGGCAAAACUGUUAUGAAGAGAUUCCCAUGCAGUUGGAUGAGGCUGAAAUUAGUUAACAAAUCAGCUCCUGUUAAUUGUGUUGAAGUUAGUUACAUUAGCAUUUGUUAUUUAGAAGUUAUAUUGCUUAGCUGUAAUUGGCGUGAUUAGCAAGCAUUAGAUUCUACUAUAAAUACUGAGCUAAGCUCAUUACUGUAAUUAGUUUUUGUGAUAAUAAAAAUACAAACAGAUCUUCAUCUUCUUCCUUUGAUCUUCAAAUUCCAACUUGGUAUCAGAGCUAGUUGUUAUAAUGGCUAGCAAUGAAUUUCAAACCACAAGCACUCGAGCUUCAAGCUCAACUGCAAAUCCAAUCACAAACUAUAUUGAUCUACAAGUGAGUGGUCCAUAGACACUCUGUAGUUAAUUAAAUGAGCUGUGAUUUGAGAUAUGAAUUUACAAAUGUAAAUUUGGGAGGAAAAAAAAUUUAUGGUCAAAAUCUUUGAACUCUCUGUCGUUAACUGAACGAAACACGUCGCAUUUUCUGGGGAAAUAUUUUAGUUUUUUUGUCAUUGCCUCACAUUAGUCGGUCUUCAGAAGUAGUGAAACACCCAUAUGUCUCACGCGCAUUUCAUUCAAUUAAUUAAGUAUUCUUACAUCCCACAUUAUUGUUUCAACUUGCACUGUCCGAAUAACUAACCAGAGUUUUUAUUGAAAUUAUUGUGUCACUUAUUAGAAAAGAGAUAGGAAAAAAAGUUUAAUUCACAAGCCAACUUUAAAAAGGCCGAAAAAAAAAAGAAGACUGGAGUAGAUUACAAGUAUUAAAUGUAUUGAUGAGGUUUCAACAUUUUUUUAAAAUCUUUUUAUAUAAUUUUUUUACCAAAGUUCAAAUAACUAUUUUCAAUUAGUUUUAAGGUAAUAUAAGAUGACGAUGAUAAUACGGGAUGAACAUCAACAUAAAAUUUAUUGGUGCUUCAUCAACACUGAUUUUCCCAUCUCUUCAGUAAAUGUUUUACAUAUUUAUUUUGCAUCUAAUUUCAUAUUAUUGACAGUUAAUAGAAGUGAUUAGUAAUUAAUAGAAGACUUAAAAGAAUUAAAGAAAAUGGGCUCAGCGUGCAUGAAAAUAAAUACAAGAGAUUAAAUGAAAAGAAAAGAUUGCGUGGUGGACUUCAAAAUGGACACAUAAAAUAAAUUUUGUAUUUUGUUUCAAAAUAAUUUCCAGCAUACAAAUUUUUUUUUUUUUUUUUGAUUAAGAGGGGCUCUAAACAGAGCUAAGGAAUAACAAAGCGGGGAUAGACUACCCCAUAAUUAUCUUGGGACAUAAACUGAAGCACUCCUUUAUCUUGGGACACACCCCAGAGAUAUGAGUAGAGCCACCUUUCUUCUCAUCAGCACAAAGGAUGGAAUUGAAAUCGCCUCCCACCAGCCACGGGCCAUGAACCGUUCUAGCUAAGAAAUCAAGGUGAUCCCACAAAUGCCGUCGCAAAAUAGGAUUAGGGCUCGCAUACACAGCUGUGAUCCAAGUUUCAAGAAUAUUAUUCUUUGAAAUUUUGAAAUGGACGAAUUGCUUAUGAUUGAAUAAGACUUCCACAUCAAAAUAACCCCGCCAAAGGAUCCAGAUACCUCCGGAAAAACCCGUAGCUUCAAUACGAUGGGAAUACUCAAAUCCGCUGCAUUUAAUAAAAUCAUCGGCUUGCUUCCCACUGAUUCUAGGCUCCAUUAGACUAACCAUGGAAGGGCCAUAAUUCUUUAUAAGGGUAUUAAAAGAGCGACGAAAACCCUUCGAGGCUGUCCCCUGUACAUUCCAAAAAAGGAUUUGUAACUUCAUGAAAGAAAGAUUGGAAAAGAAUAGGACCUUACUGCAGCGGCUGAGAUGCCUCUUCGGCUAGGUCCAUGGCCGUUUCUUCAACAAGGGACACAUCACCUUCUGAGGAGUCAGCCCCGUCCUCACUUGUAGCCACAUAAUCACUAUCAUUCGCAUCGUCUUCCAUGUCCAUGUUAGCAGCUAACCCCGUGAGAUUGGGAGGGUCACCGUCUAAUUCGGGCCAAGUGAUAUGCCCAUCAACACUGUUUUGGCCAUUGGAAGUUUUAGGAUGGACAUCAGUACAAGGGGGGUGAGCAGCGGCGUAAUCAGUAGAGAAAGAGAUGGCCGAAUGAUGGAGGGGGUUUAAACUAGUAGGAACGUGCACAGGUAGAGGUAAAGGAUUAGGGCUCGCAUGGGUUGCAUGGAGGUUGGUAACACCUCGUGAGACAUGUGUGUGAAAAAUGCUUUGGGGAGCUGUGUUUUCUUUAGUAUGGGAUUUCGCAUGCAGUCCAGUAGAUGUUCCCAUGUGUCUCAGUUCUGUUGGCUUAGCUGACUUAUGGGCAUCUUUUCUUCUAGUGGGUUUACUUUUUGUCGGCCAAGUAGGGCUAGAAUUAAUAGUAUUGUUCUCUCGAUGUGUCUGUUCCAUAUGGGCAUCCUGUUUCUCCUCGUGGUUUGAUUCUCCUUCCCCGAGAGUAGCUAAGAUAUUGAAUCUCGAUUCCUUCCCAUGCUGCCCUCGAAAAACUUGCUCAGUUGCCUGACUGGAAUUGCUGUCCUUCUCCACUCUCGGCUUUCCUUUGCGAGCCACUACCAUCCAUGGCCCGAAUUUUGGCUCAUUCCGGCUGUUGUUUCCGGCCUUACUCAUCCACUGCUGCUCCGCCGGACCACCUGGUAUUGGCAUAUCGUCCUCAGUCAGACCAUUAUUCUCCCUCUCUGAACAGUUUUCUUUGUAAUGACCGUACUUCCCACAGUGGAAACAAAUAACCGGGAGAUUCUCGUACUCAACUCUCUGAAUUUUACCAUCCAACUGAAACUGAGAAAUCAGAGGGCUCUUAAGAUCUAUUUCUACUGCUAUUCGAGCGAAUUUACCCCUCUGUGCAGAUUCUGUAGUAUAGUCGAUACGGAUAACCGAACCAAGGAUUUGCCCAAGCCGUCGGAGUAUUUGCUUGUGGUAAUAAUGCAGAGCCAUGCCCGGGAGACGAAUCCAGGCCACCACUUUAUCUAUCUCCCCUUUAGAACUAUCAAAGUGAGGUGACCAUGGUUGUACCGUCAGAUAAUGUCCCAUAACAGUCCAAGGUCCGGAUGUUAAAACAUAAUCUGCAUCUCCUGCAUUCUUGAAACGGACCAAGUAAAAAUCAUUCUCUAGAUCAAUGAUGUUAAAUCCCGGCGUCAAGUUCCACAACGAUUCCAAUCUGUUACACAAAGCCCUGUAUCCAAUGCGGCGACCCAAUAGUUUAACCACAAUUGUAUUCUGCCAAGGCUUGAUCAACUGCUCAUGAACUUUCGGUGAAAAAGUUAUGGAUGGCAUAGAAUCAGUAUUCAUAACAAUUACAUCCUCCGGUUUUAAAUCUAGAUCUUCGUCGCUGCCAAACAACUCUUCCUCUGUAUCCUUUUGUGACUUCAUUAAUUGAUCUCGAAAGGAUAGGCGCUCAGAAGUUUCGCCAGCAUCACUUUGAGCUCUAAACUUGGCCUUCUUGGUGGAGCGAUCAUCAGCCAUGGGUGGGGGAGGGGUUUUCUCAAAGCUUUCCUGCAUUCCUUUCAAGUCUUAAAUAUCUUUUUUACAUCCGCAUUAUUUUUCUUCAUACAAAUUUAAUUAUAUGGUAACUCCUUUUUCUGUGUCUUAUAAUUUCAACCUACAGUCAACAAGUUAAACCGUUAUUCUAGGCAUCUUCAUUGGAUUAUUGCAUCUGUACUUUACCAAAGGGAAAACAAAUUGUCACGAAACAGCGUGUUUCUUUUUGUUAAAUUUAAAAGAAAACUUUAUUACAAAACUUCCCGGUGGGUUCCACGGAACUAUCUAAUAAAGCAUCUUUAUAUAACCUCCAUUGACACAGUCGCAUUAAAUUAUUUUCACAUCCCAAAUUUUCUCAUCUGAUCAAAUCUCUCAUCCACUGAACUGUUAUGGCUUCUUCUUCUUCCUCUUGUCCACCUCGAAACGCUAAGAAGAUGUAUGAUGUUUUUCUGAGUUUCAGAGGAGAGGACACCCGUGACAACUUUACUAGCCAUCUUCACUAUGUUUUGUCUCUGAAAAGUAUCAAAACUUUCGUUGAUGACCAACUUAUCAGAGGAGAGAACAUUUCACGGUCUCUUCUUGAUACAAUUGAAGCAUCAAGCAUCUCAAUUAUCAUUUUCUCAGAAAGGUAUGCUUCUUCUAGAUGGUGUCUCGAUGAACUUUUGAAGAUCCUCGAAUGCAAGCACGAUUAUGGACAGAUUGUGAUUCCAGUUUUCUAUCAAGUUGAUCCAUCACAUGUGAGAUCGCAAAGCCAGGAUUCUUCUUUUGGGAAGUAUUUUAGUGGGCUUGAAAAACUUUAUCCAGAGAAGAUGCAAAGAUGGAAGAAUGCUUUGACCGAAGCAGCCAACCUCUCUGGCUUUGAUUCUCAUGUCAUUAGGUACAAUAAUUUUCUAUCUGAUUCUUAGUAUUACAUUAACUAUGACAAUGAGUUUAAAUAUUUAUCCAUAAUAUAUUAAAUAAAUCAUUCUUAAUAAUGAGGAUUAGGUUUUUUUCUUGCACAUUUGAAUAACUUUCCAAUUAUUUUAUUUGAUGAAAUUCACAUUAUAUUAAUUAGCUAUUUCAUAUUGCAACUAAUUAAAAACACACGAUUCUCUGUCUCGCUUACAUAUAUUUGAACUAUGUUAAGAAAAUGUAAGCUGAGUCAGAUUGCCACGUCAUCAGUUGCCAAGCUGUCAUUCUGUUAUGCAGAGUGUCAUUAGAUUCGAAGUUUGUUAAGUUCCUUCCAAAAGUUUGUUACUAUCAGCUAGUUCUCAACUCAUGCUUUACACGUUGUAGAAGAUUCCAGAUCACACUAUAAAUAGCUCUGUAAUGUUUAGAUUGUUAUGUGAGCUUAAUAGAAACAAAUUUUCCAGCUUCUAGAUUUCUCUCGUUAAGCAUUUUCUUUCUCUUUCUUCUUUAUUUUCUUGUUAAACAAACAGAGUCUGGUACUUCUUAACUAACUAUAUAAUUGCUGUUAUUUUUUUACUAGGCCUGAAUCUAAACUUAUUGAGGAAAUUGCCAAUGACGUUUUGAAGAGGCUAGAUUCGACUUUUCAAAGUGAAAACAAAGGCUUGGUCGGAGUUGAAUGCCCCAUUGAAGAAAUUGAAUCAUUGUUAGGCACUGGGUCUGAGGGGGUUUGGAAACUAGGGAUUUGGGGCAUCGGUGGUAUAGGCAAGACAACAAUCGCUGAUGCUGUUUUUAACAAAAUCUCUAGACAUUUUGAAGGUUCUUACUUUGCGCAUAAUGUUAGAGAUGCAGAAGAAACUGGCAGAAUAAAGGACUUACAAAAGGAACUUCUGUCCAAGUUAUUGAAUGAUGGAAAUGUGAGGAACAUUGAGUUUGAACUCUACAGACUUGCUCGCAAGAAGGUUCUAAUUGUUUUUGAUGAUGUGAGUCAUCGAAGACAAAUACAAUCAUUAAUUGGAUGCCUUGAUGAGUUAGCUUCAGGGAGUCGAGUAAUAAUAACAACAAGAGAUAAACAAGUCCUUAAAAGUUGUUGGGCCACUCAAAUAUAUCAGAUGAAGGAAUUAGUAUAUGCUGAUGCUCAUAAGCUUUUCUGUCAGUGUGCUUUUGGAGGAGACCAUCCAGAUGCAAGUCAUACAGAGCUCACAGACAGGGCAAUCAAAUAUGCACAGGGAGUUCCUUUAGCUCUUAAAGUUUUGGGUUGCCAUCUAUGCGGAAGGAGCGAAGAGGUAUGGGAAAGUGCAAUGAGAAAACUGGAAAAAAUUCCUCACGAGGAAAUCCAGGAGGUGUUAAAAAUAAGUUAUGAUAGCUUGGAUGACUCUCAGAAGAAUGUUUUUCUAGAUAUUGCAUGUUUCUUUGAAGGAGAGCAUAGAGAUGAGGUGACAAGCUUUUUUGAUGCUAGUGGCCUCGAAGCUAAAAUAGAAUUAAGUGUUCUUGAAGGUAAGUCUCUCAUAACUUGCUUCCAUAACCACAUAAGAAUGCAUGACUUGAUACGAGAUAUGGGAAGAGAAAUUGUUCGAAAUGAAUCUAUCGAUCAUCCAGGAGAGCGCAGUAGGUUGUGGUAUCACAAGGAUAUUUAUGAAGUUUUGAAGAACAAUUCGGUGAGGAAUAAUAAGUUUUUAAUUGUAUCUUAUUUGUGUUACAUUUAUAUUAGCAAUUUGUCUGAAUAUGUCUUUUUGAAUAAAAAUAGCAUUAAUACAGCUUAAAAUUAAUUGAAAAAUAAUAUUAAAAAAUUGGUAAAAUAAAAUAAAUAGAUCCGAUAUUUCCCCAACUCAGUUUGAAACAUGCCUCUAAAAUCCCCAGCAAACUAGCGCCUUCGGAGAGAGACCCAAAAAAAAAAAAAAAAAACACCUCAAAUCUUAUUGCAUUUCCUUUUCAACUCAAGCUCUGCCCCUAUCCUUAUUUUUCACUAAAAAAAUUUGAUUGAAUUAAUUUUACAUUUUACAUAUUAAGCAUUUUCUUGAAUUUUCUAUUUUACACUUCCUAAAAGCAUUACCCAAAUAGUUUAUUAUAAAGUGAUUGUAAUAUCUCUAUUUGGGUUUGACGGCUUAAAAAUAAUUGUUUAUUUGUUUGCUUCAAUUAUAUACCAACUUAUGAUCUCCUAUUUGAUUGUUAGGGAACUGAAAAAAUCAAGGGUAUCUUCUUGGAUAUGAAUAAAGUCAAUAGAGAGAUACACAUGAAUUCCGAUGCUUUCUCAAAGAUGCCUAACUUGAGAUUCUUGAGAAUCUAUGGAGAUGAGAACAAAUGUAUGGUCUCUCAUUUAGAGGGUGUGCCAUUUGCUGAAGUGAGGCACCUCGAGUGGGCUCAAUGUCCUUUGAAAACGUUGAAUAUAUGUGCGGAGAAACUUGUUUCACUUAGAAUGCCUUGCAGCAAGGUUGAACAACUUUGGGAUGAUGUUCAGGUAUGUAUUUAUUUGAAAUUCUUUCAGUAAUCAAUUCUAAAUACAAUUGAUGCUAUAAUUAAUAUAUGUGAUAGUAUCUGUUUAUUUAUAAAGAUGAUGAUGAUAAUAAUAAUAAUAAUAAUUUUUUGGGGCACAGGAUCUUGUUAACUUAAAAGAAAUAGACCUCAGUGGAUCCGAGUCGUUAACGAAACUCCCAGACUUGUCACAGGCCAAAAAUCUUAAGAUUCUGAUGUUAGGCGGCUGUUUAAGUUUGAUGGAUACUCGCUCAUCUAUUCAAUAUCUAAAUAAACUUGAAGUUCUUUAUCUACGAAAGUGCGAAAGCCUGACGAGUCUUCCAAUUAGCAUUCCUUUCAAAGAUAUCAUUAACUUCCCAGGUGGAAUUGUUAGAGUGCAAUUUAUGCACUAGUUUUGCAUUAUUUACUUCCCUUAAUAUCAAUGUUUUGCACUUAAUAAUAGUGAUUUACUUGUGUUUUACUUUUGUAGGUGCAAUUCUAUUGAUUGAUGAUAUAAUUGAGCUAUAAGAUGAUGUUUAAGGAUGAUUGUUCUCUUAGAGAAAUUAUGAGCGUCAGAAGAACUUUGUUGAUAAGGCGUGGGCGCGUGCUGUCAACUGCGGACCUGCAGUUUUUAGUUUAACGUGUUUUGUAUUUUUGGUUAUUUUUGUAAUUACGAAUUUAAUAUUUCAGAUAUUAGGUUUUUAUUUUAAAUAGAAUUCUAAAAGAGAAGAGAGAGAGAGUAUUUAAGGGAGGAAUCUAUUGUGAAAAAGGGGGGGAUUUUGGAUUGGAGGAAAAGAAAUAAACCCUAGAUCUUAAUUUUUCUCUUCUCUCUAUGAAGAACUAAACCUAUUUUUCUGGUUGAAGGAUAAUAAAGCUUUGAUUCAUCACUACUGUGAGAUCUUUCUUGUGCUUUAAUUGUUUUAUUGCUUUUUGGGUAUUUGUUUAUUCUCUGAAUUAUUUUCAUGAUUAUGUUUGUUAAUUAGGUAAUUAGCCACUAUUUAAUUAUCAACUUAAUCUAUUGUCAAUUAAAGGAUUCAUCGUAUGAAGAAUUUAAUGUUUGUGACAAAUAACAUAGCAGAGAGUUGUGUUGUGAGAAUAAACAAUCUAAUUUAAAUGAAUCAUCAUAUGUGUUGAUUAGGAUUUGGGUCUCUCUGGUUUUUCAGGCUGUCAAUUGAUUAAAUCCUAUGAUCGUAUCUAGGGUUGUCCAUUGAUUAGGGAAAUAACCAACGGUCGUACCUUGGUUAUCGACUAGUUAAGGAGAGAUUGGCUAUUAGAGGGUCUCAAUAGCUAUAACCGGUCUAUUCAUAAGUAAUAAUAAUCUAUAUUUGAAUAAAUGAUCAGUAGUCGAAUCAAGCUGAGUUAAUUCCUUCAACCAGAGCUUUCUCCAAUUUGAAUUACAACUUUAAUUUGCAUUCUUGUUAUUUCAAUUUGAUUUUUAUUAUUGUCAACAAUUCCCCCAUUUUACGUUUUACGUUUCAAAAGGAUUUAAAUAAUUACCGAUCUCUGUGGACACGACCCUGCUCAAUCACUAUACACAAUUUAUUUAGAGUAGAAAUUUAUUUUUGUUGGAUUCGACAACCAUCAAAUUUUAGCGUCGUUGUCGGGGAUUGGUGUCAUUUAUUUAAUCCUUUUUACGUUUUACUUGGUGUAUGGUUCGUUCUUCUCGUACAGGUACACUUUCGUUUGAUCUUGAAAUUGAGAAGACAGCUCGCCAGCUGAGACAGCAGACUAAGCGAGCUAAGCAACGAUCCUCGUCGCCUUUGCUUUUUGAAACAGAUACGGUGCCUAAUUUAGUUGAAUCAUCUAGCGAUUCGGAAGAACAAGUGAUGGAUAGACCUGCACCUGUAGAAAGAACUCUUAGAGAGUUAGCUGAACCAGACUUGAAUCAGCAACCACUCUGCAUUCAAUAUGUAGAUUUGGAGGUAAAUUUUGAAUUAAAGUCUAGUCUUAUUCAUUUAUUACCCAAGUUUCAUGGUUUUGCAGGUGAAGAUCCUCAUAAACAUCUUAAGGAGUUUCAUGUUGUGUGUUCAAGUAUGAGACCACAAGGCGUGACUGAAGAGCAGAUUAAGCUGCGUGCUUUUCCGUUCUCUGUAGAUGGGCUAGCUAAAGACUGGUUGUAUUACUUGCCUCCUGGAUCGAUUACAACGUGGAAUGAUUUGAAGAAGCAGUUCCUCGAGAAGUACUUUCCUGCUUCAAGAGCUGCUAACAUCAGAAAAGACAUUUGUGGGAUCAAACAACUUCCUGGGGAGACUUUGUAUGAGUAUUGGGAGCGAUUCAAACAAUUGUGUGCCAGCUGUCCUCAGCAUCAGAUUUCUGAUCAACUUCUUAUUCAAUAUUUUUACGAAGGAUUAUCAUUGAUGGAUAGGAGUAUGAUAGAUGAUGCUAGUGGAGGCGUGUUGGUGAACAAGACCCCUACUCAAGCAAAGGAGUUGAUCUCAAAUAUGGCUGCCAAUGCACAACAAUUUGGCAGCAGACAAGAUGCCACUUCAAGAACGGUGAAUGAGGUAAAUAUUUCUUCUGUUGAACAACGUUUAGAUAAACUUACUUCCCUUAUGAAAAAGUUUGUUGUAGGUAAUGUGCAACAGGUGAAGACUUGUGGCAUUUGUUACAAUAUGGGUCAUUCAACUGAUAUGUGUCCUACACUUCAAGAAGAACCCGUUGAACAAGCCAAUGCAGUUAGAGGAUUUCCAGGCAUGCCUCAGAGGAGGUAUGAUCCUUAUGCACAAACAUACAAUCCGGGAUGGAAGGAUCAUCCCAACUUCAGCUAUGGAGUUAGGCCGUCAGGAUUCCCACAACAAUAUGCACCAAGACAACCAACACCUCCACAGUCAAACUCCAAGUCAGGUAUAUCUCUUGAAGAAAUUGUUAAAUCACUUGCGACUAACACUCAACAAUUUCAGCAGGCAACUACAGCAAGCAUUCAGAACUUGGAGAACCAAAUGAGUCAAUUGGCGACUACAGUGAGCCGUCUUGAGUCUCAAGUAUUAGGAAGAUUGCCUUCACAAUCUGAGGUGAAUCCAAAGCAAAACGUUAGUGCUGUCAUCCUUAGAAGUGGGAAGGAGUUGCAAGAGCCUAGUAAGAAAGUGACAAAGCAUGUAGAAAAUGAGCUUGAGAAGAAUGAAUUGAUGCCUAAAUCUCAAGAUACGCAACCCACCAGAGCGAAACCCCUACCUAUUGUGAUACCUCCUCCUUUUCCAAGCCGGUUUACAAAAUCCAAGAAGGAGGAACAAGAGAAAGACAUCCUUGAGACAUUUCGCAAGGUUGAGGUAAAUAUUCCUUUAUUAGAUGCUAUAAAACAAAUACCUCAAUAUGCUAAAGUCCUUAAGGAACUGUGCACCUCCAAAAGAAAAUUAAGAGGAGAUGAAAAAGUUCACAUGGGGGAGAAUGUUUCAGCAGUUUUCCAAAAGAAACUACCUCCUAAGUGCAAGAAUCCAGGUAUGUUUACUAUCCCUUGUAAAAUUGGUAGUGUUAGAGUUGAAAAGGCUAUGUUAGAUCUAGGAGCUUCUAUUAAUGUCAUGCCUCGUUCCAUUUAUUCAUCUUUGAAUGUUGGUCCAUUAAAAGAAACUGGCGUGAUAAUUCAACUAGCUGAUAGGUCUAAUGCAUAUCCUGAUGGGGUAUUAGAAGAUAUCUUAGUACAAGUUAAUGAGUUGGUUUUUCCUGCUGAUUUUUAUGUACUUGAUAUGAAAGAUGAUAACUCCUCUAAUUCUGUCCCAAUUUUGCUAGGAAGACCUUUUUCUUAAGACUGCUAGGACUAAAAUGGAUGUACAUAAAGGGACUCUCACUAUGGAGUUUGAUGGAGAGGUUAUAGAAUUCAAUAUGAAUGAUACCAUGAAAUAUCCUAGUGAGGAACAUUCGGUAUUUUCUGUGGAUGUUAUUAACCCUAUAGCGCAGGAAAUUUUUUACAAGGAAAAGACGAAGACAUUUCAUGAUAGAAUGAUUUUGAGAAAGGAGUUCUCAGUUGGUCAAAAAGUUCUUCUUUUUCAUUCUAAGCUUAAACAUUUUCCGGGUAAAUUACGUUCUUGCUGGGUUGGACCUUUUAUUGUUACUAAUGUUUUUCCUCAUGGUGCAGUUGAGAUUCGGAGUCCGAUCUCUGACAAAGUUUUUAAGGUUAAUGGUCAUCGCUUAAAACCUUUUUAUGAAGGUUUUUCGGUGAAUAUUGUGGAGGAUAUGACUCUCGAGAGUCCCAAUUAUGGAGAUUGAUGCAUAAAUGUGUCUAGCCAAAGACAUAAAACAAAGGCGCUUUUUGGGAGGCAAUCCAAAUAAUUUAUUUAUUUUGGUUUUUGUCAUAUCUUCUUUUAAUUUUGAUUCAGAUUUUUUUAAAAAAAUAAUGUGUUUGCUUAUUUUGGUCAGAAGAAAAUUUUUGAUAAGGCGUGCCCACGUCUUAACUAAUAAGUACUUCUGUGAUUUUUAAAGUAAAAUGGUUUUAAGGCGUGCCCACGUGCUUAUUAGAAAAGUACUUCUGAAAUUUUUAGUGUCUCAAGUGAUUCAUCACUAAAAAAAAAAAAAAAAAAAAUUAUUUUAUUUUAUUUUUUUUUCUAUCUAUUUAUUUUAAAAAAGCAAAAAAAAUAAAGAGAUUUUCUUUUGUUCUUUCUUUUAUAUAUAUAUUUAUUUAUUUAUUUAUUAAAAAAAAUUUCAAAAAUCACUGUUAAAAAAAAAAAAAGUUUUCACUGUUCACAAAAUCCCUAAUUUUCCAGAACUUGUUUUCUUCUCCAGCCGCUUGCAGCACACCAGCAGCACCCGCGAGCGCAGCACCAGCAUCGAGCACCAUCCCGCGAGCGCAGCACCAGCAUCCCGUGUCUCGCAGCCCAGCAACGCGCAACGAAGUCCCAGCAGCGCGCAACGCAGCGCAGCACCCGCAAAGCAAGCCUCAGCAGCGUGCAGCGCGAAUCAGCCCCAGCUGCGAGCGCAGCGCGAACUAGCCCCAGCUGCGAGCGCAGCGCGAACUAGCCCCAGCCCGAGCACGCAACGUAACAAGCGUCACCAGCACGCGCACCAGCAAUCCCCCAGCGCGCAGCAACAGCCGCAGCACGCAGAUCCAGCGUCACCAGUUCUCAGCAUCAGUCCCAUCCGCGCGCAACUGAACCAGCAGCCGUGCACCCGCAAGCUCCAGUCGAGCAGCAAUAGUCCGCAACCAGCCUGCGACCUGCAUUCCAGCCGCGUGAAUCGAAAUCCUUGACAAGAUGGAGCAGAAUUUGGCCGCAUACUUCAAGAGUGUGAGAUUUAUCCCACCAUUCCCGCCAAGCCCAUAGACGUUAUGAGGAUCAAAGCUCACAAUUCAGGGAAGUUUUUGCCUUUAAUCUUUUAUCCUUACGCUUUAAUUUUUAUGUGAGCUUUGAUUAUCUUACAUUGGGGACAAUGUAAGUUCUUGGUGUGGGGGAGGGAUUUUUGCAUUAUUGAUGUCUGGAAUUAUUGUUUUCACUCUACUUAUCUUUUUUUCACUCUACUCAUCCUUAAAUGAUUUUGGAGUUAGUAUGCUUUAUAUAUUAUUAAUUUUCUUUUCCUUUAUCUCUCACUACUCUUUUCCCAUCUAUCUCACAUUAUUUACAUCUAUUUUUUUUCUACCAUACUUUUUCAUCACUCACAUUUUAUCUUUCAUUUUUUUACUACAUACAUCUUUCUCGCUUAUUAUCCUUUUUACCUUUACUUUUAUAUCUCACUCAUACCUUCUUCUCAUUCUACACCACUAUUGAUGGUUGAUUCAUUUGAAGAGUGCAUAGGAUUUGAUGGCAAAUUUACCAACUUUGUGAGGAUUUGAGCCUAUGAGCAACCACUUUGCUCUAAUUAUUUUUGUUAUGUGAAUAUCAAUCCUAGUUUGUUUAUUCUAGAACUUGCUUUAUUAUGCAUGUUGAAGCCACAUUACGGGAUUUUAUGCAUUAAAAUGAUAAGGGCAAACCAUUUACCAUUUUUCUAUUCUCGCAUUUUCCUUUUUCUCUACCCGAAGACCUUUAUUUGCUACCUUUGUUUGAGCCUUAACAAUUACCCAUCUAAUUCUCUCCGUCUACUUAACCAUUUUUCUUCUUUUUUGAGCCUCAAUUUAAGGAGAUUUUUGGACUCAUUGUGUGGAUAUAUUUUGUUGCUUUUUCUACCUUGUAAUAAAGUUUCUCAAUUAGAUCAACAAGCAUUAUGCUUGAAUUAAAUUGUGCAAGGUUCGUUUCUUUUGUUUGAUUCAAAAACAAAAACAAAAAAAAAAAGAAAAAAAAAAGAAAAAAAAAAGAAAAAGAAAAAUCACAAAAAAAAAAUGUUUACAUUCUUGGUGACUUGAGUAGAAAUAAGCAUUUUGAUAUCAUAAGUUCAUUCAAUGAGUUCAUUCUUCUCGUUUUGAUCUCUUUUUCUUUCGUAAACCUUUCUUUUUCAUUUAACCCAUUUAACCCCAUUACAACCCUUUUAAGACCCUUAGAUUUUUGCUUUUUAUUCAUGUUUUGUGGAUUGAGAUGUGAUAUAUGAGCAAGCUUAUGGUAAUAGCAUUCUUUGAUUUGAUUUGAGUGGAUAAAUGACACCCUAAACACUUUGAGUGCAUGGAGUGAAGUUAUUGAGAGGGCUAUUACAUCUUGUUGCACUUGAAUUUUGAAUGGAUCUUCUUGGUGGUUGAAUGUUCUUAUUCUAUCUUAUGAAAUUCUAUGCUUUAAAAUCCUUGUCUCUCGAACGUUGAACGACUUAAUUUUUUGAGGUAUGCUUGCUUAAAAUUGUUUUUGGAUGAGUUGAGAUGAGAAUUUAGUGGAGAUUUGAGAUUAGUCUUGAGUUAUAUGCUUGAGGACAAGCAUCAUCUUGGUGUGGGGGAAUUUGUUAGAGUGCAAUUUAUGCACUAGUUUUGCAUUAUUUACUUCCCUUAAUAUCAAUGUUUUGCACUUAAUAAUAAUGAUUUACUUGUGUUUUACUUUUGUAGGUGCAAUGCUAUUGAUUGAUGAUAAAAUUAAGCUAUAAGAUGAUGUUUAAGGAUGAUUGUUCUCUUGGAGAAAUUAUGAGCGUCAGAAGAACUUUGUUGAUAAGGCGUGGGCGCGUGCUGUCAAUUGCGGACCUGCAGUUUUUAGUUUAACGUGUUUUGUAUUUUUGGUUAUUUUGUAAUUACGAAUUUAAUAUUUCAGAUAUUAGGAUUUUAUUUUAAAUAGAAUUCUAAAAGAGAAGAGAGAUAUAGUAUUUAAGGGAGGAAUCUAUUGUGAAAAAGGGGGGGAUUUUGGAUUGGAGGAAAAGAAAUAAACCCUAGAUCUUAAUUUUUCUCUUCUCUCUAUGAAGAACUAAACCUAUUUUUCUGGUUGAAGGAUAAUGAAGCUUUGAUUCAUCACUACUGUGAGAUCUUUCUUGUACUUUAAUUGUUUUAUUGCUUUUUGGGUAUUUGUUUAUUCUCUGAAUUAUUUUCAUGAUUAUGUUUGUUAAUUAGGUAAUUGGCCACUAUUUAAUUAUCAACUUAAUCUAUUGUCAAUUAAAGGAUUCAUCGUAUGAAGAAUUUAAUGUUUGUGACAAAUAACAUAGCAGAGAGUUGUGUUGUGAGAAUAAACAAUCUAAUUUAAAUGAAUCAUCGUAUGUGUUGAUUAGGAUUUGGGUCUCUCUGGUUUUUCAGGCUGUCAAUUGAUUAAAUCCUAUGAUCGUAUCUAGGGUUGUCCAUUGAUUAGGGAAAUAACCAACGGUCGUACCUUGGUUAUCGAUUAGUUAAGGAGAGAUUGGCUAUUAGAGGGUCUCAAUAGCUAUAACCGGUCUAUUCAUAAGUAAUAAUAAUCUAUAUUUGAAUAAAUGAUCAGUAGUCGAAUCAAGCUGAGUUAAUUCCUUCAACCAGAGCUUUCUCCAAUUUGAAUUACAACUUUAAUUUGCAUUCUUGUUAUUUCAAUUUGAUUUUUAUUAUUGUCAACAAUUCCCCCAUUUUACGUUUUACGUUUCAAAAGGAUUUAAAUAAUUACCGAUCUCUGUGGACACGACCCUGCUCAAUCACUAUACACAAUUUAUUUAGAGUAGGAAUUUAUUUUUGUUGGCUUCGACAACCAUCAGGAAUCAAAGAACUUGAAUAUUUGAAUGCAUUCAAAGAACUUCAAUGUUUGACUAUAAUGCAACAACUUCAAAAUUUGGCUCAUCUUUGAUAUUGAAUAGAUGAGCGAGUCUAUUCAAUAAGGUAACAUUUUUCAAGAUUCAAUUAAAUCCCAUUGCUUUUUUUCCGAGGAUGUUCAUGAGAUCUUUGAAAGUUGGAAUCAAACAUAGAUCAAGUUCUCAAUCUAAAAGGACAAAGCACAAAAAAUUAAACAACUUGUGAAAUCUCCCAGUGUUGUCUUAAAUGUCUCCAUAAAAAACAUGGUCGGCCAACUUUGCUCCAUCACCAUCACGCCAGCUCGCUAUGCCACGAGACACCCCCAGCUUCAUCACCAUCAUGUCACGCGAACCACAACUCCUCCACCAUUGUACCGUCUGAUCUCAUCAGUGCACAACACUGUUUCAUUGCCGCCGUGCCUCUUCUUCAUUGUCCUGUCAUCAAGCUGAAGGUUUGACUCUCAGUUUGUACUUGAUUACUGAAUUUGGGUUGGACUUUUAAAUUAAGGAUUGAUUGAAUUGGUUGGUGGAUGGGGUUUUUUUUUUUUUUUAUCAGUAAACUUUGUUGAAUCAGUGCUAGAAUUAAUAAUUUUCUGUUUCUUUUGUUGGAAACUAUUAUGAAAGGAAAAUGAGUUUUCGUCUCUUAUCUUGCCUCGAUAUUUGGCUAUCGGAAGAAAUUUUAUUUGAACUUAUUUCCUUUGUUGGGCUACGAGGACGCAGAGGCCCAAAAUUGCUAGUUGCUUGAUAAUUUUGGGAUAAAGAUGAAUCUUGAAAAAUGUGCGAGGAUUAUAUCAUGUGCCAAAUGGAUUCAUGGUUUGUGUGUUCAUGGGUUAUUGGAAAAGGAAACAACCGUUACUCACAAGAAAAAUGCCCUAGACAAAUGGGAUUAUGUUAUGGUAUGAGCAGAAGCAACAUAAGUGUGAGUUGAAAAUUGUCCAAAACUUAAUUAAAUCAUCCAAAGCAAAAUGUGUAAUGAUGAGGGGUUUGGGUUUUGCUUGUUUGAGUGUUGAAGAGAUCAUUAUUGCGGCUCUUCUGGGAGACAGCGAAAGCAUUUGCUUCCUAAUUCGAGCUUUUUAUUACUAUUACUAUUAUUAUUAUUCUUUAUUUCUCAUAGCAGUAACCAGUCUGAUUCAUCAGAUAUAAAUCUACUGUUAUCAUCAUGAUGAUCGUAACACACAUCUCUCAUUUAUUUCUUCUUGUGGAAAAGAAAACUCAUCUGCCCAUCACUCGCAUUUAGCAUGUUUUGCAAGAAAACAUGGCAAUGCAAAACAUUACCACUGCCUCACGUUAACUUUGCUUGCUUUGUUACUCACAAGAUUACAAAAAGGAUUCUUCUCUUUCACUUUUUGGUAUUUGAAAUUUUGAAGUAUAAAUGUUUAUUAAAUAUUUUAUUGUUUUCGGAGAGUAAUUUAUUUCCACUUGUCUUUCAUCUAUAUAUAUGUAUAUAAUGUGUGUGUGAACACUCUUAAGCAUUUGGAAAAUUUACGAAAAUAACCAUUAAUAUUUUAUUAUUUUCGCAAUUAACCCUGUCAACUUUUUUCUAUCAACAUUAGUCAAACACAAGCCUUUCUUCCCAAAUUACCCUUCUUUACAGAACAAAACCAACAUCGUUUCUCCCAUAUCGCCAAACCAAAAGUAGCUUUUCACUCUUGAAUCAUCAGCCAACGGCGACCGCAAAAGACAACGGUAAAAGUGAUAUCCGAUCAUAAUCUAUCCGGAUCCAACACAAAUCGACAUCACUUAGUGGUAUGAAUUAUUUUCUGAACUUAUUGAACUGAUUCGGGUGAAUCUGAAUCUGGCGACAGGCUGUCUGUCGCAGCAAAACUUGGUGCGAAUGGUUGGUGCGACAGGCACCUGUCGCACCAAGCAAGGUGCGACAGGCACCCUGUCGCACCAAGGUUCGACAGGCACCCUGUCGCACCAAGGUUCGGGCGACAGGUUGCCUGUCGCACCCACCCUGGAGAUUCAUUAAAACUGUAUUAUUUUAAUAGGACUCAAAUAAAUUUUUUUUUAUAAUUUCAGGGUUAAUGGAUUUAAUUGUACUUGAAUUGUGUUACGAUGGUUGGUGGGAGACAUUAGAGAAUGGCCGUAUGGAGUACGUGAAUGGUAAAAAUCGAGCUUUUUUUGUUGGAAAAAAUUAUCUGUUUGAUCAGUUAUUGGCAAGAGUAUACGAGGUGUUACAAAUAAACCCUAAUGACUAUAGUAUCACAAUGAAGACAACUUUGAGAUCUAGUAACACAUUAUAUCGUAUAUGUGCAAUGCCCAUGGAUAUAUGUGAUGAUGAAAUGGUGAGGGUUGUAUUGCAUAUGGCAUAUGACGUAGCUAAUUUUGGAUGCAUUCCUAUAUUCGUGACCACAUCACCUCGAGUUCCGAGUGAAGGUAUUGAGCCACAUGUCGAUACAGAAACUUCGUUUAGAGCAAAUAUGUCUGGCCCCGAUAAUGAUGAAGAGGUGUUGCCAAGGACAAUAUCGCUGCAGCAAUAUUACUCUCCAAUCCACAACAAUUAUGACAACAUUGAUGAUAAUGGUGUUACGUUACAGGAUGUUGGAGCAACGGUAUUUCCAAUAACAACGUCGUUGGAGCAACGAUAUUCUCCGUAUCACAACAAUGAUUUUCGGGACAAUGAUGAUUUUCAUAAUGAGACAGAGGGGGAUAAUGUUUGUGCAGAACCUUCUAAUAAUACGAGGCGGGGCACUCGUUUCAAUAAUGAUGGUGAUGAUGGAGGAGCCGGUCCUUCGAAUGUUCCGUCGUUUCAGCAUGAGGAUGAGGGUGAAGACAAUACUCCUGUGAAUAACAGAGGCAAUAGAUCUAUUCCUUCUAUGGUUCGAUCGAGAAGGAGAAUUGACCCCCUUACAAGUCUUGCUCUAACUUUGCCUUCGAACAUGGUUGCUCCAAGCUUUGUUAGCAGUUGUGACUCAGAUGAUAUCAGCGUGGGUAAGCUAUUUGCUGAGAAGAAUGAGCUUAUAUUACAACUACGCAAGGUGGCCUUUAGAGAUAAGUUUGAUUUCAAGAUUGCACGGUCUACUACGACACGUUUUGAGGCUCACUGUUGUUUAGAAUCAUGUAAAUGGCGUAUUCGAGCAACUAGAAGUUCGAACGAGCAAAAUGUUCCUUGGGUGGUGAAGAGAAUUGAUAAUGUACACACUUGUCAUAAUGAGGUAUUGGUUGAUGGACGUCAUCAAGUAAAGAGCCGGGUUGUCGGUCAUAUUAUCACAGAAAAAUAUAUUCAAGAUAAGAGGAUUUAUACUCCCAAUGACAUAAGAGCAUAUAUGCAACAGGAAUACGGUGUUCAGUUAACAUACCAGCAGGCAUAUAGGGCGAGAGAAGUUGGUCUUGAAAUAGUUCGCGGCAACCCUGCAGAGUCAUACAACUUGCUCCCUAAAUACUCUCACGUACUAACUAUAGCGAAUGAGGGUACAGUCACUCACCUCGAGCAGGAUGGAGAUGGUAAUUUCUUGUACUGUUUUGUAGCACUCGGAUCUUCCAUCAAGGGGUUUAUGCAGUACAUUCGGCCUGUCAUUGCUGUAGAUGGUACUCAUCUGAAGGGACUAUAUCGUGGAAGCAUGUUCGUGGCAACAUGUCUUGAUGGUAACAAUCAAUUGUAUUUGUUAGCCAUUGGGAUCAUGGAUUCAGAAAACAAUGAUGCUUGGGAAUGGUUUAUGCUGAAGUUACACGGAGUGAUUGGUGAUAAACCUGAGUUGGUAAUUAUCUCUGAUCGAUGCACUACCAUAAGGAGAGCCGUUCUUAAAGUAUUUCACAAUGCAACUCAUGGCGUUUGUUUUUACCACGUCAAAGGUAACAUUAAGUCACAAUUUAGAAUGUCCAAAGCUCUUUGGGAAGAAUUUGAGCCUGCCUUUAUUAAUGCAGCAAAAGCAUAUGGCCACGAGGAAUUUAAGAGACAACUUGAAGGGUUGUGGAUGAUCCACUCAGGUGCGGCUGAUUACCUAGAAAAUAAUGUCGGUACGUGUAAUUGGGCAAGGUCUCAGUUUGAAGGUAGGAGGUACAGCAUUCUUACCACUAACAUCGUGGAGAGUGUUAAUGCUUUCAUGAGGGAACCUCGAAAAUUUCCUGUUACUCAUCUUAUUGAUCACUUUAGGAAAAUAUUGCAGCAAUGGUUUUAUGAUAGAAAAAUUGUGGCUGAAUCAAUGACUACUCGGCUAACAACAUGGGCGGAUGAAAUAGUCACUGAGAGGAGAACUAUAGCUGAAAGAAUGAUAGUUCGGCCGGUGUCGCCGCAUCGCUUUCAAGUUAUAGGCGGUGGGCUUAAGGAAGGGUUGGUUGACUUGCAAAAGAGAACUUGCUCCUACAGAGUGUUUCAGCUUGAUCAGCUUGUGUGUGCUCAUGCAAUUGCGGCGUGUCUAACACACCGGGUGGAUUUUAUUAACCUUUGCUCGGACUUUUACACUACAGAAUCGUUGGUGAUGGCUUAUGCACAACCAGUGGAGCCAGUUGGUGAUGUGGCUGAUUGGGAAGUUCCAGAUGAAAUUCAGGAGAUGCAAGUAUACCCACCAGUUGAGGCACCACCACCUGGCCGUCGUAAAGAGCUCAGAAUACCCUCAGUUGGCGAGGACGUUGACCGGCGGACUGUAAGAUGCGGCCGGUGUCAUGAACUAGGCCAUAAUCGUAAGCGAUGUAAGAAUCCUAUUGCGUCGACUCGAAGUUAGUUGUAUUUUGUGUGUUAUUCGUUGGUUAAAACUAUUAUUGUUUUUUGUGUAUUGUACACUUAUAUUUCAUAAAACUUUAUUUUAUUUUAAAGUUCAAAAUGUGAGGCAUUAAAAUUAUAUAAACUUAAGUGUUCAAAUUAAAAAAAAAUUCAAAUUUCAACAUUAAAAUUACUACAUAGGUCUACAAUAUAAUAUCGUCAUUAAAUAUAUCAACCGCAAUCUUCUUUCUAAAAUACUCGACAUGACUAGCGUUAAACUCCAAUCUAAGCCCGAACAUUAAAUACAUCGUAACCAUCAAUACAAAAACACCGCAAUCGCCAGUUCCGGGCUCUUAUUGCGACGCGCUCUUAACUGCGAUAACUUUCCAUGGGUCUUCACUCCGCAACUCAGGUCGGAUAUUGUAGAAGCCAACAUAUUCCAACCAUCGAGGGAAUAUAACUUCAAGUGGCUUGAAUUUCAACUUGUACCUUUUGUUGUCGCGAAAUGUGAGUAAUGAGUCAUAAAUCCAGACUUUAUUUUUCCGAAAGUCAACUCGUGCUAGUACCCAAUGCGCGCCGUCCAAGUUAACAGGGAUGAGUAACUGCAUAUAAAAAUUGUUCAAAAUGUUUGUUAUAUAUGCAAUUGAAAUACAACAAAGAAAAAGCAACAACUCGAAUAUUUUCAUUAUAGAGCAUGUGAAAUGUAAUAAAAUACAUACCAUAUCGACAUCCGUCAUUGAUUUGGACAUUGUGUGCUGUCGCCCACAAAGAUAACUAUUCAAGCGGUCGUCGAAUACCAAUGAUUCGACCGCACAAUCCCCGUUAUUCCAUAACUGAUUCAAGAACACCUAGUAUAUAGAUAACCAAGAAAUGCAUAAAUUAACAAAACUUAAAGGCAAUAAUUAAAAAAAAUUAAAUAGUAUUUAUAAGUUUUGUCGGCACGUUAUCCAAAAAAAUGUAUCAGUAUGUGUGACACGUUGGAGUAAGGCAUUUGGAUACUGCCGUUAUUUCUCGCUAAUCAAGCGGAGAUACUCGUGAAUAUGCUGUAGAGAAACAGAAAUAUUACGAUUUAAAAGAAAAUUUUUAUACACAAAUCCACAACACUAAAAAAACUUCGAAAAUAUAAAUACCUCAUCGCCUAGCCAUCCCAUCGAAGCUGUACCCAAAAUUAUUUGAAAGAAUGACCGCGGGUGCUGGACUCUCCGGCGGACUCUGAUAUCACCAGUGAACCAUCGAUCAAACUCAGCAAACAGACUAGAGUCCUCCAAUCCUCUCAGUGGAUUUACAUCCACACUCGUACUCAUGUCAAUCGCAUGCUCCAUGAUUUGGGGUCGAGGUAAAGGCCGGACGUUCUGUCCUCGCCUGACCGGAGGAAUCAUGUAAGGACUGUUAUAAACAUACGAUGGUAUGUACGCGCGGCCGAACUUACUAACGCCCGGAGGCACCUCUGUGAACACCUGCACGCUCUCCCCACUAACAUCCCCGUACAAACUAUACAAUGACGUAGGCGUAGACAAAUUUUCAUUGCCCACGUCAGUAUACACUCCAUAGUCAUCCGGGGCCUGUACAUUCGCCAAAAAGAACAUAUUAAAUAACUAUCAAAUUAAAAGUUAAACGAACAUAAUUAUUAAAUUUAAAUUAGCUUACCGCAUACGAGCGUGCAGUGGGAGAAUCCUUAUUUGGACGUUUAGAAAAUGUGUCGAUGAAGCCAACAACGGUUUCUUUAAAAUCUUUUAAUUCUGACUUUAUUUCAUACACGUUACGAUCAAUCUUAUCCAGCCGUCGUUGUACGUAAUCAUUAAACUGCUUUGUCCUCGACUAUUACAAAAGAAAAAAAUAAAACUUUAGAAUAACAAUAAAAAAAUAAUAAUUGAUAAAGGAAAAUAUCGUAUAUUAUUUCUAACCUCAGAAUCCCGUGCGUCAUCAAAGUUGUCUGUUUGCUGCUGGUGGUCAUCAACAGCCACCUCAUCCUCAAAAGUGUCAUGACCCACCUCAUCCUCAAAAGUGUCAUGACGCUGCUCUGGUAUUGGGUUUGGUAUGUCGUCAUGAUCGUCAUGCUCGUCUGAUUGCCUUGUAACCGACGGCAUCGCGUUGAUUGAGGGUUGGUGCUGUAUAAAGUAUCAUUUAAAAUUAGUAAAUGAAAAGUCAAAAAUUUCGAUUAACAAAUUUUUAGUACUUAGAGUAUACCGACCUUAUGAACCCAGUCUGGAAUGCUUGGCAAGUAAUCCUUCACAGAGAGCCAAUAUUUUCUGCUACUCUCCUUUGAAUUUGGCUCAAGAGUUUGUAAAACGUCCCCCUGCCAUAAAUUCAAUUGAAAAUUUUAAGUAAGUAUACAUAACUUAAAUUUAGUAAAGUUAAAAAAAUAAGUAAUACAUAUUACUUACAAGACGAGAUUUGUCGUUGAAGAACGAAUAAACCUCCGCAAAGUUGAUUCUCGAAGACGCCAUGGGCUUCCAUUGCAGAAUGCGGGGAAUCUUAUUCUUCGUUUUGACGACCCAUGUUGAUGGCAACCCUCCGAUUGCUUCGUAAAUCCAAGCCUACAACAACCAAAGUGAAAAAUCAAAUAAAACAACUAUCAAAUAUUUAAUACUAUAAAACUUAUUAAUAAACAAAAAAAAAAGCACCUGAACCCUAGACGUAAAGCCGUAAAGAUUAUAUUUUUCAAUAUUAUGAUCUGGAUUUUUCAACCGAGUCUUCUUAAAUUUCUCGUCUUUCUCGAACAGUGCAUUGUCAAGACUCUCGUAAAUCAUUUCCCACGACAAUAGACCCCAUGGACGCUUUCGGAAGUACUGUAUAUCAUCAACUUGGUCAAGCUAAUCGAAAUUAAUUUGACAGUGAUUUUUUCUUGCAUUUAGUACUCUGUCCGCAAAAUAAAACAGCGCAAUCUUUAAUGCGUCCAUAUCGUCCAUUUCCUCGAAUUUCAACUCCUUAAAUACUGCAUCGAAUUGCUUCACAUUAAUCUUACGAUGCACACCACCAAAAUAUGUAUUCCGUAGCCUCUGCUCCAUUUCAUCAUUUUUUUUAUUGGUAUCAACACCAAAUGAAAGUCCAGUAACCAAGCACCAUUCGACAAUUGACAAGCGAAUCAAAUGCUUACCAAUUUGAAACCAUAACUGAUCCUCACGGCUAUCUUCUUCAUAGGCCACUUGCCGCAGUAAAAGAUUGUGCAAAAUUACCCCACUAAAUGGAAAACUUCGACACUCCAAGAAAUGCCCAAAUAUAUCCUUUUUGAACAUAAUCAACUGCCGCUUUGUUAAUUUUUCCUCGAUGGCUUUUACGACCGAAGAUAACAUACACAUGCUCGAAAUUCGACCAGGAAAGUGAUCAGCAUAACGAAAAUACAUCUUGCCUACUUCAAUAUCCGAUGAUUCUGAUUUCGCCAUGUAUCUGUAAUAUUUAUAAAAUUAAUACAUUACAUUUACAAAAAAAAAAAACUCGGUAAAAAAAAAAACUCUAAUUUUUUGUGCGACCGGCGCACCUGUCGCACCAAACCUGGUGCGACAGCAAGCCUCUCGCACCAAUCUGGUGCGAGAGCGCGCCUGUCGCACCAGAUUUGGUGCGACAGCGUGCCGCGCAUGGGCGCGCGCGCGCCCUGCCCCCUCCCUCCCCACCCCCAAAAUUAAGCACAAUCACUCCAAAAUCGAAAACAAUACUCCCAAACACCACCAACCACCACAAACAUCAUCACCACCACUAUUAAUCUCAAGCUAUAACUAUUAUUAUUCUAAAAUCUCAUUUUAAAUUAAUGAAAAUAAGAAAAAUGACUAACCUAGGUUUUGUUGAAGGUUGUAGAUUGUAGAUCGGAUGCCGGUGAGAGAUGGAGCCGCCGCCGACGAGGGUUGAUGUCGCCGCCGAUGAUGGGAGUUGGAUCGGUUUGUGAGAGAUGAGUGAAAGGGAGUGUUGGGGGAGAGAUGAGGGAGGGGUAUUUUGGUCUCAAAUGUUGUUUUAUGGCUAAUGUUGGUAGAAAUAUUUUUGGGGGGUUAAGAUGAAAAAAAGGGAAAUUUUUUUUGUUAUUACUGUAAAUUUCCCUAAGCAUUUUGGUUAGUAUAUAAUAUAACGUUAGAUUAACUGAGGAAAAAAUUGAAGGUAGAAGGUACUCAGUCACUAGGUCAGUUAAGUAUGCAAUUGUUUGGAUCACACAUUAUAGACCAUAGACGUCAACAAAAGUGAUUAUUAGAUAUUGAUGUUUAUAUUGUCUUGUCCUAAUAAGACUGAUCUUAAUAACGCUCGAUAAAAAGUCAAUUAAUGAUCCAUUUGAGAUUCAAGUGUUACGAAAUGUCACUGAACUAAAAAUAAUGGUUAGUAAAAGUUGGAAUCAAAGAACUGCCCUCAUCCAUCGAGUGCCUAUCUAAUCUGAAAAAACUAUAUAUUGUGGACUGUUCAAAGCUUGAGAGCAUCUCAAGUAGCAUAUUUAAGUUGAAGUCUCUUCAAUCUAUUGAAAUCUCUAAUUGUUCAAUUUUGAAGAGGUUUCUAGAGAUCCCGUCUUGUAAUAUAGAUGGAGGUAUUGGAAUUGAGCGACUAGCCUCAUGUAAGUUGGUACUGGAAAAAUGUUUAAGUCUUCAGAGUCUCCCUAGCAGCCUGUGUAUGUUCAAAUCUCUGACAUCUCUUGAAAUCAUUGAUUGCCAAAAUUUCAAGAUAUUGCCUUAUGAACUUGGAAAUUUAAAAGCCUUGGAGACGUUGAUCGUUGAUGGAACUCUUAUAAGAGAAGUACCGGAAAGCCUUGGUCAAUUAUCCUCACUAAAAAUUUUGGUACUAACUAAUAACGGUUUGAAGAGAUUACCAGAAAGCCUCAAUCAGUUAUCCUCACUAAAACGUUUGGUACUGUCUGAUAACCCUUUGAAGAUAUUACCAAAAAUCCUCAAUCAGUUAUCCUCACAAGAAUAUUUGGAACUGUCUGAUAACUAUUUGGAGAGAUUAAAAAAAAUCCUCUCGGAGCAGCAAAUAUCACUAGAAUAUUUGCUCCGAUCCGGAACGAGUAUCGAGGGAAUACCAGAAUACCUGAGGAGUCUUCCAAGUAAGUUGACAUCACUCAAUUUAUCUGUUGAGUUGAGAAAUUGUUUGCAAUUAGACCCGAAUGAGCUCAUUGAAAUCUUUAAAGAUGAGUGACUUAAAAUUCUUAUGAAUUGCUUAAGUAUGCAAGCAGAGCAGAAAACAAACAAUCUUUGUAUAUUAUGAUAUAACAUGAAUAAUAAUAGAUAUACACAUCCUUCACAUAUUUAUACUAAACGUGAAAAAUGGUAGCUUGCUCAAAGGGAAACAGAAAUGAAUAAGACAAAAGAUUACAGCUGCACUAGCCAAUCAUUGAAACAUUCUAGAAACUCCAGCUUGCAGUAUUCACGUGUAAAUAUUCCCCUGCAUAACAGUUUUGCCAGCUCAUUGAAGACACCUCAGCUUCUUCAUCAGCUGGCUGCUGGAUAUGGCUGCUCAGGUGGCAUGCCAACAUGGCCUUGGGGUCAACUGUUGACUCAUCUUCAUAAUCUGAAUUCUCAACAGAGUGGAUGAAGCAGGUGUGUCUCUUAACUCACUCCUUUCAUUCUAUUCUCUUUUUCUUUUUUCUUUAAUUCAAGCUAUCAUUACUUUUCAUAAAUUAAUAAUUUUUUAUUUUUGUGUUGCAGUCGUUUGAUGGUAACAUUGGGAUCGCUAAAAGUAUGUAUUUCCCUGGGAAUGAAAUUCCAAAGUGGUUUAGGUAUCAAAGUAUGGGAUCUUAUGUAACCUUGAAGACGCCACCAGCAGAUUUCUUCAAUAAUAAAAUAUUAGUAGGCUUUGCUUUUUGCAUUGUUGUAGCAUUUCCAGCCUCAGAGUACUUUGAGCAUCAAAUCCCAAGGACAUCUCGACCGUCGUUCUUUGGGAAUUAUGACGUGUACUGUGAUUGGAAACACAAAUCACAGUACACGAUUUGGGAAUUAUUGCUCUCUGUUGGGUGCAUGAUUUGGAUAUUCUUAUUAUACGCUAAUAUAAUAGCAAGGUAAAUCUUGUUUCUAUUAAUUGAUGAAGUUACUGGCUGACUUAUGAAACAGGUACAUGUUCUGGUUGAGGUAGUUUCUGGUGCUUCAAAUGCUACACCAAGCCUAGAAGAUAUCCUUUGCUUAAGAGAAAGGCGUGGCUCUUAUGAUUAUGUCACAAAAUAUUUGUGUACGUAAACGCAAUGAUUUGACUUGUACGUGGUUCAAAACUUCAAAUUUCCUUUUCUUUGUCACAAUAGUUGAUUGUUUGGAAAUGAGGCAGAGCACGCUAGUGAUACUGAACAGUGUCAUUUUCCAUUAGUUCAAGAUUGUUGGGAUGAAUGGUUCGAUCAAAACUGCUAAAUGGUUGCUAAGAUCUUUUCUCAAUGUCCUCCAAAAUCUGUUUGCUUUUACUGGAAUGGAAAUACAGUGCCAAGAGGAGGAGGUGAAGACACGAUCUUCGAAGAAAGAAAAUGAGGCAGAGCAAGCUAGCGAUAUUGGACAGGGUAUACAUGCAGGGGCACGACGGCAUUCUUAUUUCUCUCUCCAUCAAUUCUUAUUAAGGAGCCGAAGGGAUGUAUUUUAUUUCAUAGAUUUACUUCUUCAUUGAAUAUUUUGCUACUAUACCAAUGAUGCAACUUUUUGUAAUAUAUCUGAGUUGAAAUGAUGCUAGAGCUUGAGGCGAUCUUUUUUUUUUGGCCUUUUUGACAGUUCAAUUGGUGACUCUAAUAACUCCGUUGAUUGUCUUAGAUAUUUUUGGUGCAUAUAUGGUUGCAUUUUCUUCCUGAAAUUCUUGCUUAGAAGAUAGACAACAAGAUUUCAAUGCAGCAAGGGCAAGAUUUCAAGAUUUUCUUCCGCAAAUUCUUCCAUAUUGUCUUGCUUUCCUUGAAACUCUUUAGUAUCAAGAGCUGACCUUACUUCGUUUGGAGACAAUGCGUGCCUCCUAUACAUCAAAGCAUCGACAAAAUGCUCAUAGGACUUGGGAAGAGUGUGAAUUAAAAGAAGACCUUUAUCCUAAUCAUUUAAUGCCUCAUUAAUGGUCUCCAAAGUAUCACGUACUUCGUUAAAUUCUUCAAGAUGAUCAUCAACAGAUGAGCCUUCAACCAUCUUCAACGUAAACAUCCUCUCCUUGAUGUAAAGUCUGCUUGAAAUAGACUUUCCAACUUGGUCCACAAGUCAGGAACUGUCGUUUCUUUGGCCACCUCUCUUAUCUUGAGUCUGCAAGGCUCAAGAUUAUUGUGCCUCUAGCCUUUUUAUCAAUCUCUAAUUAAAUGUUCUCUAAUCAAAUAUGGCGCGCACGAGUUAGUAAAAGCAUGUGGCACGCACGUGAGUCAACAAGAUUGGUUCCAAUUUCCAAACAAUGUCCUCUGGCUGUCAGUUCUUCGGAUUAGCUUCCUGUAUGCGUUGUCGUCCAUUUCCAAAUAAUAUACGUCAGCUAAUUCCAAAACCACAUACGACAUUGUCUGUCGCUCUGUUUUGAGAUCACAGAUUCAACUUUUCAGUGUUAUAAAAUUUUGGAAAUGAUACGUCUUUGUCUUUCCAUGGAACAUAAUAUACAAAAGGAUUUUUGAAUGUGUUGCGUCGUGUUAUAAUUGGACGCUCUUUCAAUAGGUAGAAUCAUUCAUUAUUUGACAGCUGGGCUACACCAAAAAGCAAGAGGAAAAACAUUUUCAAUAUUCUUUAGUGAAUUACUAUUUUGGUAUUUAUAUAUAUAUAUUCCGUUGUCACAUUCAAUUAUUUUCAUCUGAUCAGUCUCUUGUCCAUUAAUUAGGGAUUUCAUUAUUUUUCAUCAAUUGAAUCUUUAAAAUGCAAUUGCUCAGAUGAACAUUAGUUAAUUUAAUUCGCCCAGUUCUGAUUUUCGUUAAAUUAAUAUAGUUUUUGAGUGUUAUAUGAGAGAUGAAUUUACAAAUCUUUAUGUCUGUGUAAAGAAAAUUUUCAGUCAAAAUCUCUGAACAAUUUUUCUAGAAGAAUACCACUUCCAUGAAAAAUUUGUUUUUUAUUUCCUCUUCAAACGUAAAGUUUGCGUCACAUACAUUAGUCGAUCGGUCUUCAACUAACCUUUUUUUUUUUAAAUAAAAAAAAUGAAUGGUUCUCAAUUAGCUUAGUAAAGUAGACAAUGAGAUGAAACUACCGCGAAAUUAACUACAAGUGACGGGAGUAUGUAAAGCAUCUAUAUAUCCCACGCGCAUUUCAUUCAAUUAAUUAAUUAUCAUCACUAUCCUAUCAAAUGGAAGGUUCAAAGAAAGUAUUUGUUAGAGUUUUUUUUUUUUUUUUUUUAGUUUAAUCGUUCGAAAUGAUUAAAAGGUAGACGACUAUUCGCGAAAGUUGAGGUAUAUAUUGAUGAGCUACCAACGUUUGUUUGUAUUCUUAUAUUACCAACGUAUUUUGGUCAACUUUGCUAGCAUCUAAUAGAAAAUCUAUGUAAAAUUUAUAUAAAAAAAAUUGAAAAUUACUUAUACAAUUUUGAUCUUACAAAUUUAUAAAAGCUAAAUAAAUAGGUUAGCACGUAUAGGUAUUAAGACAACUUUUGAUUUUACAGCAUGUACUUAAAUAAAGAAAGUCUUUGAUGUUCUGGUAGCAUUGCACCUUAUCCAUUCAUUACUUAUUACAUAAUUAAAAAAAAAAAAAAGGCAAAUAUUUCGGGCACUGUAGCAGUUCUCCAUAAUUAAUGUCUACUUCGAGUUUAACUCAACGACCACUCAAAGCAGCUUCAUACGAAGUUAAUAAUUGGAUGGACUUGAAAAAGGAAUGUUCAAAAAAGUAGUCAAAGGAUUUAUACUUUUCAUAUUUUUUUUUUAAAUUUAUUUUAGCUGUCAUCAAUUAUUUGUUUCUUCAAUUGAAACUGAGAUGAAACUGCAACGAAACUUCCUGGAAUUAAGGUUCGAAGCAAGCAUAUCUGUAUACACUCUGCACUGACAUUCAUCUAUUUUCACAUCUACCAAUUUUUCGGAUCAAUUGAACUACUUCUGUUAUGGCUUCUUCUUCUUCUUCUUCUUUAUCUCCUCGAAACAUUAACAAGUAUGAUGUUUUUCUUAGUUUCAGAGGAGAGGACACCCGUGACAACUUUACCAGCCAUCUUUAUUCUGCUUUGUCGCUAAAAAGUAUUCAAACUUUCAUUGAUGACCAACUUAAUAGAGGAGAUGAAAUUUCACAGUCUCUUGUGUAUGCAAUUGAAAAUUCAGCCAUUUCACUCAUCAUUUUCUCUGAAGGGUAUGCCUCUUCCAGAUGGUGUCUCGAUGAACUUGUGAAAAUCCUCCAAUGCAAAAGAGAGUAUGCACAGAUUGUGAUUCCAGUUUUUUAUCGCGUUGAUCCAUCGGACGUGAGAAACCAAACAGGUCCUUUUGGGGAUUCAUUUUCAAAGCUUGAAGAAAGAUUUAAGGAGAAUUCCGAGAAGCUGAAGAGUUGGAGGAAUGCUUUGAAGGAGGCGGCCAGUUUUUCUGGCUUUGAUUCUCAGAACUUUAGGUAAUUAAAGUUCUUUCCUCAUACCAUAAUGAUGAUGCCACAUAAAGUUAUUUUCUGCUCAAUUAAUUACCAGCACUCCUGAUAGUUAUAGUGAUAUUUUUUGUCAAAUAUGCUGAAUUAUAUACUUCAAUUUUAUUAGGUAUCCUAAUGCUUUUCGCAAGUGAUUUGUGGUAUUGAUCUUUGAUAGUGACAAUUGGUGUGUUGAAUUCUGUACGUGAACAACUUGUAGAUUUUUCGAAAUUUAAAUUCUUUUAAAAGAAUUUUGAAGGAUUAAUAAAAACGGUAUUUAUGUGUUUUCAUUGGGUGUCCUGUCAUAUUUUAAGUAGUUUCAAUAUGUCACUCAUAUUCUUGAAAUUUAAGAGUUAUUGAUUCAUACUUGGUGCAAAUCCAUCCUAUUUGAUUUUACUGCUAUUUAACAUAUUUGUUAGGCUUGAAUCGGAACUUAUAAAGAAAGCUGUUCAUCACAUUUUGAAGAGACUGGCUGAAAUGUCUCCACGUAACUACAAAAACCAGUUGGUUGGAGUAGAAUCAAGAGUUAAGGAAAUUGAAUCUCUAUUAGGUGCUGAGUCAAAAUAUGUUUACACUUUAGGGAUUUGGGGCUUCGGUGGUAUGGGGAAGACAACAAUUGCUCGAGCUAUUUUCGAUAAAAUCUCUAGUAACUUUGAAGGUUCUUGCUUCCUUCAAAAUGUUAGAGAAGAAUCACAAAGACCGGGAGGAUUAGCUUAUUUGCGACAAGAACUUUUUUCAAAAUUAUUAAAGGAAGAAGAUGUGAUUCUUGAUAUUGACCUAAACUUUAGAAGGCUCAGCAGCAGGAAGGUUUUGAUUGUUUUUGAUGAUGUGACUUGCUUCAACCAAGUAGAAUCCUUAAUUAGAAGUCUCGAUUGGUUCAUGCCUGAGAGUCAAAUCAUUAUAACCACAAGAGAUAAACAAAUUCUUAGGAAUUGGGGAGUGAAAAAAAUAUAUGAGAUGAAGGCAUUAAUGUUUAAUCAUGCCCUUGAGCUUUUUAGUCGACAUGCAUUCAGACAAAACUAUCCGCAUGUGGGUUAUGAGGAACUAUCAAGGAAGGUAAUGGAAUAUGCUCAAGGUGUUCCUUUAGCUCUUAAAGUUUUGGGCUGCUUUCUAUUUGAAAGGGAAAAAGAAGUAUGGGAAGAUGCAAUAAACAAAUUGAGAAGGAUUCUCCAUCCUAGUAUCCAAGAGGUACUAAAAUUAAGUUAUGAUGGUCUGGAUGAUAAAGAAAAAAACAUUUUCCUAGAUGUUGCUUGUUUCUUAAAUGGUGAGGAUAUAUAUUCGGUUAUGAAGUUCCUUGAUACAAGUGGCUUCUACCCAGAAAUUGGUAUUAGUGUUCUUAUUGAUAAGUCUCUCAUUGCUGUUUCGUGCAACAAGAUAACAAUGCAUGAUUUGCUACAAGGAUUGGGUAGGGAAAUUGUUCAGCAAGAAUCAAUUAAUCGUGGAAACCGUAGUCGAUUAUGGCAUCACGAGGAUAUCUAUGAAGUUCUUACACAUAAUAUGGUAAGCAUUUUGUUGGGAUUAUUAUUUCUGAAUUAUCUUGCAUUUACUAAGUUGAUAUUGUACAUAUAUUUAUAUACGCUGAAACUAAAGAAUCAUAGAAUAUAUAGAAAAGUGACAAUGAUUUAAAAAAAAAAAGUUUUUAGAUCAUGUAAUGUAGCAUUAAUAAAUAAUAAAUACCAUGCCAACAUUUAUAUUAUCUUUUGUACGAAUAUAAAAUUUAUAUGUCACUUUUGUAUAGCAAACAUACAUAGUUUAUAUGUUUGGUGUUACUUGUAUGAUUACCCUUUUUUUGUAGGUUUGCAAUAACGAGUUUGGCCGCCUAACAAUAAUUACCAACUUGCGUUACAGAAUUGUAUCCGAAUUAAGUAUUUAAACUAAGCAAACUUAGUACUAUUGUUACGUAAUUUUGAUUUUAACUUUAUGGUCUUUCAUUGGUUAUAAGGGGACUGAAAAAAUUGAGGGCAUCUGCUUGGAUAUGUCUAAAGUGAAGGAGAUCCAUAUAAAUUCCAAUACUUUCACAAAGAUGUGUAGAUUGAGAUUUUUGAAAUUUUAUAGCUCAAUUGAAGGAGAGAACAAAUGUAAGGUGUCUGAUUUCCAAGGCCCUGGAUUUGCUGAAGUGAGGUAUCUUCACUGGCAUAGAUAUCCAUUGAAAUCAUUACCAUCGAAUAUUCAGCCAGAGAAGCUUGUUUUACUUGAAAUGCCUCAUAGCAAUAUUCAACAACUCUGGGAUGGUGUCCAGGCAUGUAUAUCUUUAUAUAUAUAUUCAUGUUUCAGUGAUAAUGUUAUAACUAUGAUCAUACAUGCUAAUAUUUUUCUCUGCCUCUUUUUUCGAGAGCAGCAUCAUGGUAAGCUAAAGCAGAUAAUCAGUGUUGUCUGUAAUAUUUUUACCAACACUCCAAAGCCCUUGCUGAUUCCACAUCUGGACAUGCUAGUUAUCUUGAAUCUAAGCGGUUGCUCAAAGCUGAAGAGGCUUCCAGAUAUCUCAUCAGCUGGUAAUAUGCAAAAGAUAUUUUUAAAUGGAACUGCAAUAGAAGAAUUGCCUUCAUCGAUCGAGUGUCUACGUGGGCUUUUGGGCUUAUACCUUGAAGACUGUAAAAGUCUCAAGAGUCUCCCAAACAGCCUAUGUAACUUAAAAUCUCUUGCAUAUCUUAACCUCAAUGGUUGCUCAAAUCUUCAGAGAUUGCCUGAAAGUCUUGGUCAGUUAUCCUCACUAGUUGAAUUGUAUCUGGAGAAAAACAAUUUGGAGAGAAUACCAGAAAGCAUUGUACACCUUUCCAAGUUGAAAUUUCUCUUCUUAAGGUAUUCUCAGAGGCUUCAAUCCUUACCAAAGCUUCCAUGCAGUCUAUUUAAGUUGGAUGCCCAUCGUUGCAUGGCACUGGAAUCAUUGUCAGGUUUAUUCUCAAGUUACGAAUCUUAUCGGCAAAAUUUUGACCUGAGCGAUAAUUUUAAAUUGAACCAGAAUCAGCUCAGAGGAAUUGUCGAAGAUGCUAUGCUAGAAAUUCAGAUUAUGGCGACUACUCGCUGGAAAGAAGAAGAAGAGCAAAAUGUCUGUGCGUGUGGUUAUUUAUUUUUAAAAAAAAAAUCUGCACAAGGCUUUUUUUUUGGUUCUUUAAUAACUUUAAAUAAAAAUUAACAUUAUUUUUUUAAUUACUAUUUUGGUGAUGCAGAGAUAUUUCCCAUCAUGUGAUGGUCUCGUCAUUUUACCUGGGAAUGAAAUUCCAACGUGGUUUCGGUUUCAAAGUAUGGGAUCUUCUAUUACCUUGCCACCAGGUUGCUUGAGUAAUAAAAAAUUACUCAGCUUUGCUUUUAGCGCUAUUGUAGCAUUCCCACACCAUCAUUUCACGGAAAGGAAGUUUCUAUUGUUCGGUGAAUUCAAAGUCAAAUCCUACAUAAAAAAGAAAAAAGAAAAAAAUCAAUAUUUCGAUCCUCUUGUCGUAAAGAUUUCUUUGGGAGUUGUUAACUUUGUAGAUUCAGAUCACUUACUUUUGGGUUACUAUUCCACUAUACCUCUUACCAUCAUACAUCCUCAUGAUUGGGAAUACAAUAUCGUUCCUGAGGCAGUCCGGUUCGGUGUUGAGAAAGCUACAGGUUCCGAAUCGUUGGAGAUAGAGUGCAAGUGUUGCGGGAUGAGAAAAUGGGGGAUCCAUUUUUUUUGAAGAGGAGGAACCAGACCCAAAAGUCUGAAAUAUUUGUAAUUGUAAUUUUAUUGUUUUUCUUUUGCCUGCCACUAUUAAAUUUUUUUUACUGAAAAACACCUCAGCAAAAUGAGGGAAACAAUUAUUCAAAUAUUAAGGAUUGCCUCAAACUUAUAUUAUUAGUCUAACAACUAUUCUCAACCAAUGUGGAAUAAUAUUUUCAAUACAAUUUAUAUGAUUCCUCGUAGGAGGUAUCUUAAUUCUUCAUUAUCGUCAGGAUUUCCUGAAGUUGUUCAUUCCUGUAAUCUCGGCGGUUGCUGGUUACUUGGAAAUGGAUCUAAAGUCGAAGCCGACAAGCCUUGUUAAUUAUUUUGGGUAAUCGCUAUUAAUAUGCUACUGCACAACCUUUUAUCAUUACUAAUAGGAAAUGUCAAUAUGAGUUGUUGGGGACAAAAUUCAUUUAUUCACGUGGCUAGUAUAAUUUCACAUUUAAAGAUACAAUAGCCACUGAUUAUUAAGACAAAUCAAAUGAACGGUAUAAAUGUAUAAUAUACUUAGCAACACUGUGAUAUUGCUUGGCAUCCUAGUUCCUGCACAUUGCUGAAUCUCUCAAAUCGGUGUGUUAUUUUUUCUAUUAAUUAAUAGAGGCAGAGCAACCGAAAAGUUGAACAGGGUCAUGAGGUCCUUUUCCUGAUGUAAUUGGAGUACGACCAGUAUUAAUAUCAGCUGCGGCUAACAAAUGCAUGUUUAGUGAAUGAAGCCCUGCUUAACCACACUCCAUUGGUACCAUCACCACUUGGUUUAAAAUUCACUUUAUUAGAAUCAUUAGAAGAGAAUGUUUAUGUACACAGGAUUGUAGCCCCUGAAUGACAGGAUUUUGAGGCGCCCCCAUGUCAUGUCAAAACAAUAUAAUGAAAGUGUUUUCAAAUCCAUUAAUCAAACUCUUCUAUUCAAUAUUAUUUUCUUUGCAUUUUUUUCAAUCCUCCCCUCAUUUUUGGACGAGAUAUAGAUGUAUUUGCUUUGUAUCGGUUAUGGUUAUGUACAUACUUUUAGACUAUGAUGGCACUGUAUCAUUUUGAAAUAUUUUCUCCUUUGUUUGGCUCAAUUUUUGUAAAAGUAUCUGUGGAAUUAGUCGUAAUUUCAUCUAAAAUAGUUAUAGCAAACUUGAUUUAUGGCCAUUAUGAAUUGUCCUUUACAAAGGACAGAUUCACAUGCUUUCAAACAGAAAUCCUCAUGACCUCUAGAGGAUUCUGAUCAAAUGCUGAUUCAUCCAACACGUCAUCACAAUUUCUUAUUUAUGCCACAAUACUGUCUGAUGCACACGAGUCGUCUUCACGACAGAGCUUUGGAUAUGAGGGGUUCAUUGAGGCAUUUUGUCGAGCACUCUGUCCAUUCUAUCAAACACCCUGCAUUGUCUAUCAUUUUCCAACAAUCUUAAUGUCCAUUCCCUGGAAUGUAAAUUCCAUGUUCAAAUUUCAUGGUAUUGCUGUUUUCCUACUAAUGAUGUUCAUAGAAAUGAUACUUUCUCCUCCCCCCAUUGAAAAUAUGCCUUAAAUAGAAUGUCCGGAUGAAUUAUACGUAAUGCACUUUUACCUCGGCAUUAUCAAAUGAGAUUACUUACCCAAUCGGUCAAUUACGUUGGACUUAUGGCUCUUUAUGAUUUGGAAAAAUUCCUGUAAGUGGAGGGAUGCAUUUUAUUUCAUAUAUUUAUUUCUCUAUUGAAGAUUCUGCUAUUUUACCAAAAAUACAAUUUUUUGAACUAUUUCCGAGUUGGUAUGAUCUAGGGCUUGGGGCAAUUAGUUUUUUUUUACUGUUCAAUUGGUGUCUCAUUAUAUAAAUUUUUUUUUUUUGUCUAAGAUAUUUAAUGAAGCAAGGCUGGUAGGGCAACACCGAAAUUACUUUAUAAGUUUUCCUUCCGCAUUAUUUGUUUGAAUUUUAUUUUAUUUUUGUUUUCAAUGCCCAAGUUUGCAUGAGAACAAUCCGGCGCAUUUUUUUUGUCACCACUCAUCUUUUAACAAUAAAUAAAUAAAAAGCCUAGAACAAUCUUUGCCAAUCAUAUAUUUUUUAGGGAAAUUGUGGUCAGGAAUCGACUUUCAUAUAUUUUUUAGGGAAAUUAUCUUUGUACUGUCUUUAUUUUGUCAUAUAUACAUCUAAUCACUGUAAAAUUUUGACAUAUUCUUUACACCACUUUUGUUUCUCAACUUGUAUCGGUCAACCACUUUAAUAUUAAAAAUGACUAUUUUACCCCUAAAUAAAUUAAAAUAUUAUUUUAUUCUUUAAAAUUUUGAAAAAUAAAAAUAUAAUUACAAGAAUACCCCUAAAUUAAUAAAACAAAUAAAUCUCAAAAUCUAAGAUGUUAAUGUUUUAUAAUUAUAAUUUCAUUUAAUUUUUGUAAGUAAAUUAAGUAUGGCAAAGUUUACAAAAAUUAACAUGAAGAAAAAAGUACCUUAUAAUGAUUGUAAACUUCCCUAUAAUUAAAAUUAACAAAUUUUUCUAUACAAAUUGAAGAUUCUGCUGUAAGAAUAACUAGUUUUGAAGUCCAACAAAAAUACACUCACUAGUUGUGUUCUUGGAAUAUCGGCUUACAAAGUAGGACUUGUUACAAAUAUAACAUAUACAAUCACCAACAUAUAGGUUUUCUAUUAACCAUCAGCUGCAGAUACAAAACUUCCAAACCCAUAAUUAGAUAGUGUUAUACAUGAUCAUAUUAGUCAAGGAUUUGUGACAAAUGUCAAAUAACCAAAGUUUAGAUAUAAGCAAUAAAAUGAAAAUAUUAUUAAAAUAGUUGUAAAGCUUACCUAUUGAAGGAAAAUUACAGCAAGAAACAAUCACAAUAUAUUCAAGUUGGAGUUGGAUUGCACUUGGAGUGGUGAUACUUGACCCUCUCAUUAUAUUUCACUAGCCCUUGUUUUUUAGUUAACCCUAUUAAAAAUUUUAAACUAAUCUUUAUCUCUCAACAUACCCCAUCUUAUAUCGAAUUUACCCUUAUUAUAAUUUUUAUCUUUUUUCCAAAACAUUGUAUAAAACUUAUAAAAUCUAUUUUAAAAAGAAAAAAAAUUUAGAGUUACUAUAAUCUCUCUCUUUCUUUUUAAAAGUUUUAUUCACCGUGACCAUAACUGUAAAAAAAAAAAUUGAGUUUUGUUCAUCAUCCUCUAUUGAGUAUUGUAAAUUAACUUCUUUCACGAUUACAAAAAUAGAGUAUACAAUAGUUGAGAAGAGACAAUAAUUUAAAAAAGUUAAAAUAAAUUAAGGUUAAAGAAAUUAGAUUAGCUAAAUUAGACAUUAAUAGAAAUUAUCAUGUGAGUGCACUUAAAAACUAUUUAUCCUUUUAAGUUAUUUUAUAUAAGGAUAAAAUAGUUAUUAAUAUAAAAGUGAUUAGUGAAGGUUGGUGAGAUAUAAUGAGGGAGUCAAAUAUGACAACUCCUGCACUUAAAGAGCAUCCAAGCACACAAAUAAUAAUAAUAAUAAUACUAGUUAUGUUGUUUCCCAUAGCUUUUAUAAGUUUUCCUGGCCCAAGCAUCCCCUCAUUGUUGCUUAAUUCAUUUCGGCCCUUUUAACCCUUCAAGUUAUUUGAGCCUACUGAGCCCACUCCAGCUUCAAUCACCAUUUCAUUUUCCCGCCUGUGUUUUGUACUCCAGACACAUAUGGGUGCUUUAUUGCACUUUAAGAAAUUAGAUUAGUUAAAUUAGAUAUUAAUAGAAAUUAUUAUGUGGGUGUAUUUUAAAAGUUAUUUAUCCUUUUAAGUCAUUUUAUAUAAGGAUAAAAUAAUUAUUAGUAUAAAAAUAAUUUGUAGAGGCUGAUGAGAUAUAAAGAGGGAGUUAAAUAUGACAGCUCUUGCACUUAAAGAGCAUCCAUCCAAGCACACCCAAAAAAAAUAAAUACUAGUAAUGUUUUUCCCGUAGUUUUUAUAAGUUUUCCUGGCCCAAGCAUCCCUUCCUUCUACUUUUCAAUUAACUUUAGAAAAGUAGACAUAUCACAAAAUUGAACACCUAGUGAAAAGAGUGUAGUAAUUAGUAAAGCACCCAUAUGUGUAUAUAUGGCUCCCACGCACAUUUCAGUCAAUUGAUUAAUUAUCUUCGCAUUCCGCAUCAUUGUAACCCAGUGUAAAGAGAAAAAUCAAUUUCUCCAUGCUUUUUUUUUUUUUUUUUUGCAGUGAGAGAGUUGUUUUCUCUUUUUUUUUUUCAUUUUAUUAAAAAAAAUUUGUUUAAUCCUCUAUUCUUUUGUUUGUCGGUAAUUUUUUAACCCAAUAAGUUUAAAAAUUUUCCACAUAAAGUGCUUGUGUAUAAUUUUAUCUUCAAUAUUUUUUCAAAUUUCACUAUAAUUAUUGCAUGUCAUAAUUCCCUAACAAACACAAAAUUCCUCUGCAGCUAAUAUAAGGCAGCUUCUGAGAAAUUAUUGGGCGUACUUCAAAAAGGAAAAAGAAAUUAAAUUUUGAAAUUUUGUUUCAAAAUAAUUUUCACAGAUAUUUAUCAUAAAUCUUUUUUUCUAAGUCUUCUAAUUCCAACUCACAGUCAGCAAGUUAAACUGUCAUUCUAGGCAUCGUCAUUGAAAUUACUGAAUCUUUAAUUCGAAGAGGGUGUUUGUGUACUUAGGAUUUUAUAGUUCCUGGACGUCAGGAUUUUAUGGCUUUCCUCAUGCCAAAAUAAUGAAUUCAAAGUGUAUUUGAUCAUUCCCUUUUUAUCAUAUUCUUUAUUCUUUAUUUUGUUUUUGUUUUCACGGACGAGAUAGGGACUCAGCUAUCUUGCAACAGUUGCAAGGUACCAUCAAAUUUUGUCUUUUCUUAAUUUCAGUCCUUUGCCAUUAGAUUUAGUGAAAAUAUAGUUUCAAUAGUAGAGAUUUGUACAUUUAAAUAUUAACAUUACACUUUCUGAUAUUUAUUAAAAGCACAAACAAGUUAAAAAUGUAAAAGUUUUAGCACAUAAGUCUGGAUUGUUUACAAUUUAUAUUGUUUAAUUAGUAGUGAGUAUUAAAAAUAAAUUUUAUUUUUAAUAUUAUAUAUUUUAUUUAAAAGAAUAAAUUUUUAUUAUUAUUUAUUUUAUUAAAAAUAAAUGUUAUUUAAUAUUAUUUAUUCUAUUUUAUUUAAUAUUAUUUAGUCAUAUGCUUAUUAUUAUCUUUAUUCUCUCAAAAAACUAAAUAACAUAAAAUAAAAUAAAAUAAUCAAUAGGGAGCCUUAAAAAUAAAUAUUAUUUUAAUAUUUUUAUUUUUGUUUAUUUAAUAUUAUUUAAUCAUAGGCUUAUUAUUAUAUAUUUAUUUUUUAAAAAAUAAAUAAUAUUAAAUAAAAUAAAAUAAUCAGUAGUGAGCCUUAAAAAUAGAUAUCAUUUUUAAUAUUAUUUAAUUUUAUUUUAUUUAAUAUUAUUUAGUCAUAGGCUUAUUAUUAUAUUUAUUCUUUCAUAAAACUAAAUCAUGUUAAAUAAAAUAAAAUAAUCAGUAAUGAGUGUUAAAAGAUUAAUAUUAUUUUUAUUUAGUCAUAGGCUUUUAAUUAUAUUUAUUCUUUAAAAAACUGAAUAAUAUUAAAAAAUAAUAGUGUCUUAAAAAAUAUCAUUUUUAAUAUUAUUUAUUUUAUUUACUUUAAUAUUAUUUAGUCAUAGACUUAUUAUUAUAUUUAUUCUUUUUUAAAGAGAUAAAUAAUGUUAAAUAAAAUAAAAUUACAUUUUAGAAAGUUACUAGCCAAAGUAUAUAAACUUAUAAAUAAAUGAAAAAAAUAAUAUUAAAUAAAAUAAAAUUACAUUUUAAAGAGGUGCUAUUUCGUAGAGAUAAGAUGCUCGAUUCAGUAUGUUCCAUCAAACAAUUGCUCCACCAUUUGGCAUUUUUGUAGAUAAGCUAUCUUAAUCUGAUUAUUUUGUAGAUAAACUUCAAUGUACAAAACUCAGUCGUUUUGCAGCCGUUUGAUUAACCAUCAACAACUUGUAAUCCUGUGACAGUUUGAAACCAGAACAUAAUUAGUAUAAGCACAUAAAUUUUAGGAUCGAUUUAGACAUGGUAUGGUUUGAGUAUUUCUAACACUUCCUAGUGAUGCAUCUAUAGGAGUUUCUUUUAGAAAAUAUAUCAUUAAAUUGGCCAUCUUGACCAUUGACCAUCGUCUGAUUAUUAUUAUUUUUUAUCUCGCUUACCACGUUGAUAGUGCGGCAUUUUGGGUACUACAAAAAGCACAACGACGAUUAAAGAGCUGCUUCAAAUAAUUCAUCUUUCACUUUUGUUGGGUGAAGUGCCGCUUAACUACUUCAUGAUCCCCCCAGCACUUGAAGAGGGUACGUGUUUGUGUACUUAAGAGUUAAGACUAUCUAUAGUUUCUAUUUGUUGGGACUGUACGGUCUGCCCUAUUAAGCUUGCAUGGAACUUAACGUCGUAUUGCUAUAGUGUCACAAUAUAUACACGUUACAGCUAGCGAAAAUAACGAAGGAGAUAAUAAGUAAUACACUCCUUAACAUGAUGAACUACUGCACUUCUAAACAUAAUGAAAUACAACCAACUAAGAACGUGAAGAUCACGUUCAGCUAUUACGCCCCCGCAAGAGAGGUAUACCGUCGAGAACACCGAGCUUGGACCGUGCAUGCUCAAGGGGAAGCCGGGGAAGCGGCUUGGUUAAGAUAUCAGCGAGCUGAUGCUCCGAAGGAACAUGAGCAAUAGACAGCAAACCUUGCGCAAUCUUAUCACGAACAAAGUAAAAGUCAAUUUCCACAUGCUUCAUACGAGAGUGAUAUCUAGGAUUUGUGCAAACAUGAGUGGCACCAAGAUUGUCACAGAGCAGCUUGGGCAUAGGGGUCCGAAUACCAAGUUCGGAGAACAAGUGUCGAAGCCAACAAAGCUCAGAAACGGUAGCAGCAAUGGCGCGAAACUCGGCUUCAGUAGAGGAACGUGCCACAGACUUUUGCUUCUUCGAAGACCAGGAAAUGAGAUUGCCACCAAGGAAGAUAGCGUAAGCACUCGUAGAGCUGCGAUCAUCAAGAUUGCCCCCCCAGUCAGAAUCACUAUAAGCAGCAAGUAUAGAGGAUGAAGACUGACGAAGAAAAAGGCCAUGAAAAAUUGUAGCUUUCAAGUAGCGGAGAAUGCGCUUGGCAGCCUGCCAAUGCAACUGAGAGGGACUUUGCAUGAACUGAGAUAGUUUGUUGACCGCAAAGCAGAUGUCAGGACGAGUGAGAGUGAGAUAUUGCAAGGCACCAAGAAGCUGACGAUAAGACGUACCAUCAGCAGAGACAGAACCAUCGGUUUGUUGAAGACCAACGGUGGCAGACAGAGGAGUGGCAAUAGGUUUAGCAUCAGUCAUGCCAAACCGGUCCAAGAGAGAACGAACAUAGUGAUGCUGAGAGAGAAACACACCAGAAGGAGUGCGAAGCAACUCAAGCCCGAGAAAAUGAUGCAGAGAGCCAAGGUCCUUGAGAGCAAAAGUGGAAGCAAGACGAUGAAUGAAGUGCUGAAUAACCCGGCCAUGAGAACCAGUAAUAAUUAAGUCAUCCACAUAGACAAGGAAAUAAAUACGAUGACCAUCACGGUGAUAAAGAAAAAGAGAAGCAUCAGUCCUGCUUUGGUGGAAUCCAUAGGACAGCAAAAAUUUGUACAGAGUAAUAAACCAUGCCCGAGGCGCCUGCUUAAGGCCAUACAGGGACUUACGUAGCCUGCAGACAAAGGAAGGCUGGUUAGAGUCAAUAAAACCAGGCGGCUGCUUCAUGUAAACCUCCUCAUCAAGAGAACCAUUGAGGAAGGCGUUAUUGAUAUCCAACUGACGAAUCGGCCAACCAAAUUGCAAGGCUAAACAAAGAAUAACACGAACAGUAGUGGUCUUGACAACAGGGCUGAAAGUAUCGUGGUAGUCGAGACCAGGACGCUGAGUAAAGCCCUUAGCAACCAGCCGCGCUUUAUACCUGUCAACAGAACCAUUGGGGUGGCGUUUGACACGAAACACCCACUUACAACCAACCAAAUUUUGAGAAGGUACAGGAGGAACAAGAUCCCAAGUAUGAUUAGAAAUAAGAGCAUUAUAUUCAAUACGCAUGGCCUGAAGCCAUUGCGGGUCGGCAAGGGCAGCCUUAAUACUAGUUGGUUCAACAGUAGAGGGCAGCGGAUGUGUGGAAAUAAUAGGAGCGAGGGUAGUGUGGUCAAGCUGUUUUGGUUUAUAAAUGUUAUUGCGUGACCGGGUUAUCAUUGGAUGGGUUCGGGUCGGCAGUGGAGGUGGAGGUGUUGGUGGUGAUGGUGAUGGGGCUGUUGGUGACAACGGGAAAGUAGAUGGGGCCGGUGAUGAAAGAUUAGAAAUGGGAGAUGAGGGAGUUAGUACUGGUGCAUGGACAUGGGGAGGUAAAGAGUCAUAAGUAUGAGGGUUAUGAAUAAUACCCGAAGUAGAGGUGGAAGAGGCCGGUGAAGAAUCGGAGCUAGCAGGAAGCGAAUCCGAAGUUGCAAGACGGGAACCACCAGGAGAAGAGGAGUGAGCCGACAGAACCGGGACGGAAAAAAUGGAUGGAAACCAGGAGGUGAGUGAAACAGAGGAGGGAGAGGCAGUGGAUGUGAGAGAUUGAUAGGGAAAUUGAGACUCAAUAAAUUGAACAUCACGGGAAACAUAAAUCUUACCAGACUGAACAUCUAAACACUUGUAUGCACUUUGUUGUAGGCAAUAACCGAGAAACACACAAGGCUUGGACUUGGGCUCUAGUUUGUUGCGCGUAUAUGGGCGUAACCAUGGGAAACAGAGACACCCAAAUACACGUAGUUUGUCAUAAUUAGGAUGGGCAUCAAAUAAGAGCUGGAACGGACAGGUCAUGUAUGUAGUUUUGGAUGGUAGACGAUUAAUUAAGUAGGUGGCGGUUUGAAACGCAAACGUCCAAAAGCUAGGAGGUAGUGAGGCUUGAUGCAGUAACGCCAACCCCGUCUCAACAAUAUGUCGAUGACGACGUUCGGCGACUCCAUUAUGUUGUGGUGUGUAGGGUGGUGUAAACAAGUGAUUAAUGCCCGUCUGUUGAAAAAAUGAAGUGAGUUUGAGGAACUCACCACCACCGUCGGUGUAAAUAUUACGAAUAGUAGUACGAAAAUAAUUUUCAACAAGUGUUUUAAAACGAACAAAUGUAGAGAAAACAUCAGAUUUUAGUCGUAACGGAAAAAAACCAGACAUACUUAGUAAAAUGAUCAACGAAAAUCACAUAGUACUUAUAAUUAUCAAAGGAAGUAACAGGGGCAGGACCCCAAACAUCAGAAUAUAUUAAAUCCAAGGGACGAGUACUACAUAAAGAAGAUUUGCCAAAAGGGAGCCGAUGGCUCUUAUUGCAUAAACAAGACUCACAAGACUCAAAAUCCAAGUGCGAAGACAAAUUGAAAGUACGAAGAACAAAUUUCAAAAUAUCCCUAGACGGAUGGCCUAGACGUUGAUGCCAAUGAGCGGCAUUAGUUUUUAUUGUAGCAUUUGAAGUGGGCAAGGCUGGUACGGGGAAAGAAGAAGCUGCCGGCCACUCAUAGACACCCUGAUUAUUCCGGCCUUGCAAGAGGACCGCCCCCGUGCUCAAAUCCUUCACCUGAAAAUGAUCAUGAAAGAAUUCAAUGAAGGCUUUAUUAACAUUGCAAAAUUGAGACACAGAGAUUAAAUUUCUGUUGAUAGUCGGAACAUAAAGAAUAUUUUGCAAAUAAAAUUUUGAGCUAGAGGUACAUAAGGAAGUUGAGCCAGUGUGAGAUAUACCAAGACCCAUGCCAUUACCAACAAUGACGGAAUCAGAACCAUGGUAAGGACUAUGAGUGCUCAAAUUUCGGAGAUCUCCUGUAACAUGAUGUGAGGCGGCACUGUCGACUAACCAAUUGGGGUUGGAUGUGCCUGUGGUUGCUGUGUGGUUCAUAGUCGGACUGUUUUUGUGGGAGGUAAAAUCUGGACAAUCUCGUGCUGUAUGACCCUUGGUACCGCAAAGUUGACAGUAGCCCUGGUACCCGGUGGGCUGCUUCUUUUGAUAUCCUCCAUUGUUGCGAUACUGGCCUUGUGGGUUGCGAUUCUGAGACUGGUAAUUUCUGUUGUUGUUGCCAUUUUGAUUUGGAUACCCACGGUUAGAACCAUUAUUAAAUCCCGGAUUGCUGUCUCUUCUCUGGUUCUGAUAAGGGCCACGGUUUGUUGUUUGUUGUUUGACUGCGGCAUUGACAGUGAUAGCCGUGUCCAUGGAUUUUUCCUCUCGCUUCAACAUAUCUUCGUAAUCUACAAGCUUUUCAUACAGCUCAUCAAAGGAAAGUGGUGUCUCACGGAUCCGAACACCAGCAAUAAUUUCUUUGAAAUCUUUUCCUACGCCAUUAAUAAUUUGUAUAACGAGAUCAUCAUCUGUAACAGGAACAUCAAUCAAAGUAAUUUCAUCAGAAAUAGAACGUAAGUUAUUUAAAUAUUCGGCAACAGGUUGUCCAUCACGACGAGGUCGUGCAAGUCGUUCUCUAAGAGAGAUGACGCGACUACGGCUACGAUUGGAGUAUAGCCGUGCAAGCUUAUCCCACGCUUGUUUGGAUGUUGUGGAACUAGCUAUGAGUGGGGCAACUCUUUCGGUGCAGGAGGCUAGGAUGGAAUGAAAGAUCAACUGAUCUUGGCGUUUCCAUAAGGUAUAGGCUGUGUUGAUGGUAGGCGGACCAUUACUGCUGCCAGUUUCAUACGGAGAAGGGCACUCAGAUGUGCCAUCAAUGUAACAUGUCAGAUUGUAGCCAAAAGCUAAAGAGAGGAAUUGCGCUCUCCAUGUAAAAUAAUUUUCAGGUGUAAGCCGUAUAGGCAAUUGGGCAGCGGCGUUGAUUGAAACACAAUCAUUAGCUUGGUUAUUUGAUGAGUGGGGACUUUGGUUGGCUGGUGAGGUAGAGGAGAUGGCUGAGGGUUCGGCAGCCAUGGUGAAAGAAAAGAAAAAAGAAGGAUCGAUUUACUCUUGUUAGAGAGAGAAAGAGGGCUCUGAUACCAUAUUAAGCUUGCAUGGAACUUAACGUCGUAUUGCUAUAGUGUCACAAUAUAUACACGUUACAGCUAGCGAAAAUAACGAAGGAGAUAAUAAGUAAUACACUCCUUAACAUGAUGAACUACUGCACUUCUAAACAUAAUGAAAUACAACCAACUAAGAACGUGAAGAUCACGUUCAGCUAUUUGCCCUUCUGUCAUAACAAUGGAUUCAAAGUGUAUUUGAAUUCCACUUAUCAUAUUAAUUAUUCUGUUUAUUAUUUUGUUUUUGCUUUUUCGUUUUCAUUUUUCAUUAUACAUACAUACAUACAUACAUACAUACAUACAUAUAUAUAUGAAUUUUUACAAAAGAUGAUUUUGUCUUUGUAAUGUAAGUUUAACAAAGGUUAUAUUUGUUGAUUUAUACAUAUAAUAGAUUGUUUCAAUCUCCUAACAAGAGGAACAAAAGUAAUUACAAAUGAUUUGUCAAAUUUUGUUAAGUUACAAAAUAGUAUAUUAUACACUCAAAUCUAACAUCAAAUACAUAGCAAACAACAACUUCAAAAGCAAAAUCCCUAGAAGCAACUCCCAUAUCUUCAUCAACCAACGGCUUCAAAAGCAUCCCAUGAUUUUUGUUAAUAAUUCAUAGUUUCAUGACUGCAUAUUUUUAUUGAGUGAAGCCUUGCUUAAAAAACCCAUUCCACGAUCCCAGUCCCACCACGCACUUUGUAUAAAAUUCAAUUUAUUAGAAUAAUUAGAAUCAUUAGAAGAGGAAAUAUGUUUGUGUACUUUGGACUACAUAUGGUUCCUGAACGUUGGGAUUUUACGUGUGCCCCUUGCCUCCAUGUCAAAACAAUAUAUUUAAUUAAAGUGCAUUUGAAAUCCAUUAAGCAUAUUCUUCUAAUCUUCUCUUCAUUAUUUUGUUUUUGUAUAUGUUUGAUCAGUUCUGGUCGGUUAUAUAUACACAUGUACCAUUUGGAAAUAUCACAUUUUAUUCCCCAAUGCGAUAUAUUUUCUUCUCCAUUGAAGGUUCUCUGAAUGCUAUUAACCAAAAAAUGCAACAUUCUGUUCUGUUUAUGAAUUGGGAUUAUUUGCUUCUGGCUGUCACUGACUCAUUGAACAUUAGCAAUAUAGCAUUAGGUAGUGCCAGCUCUUUUCUUUUUUGUCUUUGUCUUCUCUAGUUCGAGCUACAAAUCCAUGUUCCGAUGAAUUCCUUUUCCAUCUCCUCUCCAUUGUUUGGCUUCAAUAUUUUGGAUUUGAAGUAAAUUUUCCGCAUAUUUAUUUUGCAUCAACCUUAACAUUGUAUGUGAAAAAAUUCUGCAUAUUUAUUUUGUCCUGCAGAGACGAUUUUUUGAAACUCACAUACAAUAACAUAAGGCAGCUUCAAAGAAAUUACUGGGUGGAGUUCAAAAUGAGAAAAGAAAUUAAAUUUUAUUGGACCACCGUCAUGAAAUUUUAAAUUUUUUGGACCACAAUCCGCCUUUGUCUUUUCAUGUGAUUGCAAGCUACUCGAUGACAUUGAUUGAUCAUUGACACACGCACACGGAUAAGUCAGUGUUUACGGGGAAAGAUAAUAUAUAUAUAUAUAUAUAUUCCACUAUUAAAAUAGGGAAUAUAAAUAUUGAAAUAUUUAUCUUACAAUCCAAAUUCUUAAUACAAUCAAGUUCUCAGAUCACUCGAGAACAUUUUAGUUAUCUCAGUUACUAAAGAAUUGCAUUUUAGUUAUCUCAGUUACUAAAGCUUGCUUCUCAUAAAACACACGUUAAGUUUUCAAAUUGUUGGAGAACUUUUCUCUCACUGGCUCAUGAAUUUUGCAUCCAAUUUAUAAACAAAUCUAGAUUUCAAAUGUAAAAUUAUGAUUUUUUGUCCUUCACAUCCAGCAUCCAAGAAGGCUCAAGGAAAGUAAGUAAUCGUGAGUAUGAAUCUAUUAAAAAAUAUGCUCUGAGAUUAAUUGUUCUUUUAGAUUAAUUGGUCUUUUAUUUUAUUUUUAUUUUUAUUAUUUUCUUUAGUGACGGUGGCGAAUAUUAUUUACGCCUUUUUUUAUUAUUAAUUUUUAGCUAUCAUUCCCUAUUUCUUUCCUUUGGAAAAACGCUGUUCAACAAUAACCAUAAAGCUGCAAUUUAAGGCCCUACUCUUCAGCAAAAUUAUUGUGGAGGGUGCAGAAAUAGUAAUAGAGUGUUUUAGUCUAUUCAGUGUGCAAAUAACCCAAUGUUAUAAGAGUUAUGAAUAUAUGUUGUAUGUAUUUGUAAUAUUUUUGUUUUGGGCGGGGGUUAUAUUAAUUUAAGAAUUUAACUUAAAUCUAGACAUCAAAAUAUGACCAUUUAUUUCGUUCAAUCAAUUAACACACGAGGAUUGUUUGUUGAUUGGAGAGGCUAAAACUGAGUGGGAAAGUAAAGCAACAGAGGAAUAGAAAAGAUCUAUGACAAAGAUCGAUGAACAGAAGUGGAGAGGAACAACAGUGGGCAUGAUCUAAUAUUGAAUUACAAAUAUGUUGGCCUUACGGAAUAUGUCGUUGACAAAAUUAUGGAGUAUUGAUUUCUUGGGGAUGAAUAUGAUUUGUGAGAAUGGGGAUGAAUUUUGUUUCCCCCAAUUUAGGUUAGGAAUUGCUAUUACUAGUAUAAUCGUUGAGGAAUGAGGAAAAAGAGUCGGUAUUCUCUCUCUUCCUUUAUUAAGUUUUAAUAUGUCAUCUAUGUUUUUUGUUUUCUGAAUCUUAUUUUAUUAAAGUUUUACUAUCACAUAAUCAAUCAUCUCAUACCUUAGAAUGAAUUAAAUAAAUUUUAAAGUUUUGAUGCUUAGAUUACAAUCAUAUUCUUAAGUUAAAAUAUCCCCUCCCGUUUGUUUUUUAUCUAAAAAAAGAAAAAAAAACAUUGGUACUAAAAAAUAAAUAAUCUUAUUUUUACUGAAAAUACAAUAUUUUUAGUCUUCUAAUUUGUUUAUUUUAAAAGUAACUCAUUCACUGCUUUGCAAAAUCAAAAUCUCCUGUGGCAAUGAAUUGAUUUUACAAGAAGUAAUUUUAAUAGUUUUUACCAACCAUUUAAAUUCAUCAUUAGCUUCUCAAUAUCACUUUUGAAAAUCCCAACAACAAUCUCAAAUUGGUCAAUAAAUUACUUCAUUUUCUAAAUAGUAAACAUAAAAUGAUGGAAAUAAUUUUUAUAUCAUGAAAGUAAAAAUAAUUUUAUUAUUUGUAUCAAAUUAAUAUUAUUUAGAUAUAUUUAUAUUUAAUUAUUAUGUUAUUAAAUUAUCAAAUAAUAAAAAUAAUAUUUUUAUUCACAAUAAGACAAAUUUAGAGAAAAAUUAGAUGGUGUUUGCUAGGAAAACUUAAGAAGGAAAUUAAUAUGGAACUGUCCCACCACUUGGGAUUCUUUCACGGAGCGUUUCAGUGGAUCUCAUUGAAUUUUAUUUUGAAAAAUCAAUUGAUAAUACUGGGAUGGUAUAGCCUGAUAAUACUCUGAGCGGUCCCUUCAACCUUUUUAGUUGUCGUACACGAAUUAUUUCUUCACUUGAAAUAAAAGUCAACAAAGCUGCAUCUUCACUGAAAUUAUUGUCCACAGUGCUUCCUGGAAAAUGAGAUAAAGAUAAUUUUGAAGAAACUUUUAGGAAGAUUCCAAGCAUUAAUAAUUAUUUAUAUUUACUUAUAAUAAAUUACUUUUAAUAAUAAUAAUUUAUAUCAUGAGUAUUUCUAUUAUAAAAUUUUUAUAUGAAUGUAAGUGCAUAAAAUAAUUGUUUAGAGUGUAAAUAAUCUCGUCUAAUUGAUAAUCCUCGCUAAUCAAAUACAAUUUGUUAAUAGGGCACGAGUCACUGCCCCCCUUGAGAAUUGAGCACAGAAGCAUUUACUAUUUUCUAUGGUGGAUUGUUGGGAAAUUUACACCCUUUCCACAUUUUUCCCUGGAAGGUUCCAAGCAUCGUUUUACUCUGCACAGACACUGCAGUCACCAACGUUUGCUCGAGAAAAAUACGCCGAAUUUUCCGGGAAAUUUUUUGCUUUUUCUCUUCAAAAGUAAAGUUUGGGGACAGAAAUGUUAAAGGUUUAAAGGUGGGUACAAUUAUUCUUCUUGUUGUUAUUUACGCAUUGCCUUCCAUUCACAUUAGUCGGUCUUCAAUUAAUUUUAGAUAAGGAAAUGAAACUACCACAAAAUUAACUCCAAGUGAGGGACUACUGAAGCAGCCAUAUAUUCCACGCGCAUUUUAUUCAUUUAAUUAACUUAUGAUCACAUCCCACAUCAUAUUAUUAUUGUAUCAACUUGCACGGUCGUAACAAUUAACAGAAAUUUUCAUUAAAAUUAUUACAUUAAUUUUAAAAUAGAAAUAAGAAAAAAAAAUCUUAAUACUGAAAAAACAUAAGAUGAAAUCGUGUGUCAUUUGUCACGAGUCAAACUUUUGAGAAAAAUACACGAAUGAAUGUGGCGCGUAAAAGGUGUUGAUGUACUAUCAACAUUUUCAUUUUAUUUUUAUUUAACUUCCAUAUAUUUUUUUUAUAAGCUGUCAUCAAUUAUUUGUUUCUUGCUCUGCGCGUGCACGACAAGACCUACUAUUUGCACCCUUUUAACCCUUUUAGUUGUCAUGCACUAUUUUCCUUCUUCACUUGAAAUGAAACAGUCGGUAAAGCUGCAUCUUCAGUCGAAUGUAAACUUUUUAAGAAAAUAAACAUGUUAGCAACCAAUCAGGGGCAUGAAAAUGGUUGUACAUAUAUAUAUUUGCUGACAAUUCCUCUUUGAAAUUAAUCGUCUUUUAUAUUAUCUUUCAAAAUAUAAUAUAUCUGAUCACAUGGAUUAAUUUAGAGGAUAUAUAAUUUCAAUGAAAGACUACUAAUCGAGGGCAGUUUCGAUUCUGAUUGAAUGGUAGAUGUAUAUAUGAGCAUCAUUCUAAUCAUUAAAUUGCUAAAAUUAGGAAGUUAACUUCGAUCCAACAAUUAACUUUAAUGGAGCAGCAGGGAGUUGUUUUCUUGUUUAAUUGUUUUGUUUAUGUUAGAGUUAUUUUAUUAAUAAAAAAUUGGGUUAUUAUCAUUUCACUAUUUUAAAAAUUGUGAAAUAUCAAAUGACUACAACAAGUAUUGUCUCUUAUCAAUUUUCUAUUAUAUCUUUAUAAAAAUAUCAUUUUACUACUUUUUUGUUAUAACCAUUAGUUGACCAAUUAAUUGACUAACAAAAUACCAAUUUUCACCCUUCAUGAUUAAAAAAAAAUACUUAAAACUUAUUUACAAAAUAAAUUUGUAAUAUAUUUAUUCAAAUGAAUAUAAAAUACGGGAAAAGGACAAACACACCCCUAACGUUUAAGCAAAGGGACAAAAACUCCCCUAAUGUUUCAAAAAAGACAUUUACACCCAAAUUUAUUAUAAUUUUACUAUUAUACCCUUCUAGCAUAUAUAUAAAAAAUUAUUAGAUUAUCCAAUUUGUCUAUAUAUUGUUAAUAAAAUUAUAAAUAGACCCUCAUUGCCUCAUUCUUCUAUUUAAAUUUUUAUCAAUAACCAAUUUUCAAAAAAGACAUCUACACACUUAAAAAAAAUUAUAAAUAAAUUAUAAUUUUAAAAAUAAAAUUGGUUAUCAAUACCAUAAUAAAUAACAUAGAAAAUUAGUUAUAAAUAUACAAGUUUAAAUGAUUGACAUGUGGAGAAUCGUUAAAUAUGCAAGUUUAAAGUUUAAAUAAAAUUGGUUAUUAAUAACUAAUUUUAUUUUAAACUUAUAAUUUAUUUACAAUUUUUUUAGGUGUAUAGAUUUUUUUUUUUCAAAUUGAUUAUUGAUAAAAAUUUAAAUAGAGGAAUUGGGCAAUGAUGGUAUAUUUAUAAUUUUUUUAUAAUAUCCAACUAGUCUAUUUAUAAUUUUAUUAAUAAUAUAUAGACAAAUUGGAUAAUCUAAUAAUUUUUUUAUAUGUUAGAAGGGUAUAAUGGUAAAAUUAUAAUAAAUUGGGGUGUAAAUGUCUUUUUUGAAAUGUUAAAGAGGAUUUUUGUCCCGUUACCUAAACGUUGGGGGUGUGUUUGUCCUUUUUCCUAUAAAAUACCAACAUAAUUCUUUUUGCUGGAAUUAUGAUAUAUGAAUUACAAAUUUAUCUUAUUAUUUUUUUAAUCAUGAAGGGUAAAAUUGAUAUUUUAUUAGUUAACUAACUGGUCAACUAACGGUUGUAACGAAAAAGUAGUAAAAUGAUAUUUGUUGUAACAGAAAAGUAGUAAAAUAAUAUUUUUAUAAAGAUAUAUUAUGAAAAUGAUAGGAGAUAAUACUUGUUGUAAUCAUUUGAUAGUUGACAAUUUUUAAAGUAGUAAAAUGAUAAUAACCCUAAAAAAUUUAGUUAAAAAAGGGUCUAAUGAAUAUUUUGGAAGGUUUAAAUAACCUCACCCCCCCUUUUUUUUUUAUAAUGGAUGCUUUUAUGAUUUUAUCCUCACCAACCUAAUUUAUAUGAAAUAGUAUACUAAUGUUAGGGGAGGUAUUUGAGAAUAUGUGAAUAUAAUUUAUUAAACGGAGAAUACGCCAAAAAUUAGGGGAGGUUUCUGAUAAUUACCCUUUUAGUUACUCCUCCUCAAUCCGUCCAAGGGCAUGAACUUGAGGGAAGGGUCAGGUUCUGUGGUGGUGUUAAUAAAAAGAUAAAUUACAUUGGAAAGUAAGUGGCGUUUGUUGGGAAAUUCACACCCUUUAACCUUUUAGCUGUCAUUCGCUGUUUUCUGAUCAAAAUGAGUCAACAAAGUGAUUCAACUUCCAAGCACCGACAUAUUCCACAGUUCUUUGAUUCAAUUAAUGUUUUAUCUUAUCAAAAUCUAUCUAAUCAAUUGAACUGUUUCUGCUAUGGCUUCAGGUACCAGUACCACAAUUAACAUGUAAAUUUGAAGGAUCAUGCUACGUUACAAAUUAUAAAAUGGGGUGUCUGAUCUACUUAGACCCACCACCAGUUAAUCCAUUGGGCUUAUCUUAAUUUUGCCUAACAUAAUCUGUACGGUAGGCGAGCCCAAGUGUAAAUAAAUCAUGUGUUUAAGAAGAAGCGUUAAAAAGUUGUUAAAUAAUUCUACAUAUUGUGGAAGUGGUGUAAAUCGUGUAUUUAUAGAAAAAAAUGUAUUGAAAAAUCUAAGUCAUAUAUUGAUCUACAAGUGAGUGGUCCAUAGACACUCUGUAGUUAAUUAGAGGAGCUGUUGAUUUGAGAUAUGAAUUUACAAAUGUAAAUUCAUGAGAGAAAAACAAAAUUUUCUGGUCAAAAUCUUUGAACACUGUAGUUAAUUGAAUGAAACACAUCGCAUUUUCUGGGAAAUAUUUUAGCUUUUUGUCAUUGCCUCACAUUAGUCGGUCUUCAGUGGUAGUGAAGCAUCCAUAUCUUUUACGUGCAUUUCAUUCAAUUAAUUUAUUAUCAUCACAUCCCACGUUAUUGUUUCAACUUGCACCGUCCGAAUAACUAACAAGAAUCUUUAUUGAAAUUAUUGUGCCACUUUUAGAAAAGACAUAGGAAAAAAGUUGAAUUCACAAGUCCAACUUUAAAAAGGCCGAAAAAAAAAAAAGACUGGAGUAGAUGUCACAAGUAUUAAAUGCAUUGAUGAGGUUUCAACAUUUUUUAAAAAUAUUUUUAUAUAAUUUUUUACCAAAGUUCAAAUAACUAUUUUCAAUUAGUUUUAAAGUAAUAUAUAUAAGAUGAUGAUGAUAAUACGGGAUCAACAUAAACAUAAAAUUCAUUGGUGCUCCAUCAACAUUGAUUUUCCCAUCUCUUCAGUAAAUGUUUUACAUAUUUGUUUUGCAUCUAAUUUAAUAUUAUUGAAAGUUAAUAGACGUGAUUAGUAAUAAAUAGAAGACUAAAAAUAUUUAAAGAAAUAGGGCUAAGCGUGCUGCGUGCAUGAAAAUAAAUACAAGAGAUUAAAUGAAAAGAAAAGAUUGGGUGGUUGACUUCAAAAUGGACACAUAAAAUAAAUUUUGAAUUUUGUUUCAAAAUAAUUUCCAGCAUACAAAUUUAAUUAUAUAGUAACUCCUUUUUCUAUGUCUUCUAAUUUCAACCUACAGUCAGCAAGUUAAACCGUUAUUCUAGUUCUAGGCAUCUUCAUUGGGAUUAUUGCAUCUAUACUUUACCAAAGGGAAAAAAAAUUGUCACGAAACAGCGUGGAAGGUUCAGAGAAAAUAUUUGCUAGUGUUUUCUUUUUUUUAAAUUUAAUUGGUUGAAUUUAUUUUUUUAUUUUUUUUAAAAAAGAAAACUGUAUUACAAAACUUCCCGGUAGGUUCCACAGAACUAUCUAAUAAAGCAUCUUUAUAUAACCUCCAUUGACACAGUCGCAUUAAAUUAUUUUCACAUCCCAAAUUUUCUCAUCUGAUCAAAUCUCUCAUCCACUGAACUGUUAUGGCUUCUUCUUCCUCUUGUCCACCUCGAAACGCUAAGAAGAUGUAUGACGUUUUUCUGAGUUUCAGAGGAGAGGACACCCGUGACAACUUUACUAGCAUUCUUCACCUUUUUUUGUCUAUGAAAAGUAUCAAAACUUUCGUUGAUGACCAACUUAUCAGAGGAGAGAACAUUUCACGGUAUCUUCUUGAUAUAAUUGAAGCAUCAAGCAUCUCAAUUAUUAUUUUCUCACAAAGGUAUGCUUCUUCUAGAUGGUGUCUCGAUGAACUUUUGAAGAUCCUCGAAUGCAAGCACGAGUAUGGAACGAUUGUGAUUCCAGUUUUCUAUCACGUUGAUCCAUCACAUGUGAGAUCUCAAAGCCUGGAUUCUCCUUUUGGGAAGUAUUUUAGUGAGCUUGAAAAACAUUAUCCAGAGAAGAUGCAAAGAUGGAAGAAGGCUUUGACCGAAGCAGCCAACCUCUCUGGCUUUGAUUCUCAUGUCAUUAGGUACAAUAAUUUUCUUCUGGCUUUGAUUCUCAUGUCAUUAGGUACAAUAAUUUUCUAUCUGAUUCUUAGUAUUACAUUAACUAUGACAAUGAGUUUAAAUAUUUAUCCAUAAUAUAUUAAAUAAAUCAUUCUUAAUAAUGGGGAUUAGGUUAUUUUCUUGCACAUUUGAAUAACUUUCCAAUUAUUUUAUUUGAUGAAAUUCACAUUAUAUUAAUUAGCUAUUUCAUAUUGCAACUAAUUAAAAACACACGAUUCUCUGUCUCGUUUACAUAUAUUUGAACUAUGUUAAGAAAAUGUAAGCUGAGUCAGAUUGCCACGUCAUCAGUUGCCAAGCUGUCAUUCUGUUAUGCAGAGUGUCAUUAGAUUCGAAGUUUGUUAAGUUCCUUCCAAAAGUUCGUUACUAUCAGCUAGUUCUCAACUCAUGCUUUACACGUUGUAGAAGAAUCCAGAUCACACUAUAAAUAGCUCUGUAAUGUUUAGAUUGUUAUGUGAGCUUAAUAGAAACAAAUUUUCCAGCUUCUAGAUUUCUCUCGUUAAGCAUUUUCUUUCUCUUUCUUCUUUAUUUUCUUGUUAAACAAACAGAGUCUGGUACGUCUUAACUAACUAUAUAAUUGCUGUUAUUUUUUUACUAGGCCUGAAUCUAAACUUAUUGAGGAAAUUGCCAAUGACGUUUUGAAGAGGCUAGAUGCGACUUUUCAAAGUAAAAACAAAGGCUUGGUUGGAGUUGAAUGCCCCAUUGAAGAAAUUGAAUCAUUAUUACGCGUUGGGUCUGAGGGUGUUUGCAAACUAGGGAUUUGGGGCAUCGGUGGUAUAGGCAAGACAACAAUCGCUGGUGCUGUUUUUAACAAAAUCUCUAGACAUUUUGAAGGUUCUUACUUUGCGCUUAAUGUUAGAGAAGCAGAAGAAACUGGCGGAAUAAAGGACUUACAAAAGAAACUUCUGUCUGAGCUAUUGAAUGAUGGAAAUAUGAGGAACAUCGAGUCUCAACUCAACAGACUUGCUCGCAAGAAGGUUCUAAUUGUUUUUGAUGAUGUGAGUCAUCGAAGACAAAUAGAAUCAUUAAUUGGAUGCCUUGAUGAGUUAGCUUCAGGGAGUCGAGUAAUAAUAACAACAAGAGAUAAACAAGUCCUUAAAAAUUGUUGGGCCAAUCAAAUAUAUCGGAUGAAGGAAUUAGUAUAUGCUGAUGCUCAUAAGCUUUUCUGUCAGUGUGCUUUUGGAGGAGACCAUCCAGAUGCAAGUCAUACAGAGCUCACAGACAGGGCAAUCCAAUAUGCACAGGGAGUUCCUUUAGCUCUUAAAGUUUUGGGUUGCCAUCUAUGCGGAAGGAGCGAAGAGGUAUGGGAAAGUGCAAUGAGAAAACUGGAAAAAAUUCCUCACGAGGAAAUCCAGGAGGUGUUAAAAAUAAGUUAUGAUAGCUUGGAUGACUCUCAGAAGAAUGUUUUUCUAGAUAUUGCAUGUUUCUUUGAAGGAGAGCAUAGAGAUGAGGUGACAAGCUUUUUUGAUGCUAGUGGCCUCGAAGCUAAAAUAGAAUUAAGUGUUCUUGAAUGUAAGUCUCUCGUAACUUGCUUCCAUAACCACAUAAGAAUGCAUGACUUGAUACGAGAUAUGGGAAGAGAAAUUGUUCGAAAUGAAUCUAUCGAUCAUCCAGGAGAGCGCAGUAGGUUGUGGUAUCACAAGGAUAUUUAUGAAGUUUUGAAGAACAAUUCGGUGAGGAAUAAUAAGUUUUUAAUUGUAUCUUAUUUGUGUUACAUUUAUAUUAGCAAUUUGUCUGAAUAUGUCUUUUUGAAUAAGAAUAGCAUUAAUACAGCUUAAAAUUAAUUGAAAAAUAAUAUUAAAAAAUUGGUAAAAUAAAAUAGAUAGAUCCGAUGUUUCCCCAACUCAGUUUGAAACAUGCCUCUAAAAUCCCCAGCAAACUAGCGCCUUCGGAGAGAGACCCAAAAAAAAAAAAAAAAAAACACCUCAAAUCUUAUUGCAUUUCCUUUUCAACUCAAGCUCUGCCCCUAUCCUUAUUUUUCACUAAAAAAAAUUGAUUGAAUUAAUUUUACAGUUUACAUAUUAAGCAUUUUCUUGAAUUUUCUAUUUUACACUUCCUAAAAGCAUUACCCAAAUAGUUUAUUAUAAAGUGAUUGUAAUAUCUCUAUUUGGGUUUGACGGCUUAAAAAUAAUUGUUUAUUUGUUUGCUUCAAUUAUAUACCAACUUAUGAUCUCCUAUUUGAUUGUUAGGGAACUGAAAAAAUCAAGGGUAUCUUCUUGGAUAUGAAUAAAGUCAAUAGAGAGAUACACAUGAAUUCCGAUGCUUUCUCAAAGAUGCCUAACUUGAGAUUCUUGAGAAUCUAUGGAGAUGAGAACAAAUGUAUGGUCUCUCAUUUAGAGGGUGUGCCAUUUGCUGAAGUGAGGCACCUCGAGUGGGCUCAAUGUCCUUUGAAAACGUUGAAUAUAUGUGCGGAGAAACUUGUUUCACUUAGAAUGCCUUGCAGCAAGGUUGAACAACUUUGGGAUGAUGUUCAGGUAUAUAUUUAUUUGAAAUUCUUUCAGUAAUAAAUUCUAAAUACAAUUGAUGCUAUAAUUAAUAUAUGUGAUAGUAUAUGUUUAUUUAUAAAGAUGAUGAUGAUGAUAAUAAUAAUUUUUUUUUUUGGGGGCACAGGAUCUUGUUAACUUAAAAGAAAUAGACCUCAGUGGAUCCAUGUUGUUAACGAAACUCCCAGACUUGUCACAGGCCAAAAAUCUUAAGAUUCUGAUGUUAGGCGGCUGUUUAAGUUUGAUGGAGACUCGCUCAUCUAUUCAAUAUCUAAAUAAACUUGAAGUUCUUUAUCUAAGAAAGUGCGAAAGCCUGACGAGUCUUCCAACUAGCAUUCCUUUCAAAGAUCUCAUGAACUUCCCAAGUGUCACAUCUUGUCAUGUAUAUACUUUAGAGUUAGUAAAAGUUGGAAUCAAAGAACUGCCCUCAUCCAUCGAGUGCCUAUCCAAUCUGAAAAAACUAUAUAUUGUGGACUGUUCAAUGCUUGAGAGCAUCUCAAGUAGCAUAUUUAAGUUGAAGUCUCUUCAAUCUAUUGAAAUAUCUAAUUGUCCAAUUUUCGAGAGGUUUACAGAGAUCCCGUCUUGUAAUAUAGAUGGAGGCAUUGGAAUUGAGCGACUAGCCUCAUGUAGGUUGGUACUGGAAGAUUGUUCAAGUCUUCAGAGUCUCCCUAGCAGCCUGUGUAUGUUCAAAUCUCUGACAUCUCUUGAAAUCAUUGACUGCCAAUAUUUCAUGAUAUUGCCUGAUGAACUUGGAAAUUUAGAAGCCUUGGAGACGUUGAUCGUUGAUAGAACUGCUAUGAGAGAAGUACCAGAAAGCCUUGGUCAAUUAUCCUCACUAAAAAUUUUGGUACUAUCUAAUAUCAAGAGAUUACCAGAAUAUUUGCAACUACAUUUGCAACUACCCGAAAACGGUUUGGAGGGAAUACCAGAAUACCUGAGGAGGAGUCCAAGGAAGUUGACAUUGGAUCCGAAUGAGCUCAGUGAAAUCGUCAAAGAUGGGUGGAUGAAGCAGGUGUGUCUCUUAACUCACUCCUUUCAAUUAUAUUUUCUUUAAUUCAAGCUAUCAUUAUUUUUCAUAAAUUAAUAAUUUUUUAUUUUUGUGUUGCAGUCGUUUGAUGGAAACAUUGGGAUCACUAAAAGUAUGUAUUUCCCUGGGAAGGAAAUUCCAAAGUGGUUUAGGUAUCAAAGUAUGGGAUCUUCUGUAAACUUGAAGAAGCGACCAGCAGAUUUCUUAAAUAAUAAAAUAUUAGUAGGCUUUGCUUUUUGCAUUGUUGUAGCAUUUCCAGCCUCACGGUACUGUGACUUUGAGCAUCAAAUCCGAAGGAAAUCUCGACCGUCAGUCUUUGGGAAUUAUGACGUGUUCUGUGAUUGGAAACACAAAUCCCAAGGAAAUCUCGACCGUCGAUCUUUGGGGAGAAUUAGUUAUGUUGAGUCAGAUCACGUGUUUUUGGGAUCUUAUUUAUUGGGUUCUGAGGAUUUAAGUAAAAGAGAUGAUGAGGUCUCUUUUGAUGAGGUCUCUUUCUACACUAAGAGAGAUGAUGAGGUCUCUUUCUACAAUUGUUCUUUAAAUAAGAGGAUUUACGGUGAAUAUUGUGAAGUGAAACAAUGUGGGAUUCAUUUUGUGUACGCUCAAGAUUCUACGGAUAAAGUGAAGAGGAAGAGGAAGAGGAAGAGGAAGAGGAAGAGGAAGGAUGAAGAGAAGAGGAAGAGGAAGAGGAAGAGGAACCACACACCAAAAGACUGAAAUGUUCUUCAACUCCAAAGCAGCUGGUACUCUUUGGCACGAAAAUCAAUCUGUAGACCUUGUUUUUGUCUUCAUUUUAUAUAUGCAUUUUUCAUUUUACGGAAUGCAAUGCCAAUGAGAAAUUCAAGCAACCAUCAUUGAAUUGGAAUUGACAGGUUUGGCCGCCAAAUAUUUGCUUAAUUUAUUAUUCUAGUCAGUGCUUCCCCCGCGAGAGUACUGCCCUUUAUAGAUUUACAAGAAUAUUUGGUUAUUCUUAAUUAAUAAAUUUAUAAUCUAUAAAUUUAUAAUAAUGAAUAUCUCGUUUAAUCGUUCGUGAGAUCGGGCCGAGAAACAAGGAAAAAGUUGCAUAUUGUUAGCAUGCCUUAGAAAUUCAGAAUAAUGUCUAAGUGCAGUUGAUAACCCUUGAAUUAUAACUUUUAGCAUGAGAGAUAUUUUAUGAGCAUAAUUUUUGAGGGCUCUUGUAGGUUAGCUCCAUGAAGCAUAUCAUCUUGUAGAAUAUCUGUGGUUUGAGUAUUUUAUAGAAUGACUUUGGGAUUGGGUUUGGGAUGAACUGGCAUUGUUGUCAAGGUACAAUUUAUACUUUGAAAUUUGGCAGUCUGAAAUCAUGUUGGCUCAGUUCUCUUCAAAAUUGCUAUAUUGCAUGCAGCUAUAUAAAGCUUUUGUAAUCUGCUGUUAUAAUCAUGCUGAAUUUUAAUCACUACAGGGACUGAGCUCCCUGUAUGCGCUGUGGAUUACAGUUGCUUGAUUCAUUUAAUGGCACGGUGUUUUGCAAAUGGUUUAUUAACCUUUUUGGUGCCUUAUCUAACGGUUUUUUUUUUUUGGGUCUUGAUUUUGCAGCACCACCAUUGAAAUUAAUUGGCUUGCCUGGAUUGGAUCAACGAAUAAUGGAUGAUUCAUUGGUGAGUGCUUGUUUAAUUUUUUUAGACCUUGAUGCUCUAAAUAUUGAUGUAUCCCAUUAUAUAUUUAUUUGAUAGAUGUUAUUUGCUUGUGUUUUCAAUGGUGGAAAGAUGUGGUCUGUUCUUUGCAUGUGAAUUAUGGUUGGUAACUUAUAAGUUAGUAACAAUAAUUUUGUGAUGUCCCUCAUAGGUUAGUGAAUAUGCCGAGUACAAUGAUGCUAUUUUACUAGUAAUUAUUCCUGCUGCCCAAGCGCCUGAAAUUGCUUCAUCUCGAGCUCUUAGAGUUGCCAAGGAGUAUGACGGAGAUGGUAAUAUGCUUAGACAUUUUUAUACCUCUAAUUUUGCUGUUAAAUUUUUUGAUUUGUAAAUCAAAAGAUAUGCUAUUUAUGAUUUUCAUAAUCUUUGGCACACUAGUACAUUUUUUGGUGCAUCCUUUGAAGUUGCAGGAAUGUAACUCUGCCUUCUCCUUCCUAUUGCUAUCAUUACUGUUUCCUUGUUAAUUCUUUAUCUCGCUAAUUUGGGAGCUUAUUUUGUUAACGACAGGAACCAGAACUGUUGGUGUAAUAAGUAAAAUAGAUCAAGCUUCUGCAGACCAAAAAGCUCUUGCUGCUGUGCAGGCUCUCCUGUUAAAUCAAGGUCCACCAAAAACAGCUGACAUUCCGUGGGUUGCAGUAAUUGGUCAAUCAGUAUCACUAGCUACUGCUCAGUCUGGAUCUGAGAGCUCCUUAGAAACUGCUUGGAGGGCAGAAAGUGAGUCUCUUAAGUCUAUAUUGACUGGUGCUCCUCAGAGUAAGUUAGGCAGAAUAGCUUUGGUGGAUGCUUUGGCUCAGCAGAUCUGCAAGCGUAUGAAAGUCCGGGUGCCAAACCUCGUCUCUGGGUAUUAAAUGAUUUCCACAUGCUGCAUGAAAUGUUUCAAUUUUACGCAUGUUUUAGUUUAUCUUUGGAAAGUUGCAUUCUUUUUUUUUUUUUUUUUUGACGCAUGAAAAUGAUUUUCUUGAACACACUUACAUCUUUGGAACUUGUUUUACUGUCACAAAUGGAUUGUGAGAACUUGGCAAUAGGAAGUUCGAGAUACAUUUAACCAUAAAAAAUUUCUCUUCUGCCUGGUAGGCAUGUCAUUACUAAUCAUUGUGCUUGUAAUUGUCUUCGAUGGUUAGAGGAUGAUGAUUAUUAUUGUUAUUAUUAUUAUUAUUAUUUUUUAACUUCUAUCACCCCUAUAACUCUUUGUCUUGCACUUUGCAUUGUAGUUAAUAAACACAGUUCAGUGGGAGUUAAAAUUGAAAAUAAAGAUAUCUUAAUUCAUAUAAUUAAUUAUUCCUCGACCCUUUUUCAUGACCCAGCUUAAUGUGUAAAUAUGUAUUCAGUUUUUCCUUUAUGAAGUGUAUGAGUACUUCUUCCAGUUAAGGUAACUCCUUUAUUACUUAUACCUGUGCAGGUUACAAGGAAAGUCUCAAAUAGUUCAGGAUGAGUUAGUGCGGCUUGGUGAGCAGAUGGUCCAGAGUGCUGAGGGCACGAGAUCUUUGGCUUUGGAGCUUUGUCGUGAAUUUGAGGAUAAGUUUCUGCAACACAUUACAACUGGUGAGGUGAGUUAUUUUUGUUUUUGUGCUUGGUGACUUUCAUGUAACAUAUGUCUUCUUUCUUAGUUUGCUUAUAUUGUUUUGAUUUCUCAAUUUGUUUUUCAGUAAUAGUGUAUAUUACCAUGUACAAGAAAAAGCUUUAUAUAGAAAUUUGAAGGAGGAAAUCUAAGACAUAUAUGAGGGGAAUAUGAUACUUUUUUUGAUAAGAGACGGGAUUAGGGAUGGCAAUCCCAUUUUGGGACGGGAUUGGGACAUAUUUUUGUCCCAUAAAAACAGUUAGGGACGGGAGUGGGACAUUUUUUAUCCCACUUGCAUAUACGGGUCGGGAGUGGGAUUGGCAAAUUCCGUCCCAUCCCGUCUCAUUGCCGACUAAGAAUGAGAAUUUUUCCAAUUGGAAUGGGAUCCCGUAAGAUCCCAUUUCUUUUGGGACGGGAUCGGUACAUAUUUUUGUCCCAAAAAAAUAUAUAGGGACGGGAGUGAGACGUUUUUUCAUCCCAAUUGCAUAUACGGGACGGGACUGGGAUUGGCAAAUCCCAUCCCAUCCCGUCCCAUUGCCAACCCUAGGCAGGAUUGUGAUACUAUCACCUCUGGAAUUGAAGCCUUCUAUAAAAUUAGAUGGAAGUGAGCUCCAUUACUUGUAUCAAUUUGUAAUCCCUCUCAUUGUAGAAGUUUACCUGGUCCUUGGACCUCUAAUGAGAAGCUUCUUAAUGUAUAAUGUGGUUACUGCUUCUACCUAAUGGAAUGUGUGAAGCUGGCAGGGACUAGGGGUCUUUUGUAGGAGAAACUAUUUUUUCAAACCUAUUCAAGUGCUUAGAGGUAGUGCUUGUUUUACUAGGUCAGCUGAGGAGGGGUUGAUGUCUGCUUUGCGGUCAUUGUAACCUUAUUAGUUCCAGGUAGCUCCUUUAAAGUUGUUUUUGCUCUCUAACGCUUUUUCGGUUGACGAGUGUGUCUGGUCAUGGAAAUGUAGGGGUUGGAUUCCAAGUGUUGGAAGUUCAUAUGGUAGUAUGAGGAAGCCCCUUUUUAUGAUCCAAAUUUGGUUAACUAAAAUGGAUCUAAUUGGUACUUCAUGCUUGUUCUGUUCCUUUGGUCUUUUAUUAUUUUUUCCCUUUUCUUACUUAUAAGUUUGAGGCCAUGUCUAAUUGAUAAAUCUCUAAGUAUCAGUACUUCUUCUGGUUAAAAUAGUUAAUGUAUCCAAACUUUGUUUAGUGUCCUGCUCUCUGUUUUUAUUGGCUAGUGAUUUUGGUCGUGCUUUUUUGCGUGGCCUAUGGUAUUUUCCUCCGUCACUACCUGAAAAGUAUAGGAUACUGAUUUUUUGAGAUAUUAGUUGUCAUAACAUUAUGUCAAUGCAGGGUUCUGGUUGGAAAAUUGUUGCAGUUUUGAGGGGAAUUUCCCGAACAGGAUCAAACAGCUUCCUUUGGACAGACAUUUUGAUAUUAAUAAUGUCAAGAGGGUAUGUUGGUGCUCUACUGCUUAUAUCUAUUGUGUUCCUGUUGUAUAUCUCAUAAUUUUUUAGAUUUUGCAUUUGCAUUGAUCUUCUCUUAUUCAUUUCUUAUCAGAUUUUGUUAGAAGCGGAUGGCUAUCAACCAUAUCUAAUAUCCCCUGAAAAGGGUUUGAGAUCUUUGAUCAAAGGUGUUCUGGAGCUUGCAAAAGAACCCUCUCAUCUUUGUGUUGAUGAGGUAAUGGAACCAUGUAUAUAAAGAUUUUACCCUUUUUCUCUUUUUAUGAUGUUGAAUGUUAAAUUUUUUGUUUUGGCCUUAACAUAUGGUUCCUUCAUAGUAUUGUUAGUCAAUAGUAUGCUCUCUGUUGGAUGCAUGAUAUGGACCAAAUGAUACACUUUGUAAUAUUUUUCUUAGGCACUACAUUUUAUGUUCUUUUUGUUCCUCAAUAACAUGCUUAACUAAUGACAAGUACUUCAGGUUCAAUAAGGAGGAUUUGUCAACUUUUAUUUGACUUAAGAGGUCAGAUAUUCUUAAAAUUUGUUUUUCUAGAAUAGGUACAUCAGGUCAUUUGAUGUCGUUUACCCAAUUUUCUUUAUGGAUGGCAGUGAAAAUCUGAAGCAAUUAUUGUUUCUGCUGACUGAUAUAGUUCCUGGCUGACUGGUAAAACAGGUACACCGUGUUCUGGUUGAUAUAGUUUCUGCUGCUGCAAAUGCUACGCUAGGCCUGGGAAGAUGUCCUCCUUUUAAGAGAGAGGUAUGGCUGCUUUUGAUUAUGUGUCAUAAUAGCUUUUCUGCAUUUGUACAUGAUUAGACCUAUAUGUGGUUCAAAUUUCCUUUUCCGUGUGACAAUAGUUGAAUGGUUUGAAACUUUUACAAGGUUGCGGCCAUUGCAAGUCCUGCCUUAGAUGGGUUUAAGAAUGAAGCAAGAAAGAUGGUGGUUGCACUAGUUGACAUGGAGAGAGCUUUUGUCCCUCCCCAACAUUUCAUUCAUUUGGUGCAGAGGAGGUAUUCUCAAAAUGUUUGGCUGGUAUAUUUUACGUAGUAAUGUCAAGCUGUGAUAUGAUUGAACUUCUUUGAUAUAUUUGAGAUAUGUGCAACAUUGUCUUCUGGAUAUCUGGGUCUGAGUUCUUGUGAUGGGAUAGCUUGUCAACAUUUAUUUCUGGAACAUUUUGCUUUGAAAAUGCUGACAUUACCAACUUUUCUGAAAUUAAUGUCAUAGUCUAUUUCUUCUCUCUCCCCAAUUUUGCAUGAGCUGAGUUUUGAAUGCAUGCAAAUGCAACUCCACGAAUUUAGAAAAUUUGGUAUUUAUUAGAGUCUAAAUACUAUUGUUGGGUAUUUUCCUAUCAACUUAAAGCUAGCAGUUUUGUAUUUGACCUUUGUUGUCAGUCGGGCUAGUGUUUAGAUCCGAUUGUGUUUGUGUAGGUUUGGUUCCAAAUGAUAUCAAAUUCUCUAUGCAUGAAACCAGCAUUUUUUCAGUUUAAACUCAGUUGUUUGGGCCUUUUCUAUUAGUUUAAGCCUUUGGGACCUAUGGUUCCUUAGCAUUACUAUUUUUUUUUCCUCUAAUUUCUUUCCUGAAAGUUCUGUGCACCAUGCUUAUUGCGUAAUCUAUUUAUUUUGUUAGGAUGGGAAGACAGCGGCAAGAGGAGGAGGUGAAGACGCGAUCUUCGAAGAAAGCAAAUGAGGCAGAACAAGCAAUACUGAAUAGGGUACGAUGUCCUUUUCCUGAUGUAAUUGGAGUAUGACAUGAGGAGGAUGGGACAUACUGAGGAGGCACUAGUUCCUUUUAAUUUCUCCUUAAGAAACACAUUUAAAUCUCUACUUUAUGUUUUUCCAUAUAUUCUCCUUCAGGCAACCAGUCCUCAAACAGGCGGUCAGCAAACUGGUGGAAGUUUAAAAGCAAUGAAGGAUAAAUCCAGUCAAGCAGAGAAAGAAGCAAAUGAAGCUUCUGCUUUAAAGACUGCAGGCCCUGAAGGAGAAAUAACAGCAGGUUUGUGAAAAAAAACUGUCUGCAUCUUAUGUUAUUAGGCUUUACUGAAAAUUUCUUCUUAAUGUUGUUAUUGCUGUGUGUUGUGUAGUGUUUUAUUAUUGUGUCAAUGAUUACUGAAUUCAGAAGGCUGUCUAUCUUUUCCUUUUAUUUGAGUGAAAGAUCUUUUAGCUCUGGUUAAUGGUCUCUUGACUUUCCGGAAUUGUUAUGAUUUUAAGUCCUGAUGGAGGCCUUCAUUGAAAGAUAUUUAAACAACAUUUUUAAUCUAUUGAAAGAAAUGAUCAUGGGUUACUAGAUGGGCUUGAUUCGUUAGUCUAUUAACCUUGGAUGCAUUUGAUCUAUAACAAUACCUGUGGUACGUCAUUGACUGGAAUCAUUUGCAUUCAUAGUCGUUCACUAGAAUCAUUUGAAUACCACUAUACUGCUUUCCGAUUCUCUGGGGGUAACCUUGCUGUUGCUUGUGUUGAAAUAAGCCGAGAUUCAUGGGGGUGGAUAAGUUUUGAACAUCAAACUCUUUCUUGGAUUGAGUGUCAUGGUCUUCUAGCUUAUGCUGCAUUGGCUUGUUCAUUUUGUCCCUUGGACUGCAUUUGGAGGAAUAGAUGCCUGAAUUCAGUAUGAGCAAAGUUAAGAGUAGAUAAUAUACAUCAAAUAUUGUCUGGAUGGAAAAUUGUGGAUUCCAAUUUGUGGGACAAGUCUCUGAUUGCUAAAGUAGUAUUAACUAGGGUUGGUCCCAGAUGUGUAUCUUGACAUUUUCUUUAACCUUCAUUACUUUUUCAUCAAGCCAUAAAGUGCCUGCAUACAAGUUGAAGACCGGGAAACUUGCAACUGCUGCGCAAGACGAUAUACUGUUGUAGCAGAUAAUUAGCUAUUCAAUAAUUUUGGUUUAUCUCAUUAGUAUUUGUGGAAUGCCUUUGAAAUCCUUGAUUAGUAUUUGUGGAAUGCCUUUGAAAUCCUUGCAUGCAUGGUUCAUAUCCCAGCAGUUUAUGGAUAAAGGCAUGUUAAUCCCCCUCUAGAUGAAAUUACUUAAUUGCUUAAAUGAGUUUUUUUUUAGAAGUUUGUGACUAUUUUUUGUUGUCCAGGUUUCUUGUUGAAGAAAAGUGCAAAAACUAAUGGAUGGAGCAAGCGAUGGUUUGUUUUGAAUGAGAAGACUGGAAAGGUUUGUAACUAACAUUUUGUCCCAUACGCUUACAUUUUUUAGACAUGGAGUAGUAAUGCUAUUCAGAUGUUUUAAGUGCUUUUGGGCAUGGUAUCUAACCUUUGUUAAAUGAUUUUAGCGUUACAAAAUUUUUAAAAUGAGUUACAUUCUAGCCUCCAUUCUCUUAUUUUUUAUGUUUUUGCAUUAAAGAAAUAUAGGACACUGUUAUGAUAGGCAUGAUUUAAUCUCAAUCAUCCUUUGUUUGACAGCUGGGCUACAACAAAAAGCAAGAGGAAAAGCAUUUUCGUGGUGUCAUUGCUUUGGAGGUAUGGAGAAUUAUUACUCUGUUUCAGUUUUGGUAUUAUAUUAUUUAUUCUUUUGUCACAACCUUUUUUCACCAUUUUGUCGUUUAUUGCCGUCUUACUGGCUGGACAGGAGUAAGAGUUGUAUAUGAAUAAGCCUAUAAAUAACCUUUAUCAAUGAAGUUUGCCUUAAUACUGCAAUCGGAACACUUUCUAAGUUAAAAUGGAUAAAGAUGGCCUAUGAUAAAUUUAACAAGGUAACAGUGGCCUCACAUACUAACGAACUUCAAGUAAAAUAUUUUAAGCUUUUUUCUUUGUUUUCUUUGGAUACAUGCUACCCAGUGUUCAUUCCUUUGGAUGUUACUUUCAAUAUUUUACCAAGUAGCUUCCGUUUUGAGCUGUUUUUCAUCUCACUUCGCAAUAAUGUAUGUACAUUUGCUGGUGCAGGAAUGUAAUAUUGAGUAGAUUCCGGAGGAGGAGGAACCUCCAGCAAAAAGUUCAAAGGAUAAAAAGGCUAAUGGACCUGAUUCUGGGAAAGCACCAAGUCUUGUAUUUAAGAUUACUAGCAAAAUUCCUUAUAAAACUGUUCUGAAAGGUAUUCUUAAUGUUUAAACCAUGGAGUUCCUCUGGCGGUGAAUUUUCUUUUUUUAUGUAUUUUUUCAAAUCGAUCUGCCUUUAUCUUGCAGCCCACAAUGCUGUUGUUUUGAAAGCUGAGAGCACCGCUGAUAAGUCGGAAUGGAUAAACAAGAUAAGCAAAGUUAUUCAAGCUAGGGGAGGACUUGUUAGAGUUGCUGAAAGUGGUCAUAUGAUGCGUCAGAGUCUUUCUGAUGGUUCUCUUGUGAGUUUACAGUCUCUUAAAUUUGCAAUACAAAUUUUGAAGUGAAGAGCUACUUACCUGUGAAGGAUGUUGUUCCGUUUGCAUAUGCAUAGAAAUUGUGAUCGAGUGUUAAUUUCUCUUCUUGGUGGUUUUUCUAGGAUACAAUGGCUCGAAGACCUGCUGACCCUGAGGAAGAACUUCGAUGGAUGUCUCAAGAAGUACGUGGUUACAUCGAAGCAGUUUUGAAUAAUUUAGCUGCUAAUGCGCCCAAAGUAAGCUCAUUCCUUAACUUAAAUCUCCAUUUUUUUUUUAUAAGACCGUCAUUUUGAUUUUAAAAUGUUUGUUAAAUCUCUAUUUGAAACAUUUUGAUGAUGGAAGUAUUGGGUUAUGUAAUAUGCAGAAAGCAGCCCUAGAACAAGUGCCGCAUCAGGUGAUGACUGGAGAUCCGCAUUUGAUGCUGCUGCCAAUGGACCUGUAAGCCUUCGCAGCUACUCUCGGUCUGCAUCCAAUGGUCACAGCCGGCGUUACAGUGAUCCAGCUGAGAAUGGUGAUGUGAGAUCUGGUUCAAACUCGGGCAGUCGUCGUACUCCUAAUCGGGUGCCGCCACCUCCGCCACCAACGCAGUCAGGCUCCAAGUACUUUUAGGUGGCUUACAGAUUUUGGUUGACAAUUCAUAUUUUCUCUGCAUAUUUUUAGUGAGUGAAGGCCUGCUUAACCACUCAUGAUUCCAGUAGUUGGUUAAUCACUUCUUUAGAAUCUUCAAAAGAGGGUGCUUUGUGUAAAUAGGACUCUAUAGUUCCUGAGCUGAAAGUCAGGAUUUUACGGCUUGCCCCUUGUCAAAACUAUGAAUUCAAAGUGUAUUUGAAUUCCAUUUAUCAUAUUCUUCUAUUCAUUAUUUUGUUUUUGUUUUUGUUUUUGUUUUUGCUUCUGCUUUUGGCUCCUCCCCUCAUUUUUGGACGACGGUAUAGUUGUAUUUGUUUGUGUCAGUUCUGGAUAUAUGCUUUCGGACUUUUGGCUUUGUAUCAUUUGGAAAAUUCUUGUAAGGGGAGAGAUAUAAAAAUAUUUCAUAUAUCUACUUCUCUAUUAAAGAUGCAACUUUUUGUUGUAUUUCUGAGUUGGGAUGUUGCUCGGCGAUUAGUUUUUUUUUUUUGACAGUUUAAUUGGUGUCUCAUUAUAAUAUAACUAACUCUUUUGAUUGUUAUUGAUUUAGUGAAUCAAGGUGGCCAUCAUACGGGGCUUAUUUAAUAUGUUU